ACAAAUUUGCAGUAAGUGAUGAACGAAUUGAUAAGCUCUACUCCAUCGGUUCCUUAAUUGAGAAAAAACCCAAGCCCGUGCAGCGCAGCCUCACAAUUGAUAGAGACCCUAAGCCACCAAACUCGACAAUCAUCACUCAACGUCGUCGCAAAGCUACCGGUCGCUCAACAAGCACCAGUUCCUUGCUCUACAGCCAUCGCUCAACCGCUGCCAUUACCUGUUAAUUAUUCGCUUGAAUUAGGGUUCUGAUAUUUUGGGAUUUUUUGUUAGUCGUGGAAUUAUGAAGCAAGGACGACGAUGACGAAGAUGUGGUGGUUGACGACGGCAAUGGCAACGUUGAAUAUUGAGGCACCGGAGGAAAAAGCAUUGGCUAUGUAUCUUGGUCGAUUUGCCUCGAAUUGAUCACUAAACAUGGGGAUAUCGUGGGCCGAGCUUCAACGCAGUGGCAAAUUUCAUUUGGGUAACUGAAUUUUUUUUUUGUUUAAUUUGUUUAGAGUUCAAUUGUUUAGAUCUAGGCUAAUUUUUAAUGAUAAUUUUUAUGAUUAAAUUAUAUGAGUAUGCUUAAAUUUUUUUUCCUUCAAAUUUAUUUUCUGAUGUUGCAUUUGGUUAGCAAAAAGAUAAAAAUAGUAGAAAAUGUCAGAAUUAUUGUUAUGAAAAUGUUGUUUUAGUCUGAUAUUGGGAAAAAUAUCAUUAUACAUAUUGGCAUGAUAUUCAUGGGAGACAAAAUUGAGAAUGAUGACAGACUAUGCAUUGCUCACAACUAAUUUAAAACUCACUAUUUCUAUUGUUUGUGUUUCAGUAACUUUGGGGGAAUUCCAACUAUAGUUAAUAAGCUAUAAACUUGUUUAGGAUUGCUGAUCAAUUUGCUAGAAAGAGUUGCAAAGUAAUUAGCUUUCUCUUAUAACUUUUACAGAUCAUCUGUGGAGGAGAACUGCAAGGAGUUGAAGACUCUAGACCCUAAACUUCAUAUCUUGAUUUAUAAGUGCAAUGGGCAUAAGUCCGAAUUAUGGGCUGGAGAUGGUAUAUGUAAUCUUUCUACUCUUGGUGUUUUUUUUCCUCUAGUUAUUUUUUGUUCUCUACUCCAUUGUAUAUUUGUAUUCAAAAGUAUUUUUUCUUUGUUUUAAGCUUUUAAUUUAUGGAGAUGAUCUUAUUAGGUGUUAAAAAAAAAUUGUAGAGCUUUACUAAAACUAUGUAAACUCCUAUUGAGAUUUGGGUUUGAUUUUGUAAGAUUGCUAAAAAUUUCAUAUUUUAUACUUGUUUUAUACUUUUCUAGUUGAAUUUCUUGCUUGUGGAAGAUAAAAUAAAAGUCCAAUUCAUGUUGUAAAAUUUUUUUCCUCCCUUCUUUCUUUCCUUAUAAUCUGGCUCUGGCUUUGGUGCUAUGCUUGGUGCAGUUUAUGGUUUCAAUGCAGGGAACCAAUUUCAUCAUAAUCAUCUUAAAGGAUCAAAAUGGCUUUCUUUUGUAACUGGGUAAGUCAAUGCUACUUCCUGAAUUCGAUUUGGAGUUCUUUCGGAAUAGAUUUUCCUUCCCUUACAUCACUUGGCUUCUAGUUGCAUCUUUCUUGGCUUUCUCCAGCGGACUUUUUUUAUUGGCAAAAUUCCGUUUGUUUUUUUUUUUUUUUUUUUCUAUUGUUUUCAAGUGCUAGUGCGGAUUUAGAGGUAUGAAUUGGUGCCUUCAUUUUUAUUUUUUUAUUUUUAUUUUGGGUGUAUAGUACUGUAAUAUACUUCUUUGUAUAGCUAGUACAAAAUAGUUCUUCAACUUCUUUACUUUUGGCUUUAAUGGGUUCGAUAUAUGAUAGCGGAGCCCUAUCAGCAUUUGAUGUCAGACAACAAAUAGGGGACAGAUGGGAUUAGAAAAAUAAGAAACAUGACCAAAAUAAAAAUCUAAUCUACUCAUAUAAGCAACUCAUCAAAAUAAGUGUAUCACAUACUUAAGUGAAUAAGAUUCCGUGAUUUUCUAGGAAUCCAAGUCAAAUUAUAACAUUCUUUAAAUAAGACUCACAAGCUUAUUAGGUGUUUAUAUUGAAUCAUCUAAGUUGAAUAAUCUUUUGGGUUGAAUAUGUUAAUUUCUUAUUCCAUAUGUUUCAGCCUCUCAAUAGUUUGAAUUAGCAAUGAAAAUUUGAAAAUGGAAAAACUCAGUGCAAUUAUUUUAGGUGCUUAUCAUAGAUAAGAAUUUCACUUUUUACACUUCAUUGUCUGUUGUCAAAUUUAUUAAGUAUGAACCCGGAUUUAGGUUUGUGCUCUCAAGGAUUUAUAAAUAAGUGCUACUUGACUUAGAUGUAAGAAAAUUGAAAAGCAGAGUUGCUUGAUUGAAUAGCUUCAUAUUUUACAUCACAGAAACUCAAUUUUCAUUGCCAUAUGUAGCUCAAAAGAGCAUGAACAUUGAACAUUCAGCUAAUUUAUACUAAUUAAUUAACACAACUAUCAGUUCUUACUUCUUGGUACCCGGCAACAUCCAUCCAUAAGAGUGAAACCCCCAUUGAUUUCAUAUAUACAAAAUAAAUAACUUACAAAGACAAUACCUGACAAUCACAACAAAAACACCAAUUCACUCCAAUAAACAACAUAACGAAUACAUGGUCUAAAUUGCAAGUCUUGUUUACGAUUUUAAUUAAAAGAGAAAAUGCGAAGGACAUGUUAUAUAUAAUUGAAUGUUAUCCUUGAUAAUUAGACAAAAUAACACUAAUGUAGCUAACUAAUCCAAUCAUUGUAAUAAUUGGAUUUUCUUUUUUUAAUUAUGUCUAUUGAUGCUAAUUUAAUCAAGAACACUGAAUACUUGAGUGUUUUUAUGUUCAACAACUUUGGCUAAGUUUGAAAAGAUCAUAUUAAUUAUUAAUAUAAAUAAAUAAGCCAACAAGGUACAUAUUACAUAUAUGUGUAGUUGCAAUAAAUACAUAUGUAAUAAAGAUCAUAAAGCUCAGGGCCAUUAAUUCAACAUUACCAAAUCAAUAUCCCAAUAAUGGUUUGAUUACUAAUCUAAGCAUUAAAUGAUCAGCAAACUUUAUUUGGCCAAAACAAAUGCUUCCUUGUUGCCUCCUUGAUCUUUUCCUGGCUGGUGAUUCCUGAAUGUUCUUCUCAUUUUGAUAUGCUGAGUCGUUUGCUGAUUAUAAAUGCUAAUCACCUUAAAUUUUCUUAGUCUUCUUCUUCAUGUGAAAUUCUACCUAAUGGCUAUCCUUUUAUCUGUUUGAAUUCUUCUUUUUUCUUUGAAUUGUUGAUUUCUAAUGUUCUUGUCAUUCGCACAUGUGGCGUUCUGCACUCUUGCAAUGCCAUUUCUUAUUAUGGCAGCAGCAUUCUUGGUCAUGGCAUCACAAGCAAAUGCUUUUGAAUUGCUUUGUUUGAUUUUUGUUUCUAAUAUUUUUUUUUUUGGCAUUGUGGGAUACUGUUUCUCUUUUGAUUUUCUGUCUUUGUUGUUAUGGGAUUCUGGUAUAGUAUGCAUCAGUACACAUAUGAAGAUGAUGUGAUAAAGUGCUUUUGAUAAAUUGCCCCAGUCAGUUUACUUCACAAACCAACCAUUAAUGAGCAAAUCCUUCUAAUGACCCUUGUACACAUUAGAAUAAAUACAAUUCUAUAUAUACACAAAAAUAAAUAACUCUCAAGUAUAUUAUUUGAUAAUCGCAAAAGCAACAAUUCACUCCAAUAAAUCUCAUAACACACUCAUGUUCUAUGUUGCAAGUCUUUGUAGAGAAAAAUGAAGGACACACAAUUGAAUUUUUUCUAUAAUAAAGAACUCUAAACAAAUUCAUAUACAUAUUGCAGUACCCCUUACAAAUUCAUUUGUUUCUUCUUUUCCUUUGAUCAAGUGCUAAUUACAGCCUUGAUAUUUCAUUUGGUUUAGUUAAUUUUCUAUAGGGUUGUGUUGUGUGAAAUUAAUUACAAAACAAUCUUUAACGAAGUCUUAUGAAAUACCAUAUUAUAACUACAAAGUUAGGCUUCCUAAUCAAGCUACUGUUCAUCAGAUUGUGUAUUGUGUUACUGGUGAGCUCUUAUGUCAAUUAUGACCAGAUGGCGCCUUGGCUAACUGUGAGUUAUGUGCGAACAUAAGAGCUGCAAAUGAGUUAUGUACUAUUUUUAUGUGACAAGGUAUGUGCUCUGUUUUUAUGGUCUUUCUCUCUGUAGUUCCCUCUGUAGUUUUUUUUUUUUUGGGAUACAUUGAUAAUAAAAUUAGAAGUCUACUAAUAUGUACAACCAGAAACCUAUUGGGGACUUUUUGUCUUUUGAUGCAGUUGUAGGGCACAGCUCAAAUAUUCUUUCCUCAUUUAAUAUUGGAGAAAUCCGACUCCCAAGCGAUUCUGUCUACGGUUGUUGGACAAACUGUAAUGUGAAUUUCUAUCUAAUGGGUGUAUCGUCCUUGCAGUCAGUUUGGGAUUGUUGAUAUAGAUAUGAUGUUUAGUCUCCAAAAUUCAGAUGAUGAUAAUGUUGUGAGUACUUUUUGUCAUAUUUUCUUUUGUGUUGGUGUUGGGAUCUUAAUUUUGUAUCCACUGUUAGGACAAUAUGAACCCAUUUUAAGUGAUAUGAUGCAAGUUCAUGUUCAAGAAUCCAUUUAAUGAAACAUUCCAGUGUUUAAUAAUGAGUAAUUGGUUUAAGAUUAAUACCAAAUAUUUUAAGUAACAUGUGGCGUAUUCUAGUGAGAUCCUCCAACUCAGAUUUCUAACUCAAAUGGAAACGUUUCGAAUUUCUUCAGAACAUUCUGCAGAACGGUUCGUCUUGUCUUUACAGUUUCUUUUGUGAAUUUCUCCCAGUUUCUUUUGUGAAGACUUCUGAAUAAGCUUCCAGAUAUUGAGAUACAAUCCAAUCUAAGCCCAUACGUAUAUACGCCUCACAUUUGUCCAUUUCCCCAGAAAAUCAAAAAGCACUUUAGUUCGAAACAAACACUCUAAAAAAAACCAUCUAGCUACCCAGAUGGCGAAAUCAAGAAUCUUGCAAUGGCAAUGCCAUUUCUUGUUAUGGCAGUAGCAUUGAUGAUCAUGGCAUCACAAGCAAAUGCUCUGAUGCCGUACACACGAUCACCUUUCUUUGACGUGAUGUUCCCAAUGACGGAAGAUCCUUUCAGGGUUCUUGAACAAACCCCGUUAACAAUCCCAAAAGGAGCUGAACAUCAUCAAACUCUAGCACUGGCGAGAGCAGACUGAAAGGAGACACCAACAUCACACGUGAUCACACUCGACAUUACAGGGAUGAAGAAAGACGAUGUGAAGAUUGAAGUUGAAGAGAACAGUGUACAGAGAGUGAGUGGGGAGAGGAAGAGUGAUGAUUAUUAUAAGGAGGAAGUUGAAGGAGAAAAAUGACACAGAGCUGAGAGAACAUUUGGCAAGUUUUGGAGGCAGUUUAGGAUGCCUAUGAGUGCUGACUUGGAUCAUGUUAAGGCUCAUUUGGAAAAUGGUUCUAAGGAUCACAGUGCCAAAACUUGCUGAGGGGAAGAAGAGGCAGCCUAAGGUUAUUUAAAUAUUUUUAUUAGUUAUAAUAAGUUAUAAAUUUAUUAAUAAAUUAUAAUGUAAAAAUAAAAAAUGCUAUUAUUGAAUGAUAAAUUAUUUAUUUAUUAAUUUAUAUUAAUAAUUAUAAUGUAAAAACAAAUAAAAUAAAAAUAUUAUAUUAAAUUAAAAACUAUAUUUAUUUAUUAUUUUAGUAUUAUAAUAAUAAUAAAACAAAAAGCAAAAGUUAAAAGCAAAAGCAAAAAAAAAAAACAAAGCUAAUGUGUCAGUUGAUGCAUUAGCUACAGUGCUUUUAACCCAUGUCAUGUUUCCCCAAACAUGGUACAAGUAUUAACUUAAUGUAAAUAGUAAUUUAAUACCCCCUUAAUACUACAACCAAACACAUUCAAAGAUAUUCAUCUUCUGUCAUAUUAAUGUGUUAGUACGAAGGUUUAUUGGAAUUAUAAUAGUUUAGAUUAAUCCAAAAUAUUCAAUAAUUGAUAAAUAGUAUAUAUAAAUAUUAAUAGCAAUGGCACAUAAUCAAUUAAUUCAAGAACUUGCCCAUAGUGCAUUAAGUUAAAAGAGUAAAAAUAACAUUGCAAUCAGGGAUAUUUAUAACACUGUUGCUGAUGAGGCAGCUGUUAAUUCUUCUGGUGAAGAUGUUAAGACCACUAAAGCUGGAAUGUAAUCAGGGAAAUAUAAUGUAUUCACUUAGUUUGCUAUUUGUGUUUUUUAUAUUUGUUUGGCUAAUUCUUUGCUCAGAUUGCUUUUUUGUUUUUGAGAUUUUAUUGGCUUAGUCGUGGGAUAUUAUUUAAUCUUUUAAUUUUGUGUUUUUAUUGUUAUGGGAUUUGAUGAUGGCAUACAUAUAAGAAAAUUAUGCAAGAAAGUGCUUUUAAUAAAUUAUGGUCACUUUACUAUUAAUUAACCAAAUUUAAUUUACUCAAAUUACUCCUAUACACGAUCAAAAUAAUUUCAAUUCCAUGAUAUAAAUACGCGCAUGCGGACACACAAAAUGUAAGUAACUUUUAAAUACAAAAUAUUUAAAAUAAUCAUCACACUAACAAUUCACAAGUUAGAUUAUAUUAAGGCCACCAAGGCUUAAAUGUAAUUGAUUAAGGAAAGAAGUGCUUGCUUUGCUUGAUGUGCCAUUUGUCUAUGAUGUUUUCUUGAUUUUGUUGUGUGAUGCUUCUCUUUAGAUGUGCUGUUUAUUGUAUUUUGAUGGGUUUUUGAGGAUGGUUGUAUGUAUUAGCAACAACAAGGUGCUUUUUAUAAAAUCCGGGUUCUAAUUUUGUAAAAGAAAUUAAUACUCUCGGUUUAUUGUUAAUAAAAAAGAAAAAAGAAAAAGCCUUUUUUCUUUGGCAUAUAUUAUGCAUUUUAAGAAAGAAAAAAAAUCACAUUCCAAUUCAUGAAAGACAUUCAUUCUGUCAUAUUGAUGUGUUAAUAGAAAGAUUUAUGUGAAUUAUAACAAUUUUGAUGAAUCUAAAUAUUUAAUAACUGAUAAAUUGUAUUUAUAAAUAUUAAUACCGGUGGCACAUAAGCACUUAAUUCAAGAACUCGCCUAUAGUGCAUUAAUUUAAAGAGUAGAAAUAUUUAAUAAAUCAUGCUCGGUUUACUAUUAAUUAAUCAAAUUUAAUUUACUCAAAUAUACUCCUCUACAUGAUCAAAGUAAUUUCAAGUAUACAACACACAAAAAUGUAAAUGACUUUGAAAUAUAAAAUAUUUAAAAUAAUCACCCCGCUAACAAUUCACCAGCAAGAUUAUAAAUAGUCGAAAUAAUGAUAAUCUAGGGGGUACAGUCAUAAUAAUUUGAUUUUUAUUUAUAUUAAUUAUAUCAAAAAGAGUACUCGAGAUUAUAUAUAUCCAACAGCUAAAAUUUCAAAACAAUAUUUGUCAAAGUCUGAUGAAGAGAAUACAUAUAUAUAUAUAUAUAUAUAUAUAUAUCAUGCACUCGCACACAUUCUAUUGUUUAAUUAAAAAAUUUGAAAGCCCAUUAUAUACAUGAUAAAGACUCACCGACACUGAACCAUAUUCAUUUAAAGGAAUUGUUUUCAACUGAGAUUUGAAAUUAUAUACACAAACACACCCGUUUUUUUUUUUAAAAUUACUAAUAAUAAAAUAUUUCAGUCGUGCUCUGUUCAGCCACCAAAAAUCCAUUUAUAUAUCUAACAGAUAAGAUGUCAAAACAAAUUUUGCCGAAAGCAAAAAGUCUGGUGAAAAGAAAUGUUAUAUGUAUAUAACCGUACAGGCGCAGGGGAAGGAUAAGUCAAAAGAAAAACGAAGUUUCAACAAGAAAUUAAUUACACAUUUGCACUUAAUGAGAAAUUAAUUCAUUACUUUCUAGCGCUUGCAGUCUAUUUUUUAAUAAAAAAAAUUCGAAAACCGAUUACAUGAUAAAAACUCACCGACACCGAACCUUAUUAAUUUAAAAUAGUUUUCAACUAAAAUCGACACGCGGUAGAAAAUGGUAAACAAACUAAAGGAAGACUAAAGGACGACAAAAAUUAGCGUGGUUUCACGCGUUCUCUUACGUCAAUUCAAAAAUGCAUGGGACCAUAAUAAAUAAUAAAAUAAAGAAUAAGAAAAUGAAAAAGCAGCUCAAAUUUCUUCAUUUUAUCUUUUUCCUUAUACUUUAUCCAGCAAAUCUCCCCAGAGAGAUAGAGAGGAUAGGAAACUAAUUUUAAUCCUUUUUCCUCUUAAUUUCAGCUUAGCACCGUGUGAGCAUUCCCUUUUCAUCAAACGAUGUCGCUCUGCUUUGCUUCAAUUCAUUUCAGCUGGUCAGCACGUUGUGAGCUCUGCUCUGUUUCGAAAAUAAAUCAGAACAUAAAAAAUUUUGUGCCCAGGCCAAACUGACAAAAUUGGAAAACUGAACUGACUUUUAUUGAUUAUCUCUAUUACAAACAUUGAUUUUGUGCCGAGGCCAAACACUUAUUAUAGAAGCUUGUAGUUGAGACAGGAAUAGAAACAGAGACAAACAAAAACACACAAACACAAAAAAAAAAAAAAAAAAUUCCAGCAGCAACAACUCCAGCAUCAAUUCCAGCACCAAUAACACUUUCAGCAAAAAAAAUUCCAGUAACACUUCCAGCAAAAAAAAUUCCAGCAGCAACAACCUGGCUAAGGGGAGCCGUGGUGUGGCGCUUUGUGAGUGGAUGAGGAGAUGAGAAGGGAGAGAGGUUGCCCCAAUUUGACCCACGAACCCGACCCGCGAACGUGAUCCGGUUGGAUUUCACGAUCCCGGCCACUCUACCGGCCAAUCAAGGUAUUGAUCUGAAGCUUGGAAGCCAGCCCUCGUUUCCCUGCCAUCCUUGCCGCCGAAAACCAACAAGAACGCCGUCGAUUUAGCUCAAAAACCGCAAACCCGACCCGACCCACGAACGUGACCCAGUUGGAUUUCAUGAUCCCGGCAACUCCACCGGCCGAUCAAGGUAUUGAUCUGAAGCUUGGAAGCCGACCGUCGUUUCCCUACCAUCCUCGUCGACGAAAACCAACAAGAACGCCGACCUUUUAGCUCGAAAGAACCGCGGCUCCAACACACCACCGCGUGAGUUCUACUCCCUCGAUCACGUGAUGGUUGUGGUCCGUCGUCUGUGGGCUCGUCCGUCGUAUGUGGUUUGUCAAACGGAAAGUAAGAGUGCGUGGCUGAUUGUUGAUUGUGGGUGUGAUUCUGUGGUUUUUCAGAAGGGAAGUAAAGAGUGCGUGCGUGAGUGAGUUUGUGGUUUCUAUUCCAGCUAAAAGGGAGGUGAGAGAGAAAAAAAAAUUCUUGUUAAUGCUUUAUUGGCUCACGCAUUAUGUUUAAUUUAAUUUUUUAAAUUGAUUGUGGGACUAACUUAAAAUUCACGCAUGCUCAUUUUCUAAAGAGAGAGGAUAGGAAACGACAGCAUGUGCUGCCGUUUCUGUCUUCCUUUUGUCGUCCCUGAGUCUCAAUAUAAGCACUCUAUUUCAUUCGUCCAAUUUAAAAAAAAAAAACUAAUAAUAAAAUAUUUCACCAACACAUAAUACACGCCCAAUUUAAAAAAAAAACUAAUAAUAAAAUAUUUCAUUCGUCCUAUGUUGAGUCGUCAAAAACCACUGGAAGAUGGAUUCUAACACGCGGUAUAUGGGUUAACAAGUCCCAAUAUUGUUCUCCAUCCUUUCUGCACUUCUCUUCUAUCAACGGACAUUCGUCGAUGUAUAAUCGCAAAAGUGAGGAAGGCAGGCCCUUCUCCGAAAAGUAUUUGAGCUUGGGACAAUCAUAGAGUUUCAAGUAUUUGAGGUUUUGAAGAUCAACAAUUGAAGAAGAUAGGCGUUCCAGAUUUGGAAAAUCUCCAAUCGUCAGGGAUGCUAGAGAGGCAGGAAGAGGAAGCGUGGUCCCCAAUCUUCUGUCCUCUGGUGGGAAUGACACCAUGUCGUCAUCACAUCCUUCGAUUGUAAGAUGUCGCAGAGAGGAGAAUUUGUGAAAUCCCCGCUCAAUCAUUGACUUCCAAAUCUCCAUAUUACGCUCAAUCUUCAGAAAAUGAAGGUUGGUGGGAAGGCCAUCUUCUUCAAGGCUUGGAAGCUUACCUCCUAUUCUUAAUUUUUUAAGAGACUUCAGAUUGUGCAAUCCCUUGGGUAAGGCCUCUAGUCUCUCACACCUAUAGAUCCCGAGCUUACUCAGUUUCGCACAAGGCAAUCCCCCUUCGGGAAAGGACACCAGAUUUUCACAUCCCCAUAAUUGGAUCUCUUGAAGCUGGCGGAGAUUAUGUAAACCACUCGGUAAAAAUUUCAGAUUUUCACACCAUAAAAUACUGAUCAUUUCAAGAGAUGUGUUGUUGUCCAACCUUUCUGCUAUUGACUCCAGCUUUGAACAACUCCAAACAUUAAGGCUCUUAAGAGACGGAGGUUGAUUGCCAACUUCAAGGGACUCAAGCGUGGCAGGUAACUCGUUUUUUGAAAAUAUACAUGUCAGUGAUGGACAAUCCCAAAUUUCCAACUUCUCGAGAAGAUAUGAGGUGUACCUUCUGCUGCUACUCUGGAUGCCGUCUUCCACUGUCAAAGUCCUUAUAUUAUCGCAAUGGCUGAUGUCCAACCUCUUAAGGCUCGGUGGUAGCUGGACUCUAGCAAUAUAUGGCAACGAAUGGCAACUCCAAAUCUUCAAGAUCUCGAGAGAUGAAUUGGUGCCGCACAUCCAUGCCUCUGGUAACGAUUUCAGUGCAUCACAUUCUCUAAUCUCAAUUUUCUUCAACUUGGAAGGCAGAGCAACCUCAGGAAAGGAAACAAGGGAAUGACAACGGCAGAUUUCUAUCUCUCUCAAGGAACUGAGGCUGAGAGAUGAUUGUGGCAGCUUCACAAGGCCUUUGCAAUAUCUCAAUAUUAGAUAUUCGAGUCUGCAUGACAACUCGCAGAGCUGCUGUUGUUGGUCUUUCUCUUCCUCCGCCACCAAGGAUUGAAGUUUGGGACAGCUGUCAAUCGUCAAUCUUUUGAGAGAGCAAAUGUCUUGUAGUAAUCCGUCAUGACUCUUCCAUAUAUAUGUUUGCUCUUUUGUCGACAAAAUUAAUUCUUCCAAUUUCUGUAGUUGUGGCUUCAAUGGCCCCGCAAGAAACACUUGAUUUGAUGUAUCUCUACAAACCACUGAAUUCUGUGAUCCGAGAUGAUCAGUUGCACUUCUCCACACAACCUUUUUACAUCCACCAAUCUGUAAUUUGCAAAGAGCUGGAAGACUCGAAACUGAAACUGACAAUUCUUCACAUCCUUUAAUAACAAGCUUCUCCAAUGCAGGAAGGUGCUCUGGAAAUGUUCCUUGCAGCUUAGAACAUCUUAAAAUGUGAAGCUCUCUCAAUUUAGGAAACCCUUCAACUCCUUGACCGGAUCCAUGAGGAAUCCAGUCUUCCCAUUCUUCCAUGUCUUCAAAACGAAGAGUCUCCAAGUAUGGAAAAGGAAUUGAAGCAUCCUUCCCAUAGAACUCUGGAUCUAAUCUCCUUACGCUGCUCAUUCCACAUACUACGAGAUGCUUUAGAGAGGGUAGUUGCCCGACUGACGGAAGGGCCGUACAUAUGCCACAAUUUUCAAAUUUUAAGGUCACUAAAUUUGAGAACAAGGAAUCUCCCAACCAAGUUGGAAAUUUCAUACCUCCAUAGCCUUUGAUACAAAAUUGCUCCAGAUUUGCAUGAGGUUUUAGCACGUCAAGCACGCCCAUUUCAGUUUCUGCCUCCCUUGAAGAUGAACCAUCGGUACUGCAAGUCCAAUUAAGCGAUAAUUCUUUCAGAUUCUUCUUUCCAUCCAUUUGAGCCUCCAUGGCAUCACCAACGCAUUUUACAUUCUCCAAUUUUGAAAUUUUAAGUGUCCUCUCAAGAUGCGUCAACGACUUCAGCUCUCUUAACCCGGAACCACUGUCUUUUGCCACAACAAAAUUACACAACGUUUGAAGACAAGUCAGCCUGACAAUUCCUAGUGGCAUUUCCUCCAAGGAAUCUGUAUUUGAAUUUUUAAGAUGAUGCAAUUUGAUGAGGUUUCCCAUGUCUGCACACAACUUCUUCAGCCGAUCACAAUCUUCCAACAAAAGACUAUGCAAAUUGUAAAGCUUGUUGACUGAUUCAGGCAGAGAUCUAAUCACAGUUCCAGACAGGUUAAGGUACCUUAAAUACCUCAAAUCACCAACUGAAUCCGGCAGCUCAGGGAUGCAGUAUCCACGCAAAGAGAAGACCCUCAAGCGUUGGAGUUUGAGCAACUUAGGAAGAAUGCUAGGAGCCAAGUAGCAAGGCCCACUAUUUGUCAACAUUACUGGUAAAAAAGUUCUCAAAUGUUGGAUAUCAUACAAGUCCCCAAACCUUUGAACGCCAUCAUAAUCUCCACGAAUGUAUGAUAGAUGACGAAGAUUUCUGGAAAAACAUUGUCGCUUGUUAACCUCAGAGGUAUACUCCAGUGUGAAGUAUGUCUCCCCCCCUGCAGCCCAACGGGCAAGGUCGUUGAUAAGAUCGUGCAUAACAAAUCGUGAUGCAUCGGUGGCCGAUUGCUGGAAAAAAGAUCUUGAACGUAGCUCUUGAAAGAACUUUCGACCUAGAUCUUCGUUAGGAUUCCCACUCUCUUUAUGAUCCAAGAAACCCGAGGCACACCAUAACAAAAUUAUCUCUUCCUCGUCAAAUUCAUAAUCCUUCGGAAACAACGAGCAGUAUGCAAAGCAUUGUUUCAAAAUUGGAGGAAGAUAAUAAUAGCUCACUGCAAGAGCUGGUAUAAUGGGACAUCUAUCUUCUGGUAAUUCCCAUAUCUUGCUACUGAGCACGCCUUUCCACUCACGUUUGUAAGGUUUUCCAUGUAAAAGUCCUCCCAGUGUUUUUGCUGCCAAGGGCAAGCCGUUGCAUUUGAUCACUAUCUCCUUGCCAAUUUCCUCCAAUGACUUGUGUGAACUGAAAUCUGUUGUCUCCAAAGAGUGCUGAGCGAGUACAGACAGACAGUCCUCAGUUGACAAGCUUUUGAGUUCAUAAGCUUGAUCCAGGCUCAUGAUUUUGGCAACCUCUUCAUUGCGAGUAGUGACAACAAUCUUACUUCCCUGUGCGCCAGCUUGAAAUGGAAGGCUGAGGCGAGCCCAAUCAGUGUAAUUCUCAUUCCAAACGUCAUCUAAAACAAGCAAAAAUUUCUUUCGAGACAACUGCUUCUUUAGCUCCUCUUGAAGAAAAUUUAAAUCAUUAUUAUCAACAGUCUGCUUAGUAAUGGAGCUUAGAAUUGUUCUUGUUAGCCCCUUAACGUCGAAAUCCUCAGAGACACAAGUCCAUGCCUUGAGAUCAAAGUGAUCCUGCACUCGCUUAUCAUUGUAGACAAGCUGAGCAAGAGUGGUUUUACCCAGCCCGCCCAUACCUAUAAUAGGAAUAACUGCGAAUCCACCAUCAUUUCUUGAAUCAUCCUUCAACAACAAUUCAACAAUUUCCUUCUUUUCUGUUUCCCUGCCAUAAACUUUGGCCUCCACCAAAGAAGUUGUAUCUCGCCUUUGCCUGGCUUUUUUGGACCCCCCAGCUGAACUUUUUAUCAAAUUCAGCGGGAGUAUUCCUUCUUCAAUAUCUUGAAAUCUGUCGUUGAUCUUUUUGAUUUUGGACAUCAUGGCGUAAUCGAACUGAAUCGACCGUGGAGUUAAAGUGGUGCAGCAAGUAGGAAUGAGCUUCCGAAACUUACUCUUCGUGCUUGUACGACUGCUGCUGGGUUGAUCAUGAGCAGCAGCUGGUUCUCCAUUUCCAAGCAGCAACUUCCUCCGGAAAGCCUCAGUUUGGAACUCAUCCAACAAGUCUUCAACGUCAUAAACCAAGUUCUGAAGCUCGCCAAGCCACAACUUCACAGCAUCAUUAGUCGUCUUCUUCUCCUCAGCAUCAUCAAGCACCGCCUUGAUCGUCACCAACUUAUUCUUCCACUUCACUAGAUCUGCUUGGAUUCGACCUUGGCGUGCAAACAACCGAAUCCCCUCCGAAGCUAAUUUAUUGAUCAGCAUCUCAACGGACGCCGUAAGGAUUGCCUCUCCGAUGAUCGACAUUUUUUCUUUUUUCUUUUUUUGGGUUUUUUUGGACAGAGAAAGAAACUGAAUUAUGAGUUUGUGGAAAGCAAAAUGAGAAAAGUGAAUAAGCGGAAUGUGUUUGUGAUUGUGUCUAGCAAGCCUAGAAAUCUAGAAAAACCCACUGUAAAAGUGAAAAGUAAAACGGAGCCCACCACAAAUAUAAAAUCAGAGGAGCACAGAAAUUAUAAAAAAAAUCAAACAUGUAAUGAUUUGUAAAGUUAUUAGCGAUUUGUAAAAAUCAAACACGCGUCUUCUUCCUCUGAUUGUAUUUUUUAUUUUUUCUUUUUUAAAAGAGAUGGUGGGGUUGGGUUGUUUGCAAAGUUAAUUGCGUGGGUCUUUUUGUUUUUUUUUUUUAACUUUAUUAAUUAAUUAGUGAAGCAAACAUGUAAUGAUUUGUAAAGAUCACGGGCAUCAAAUUAUUGAGAGGUAUUGCGCUUAGUAUUCACAAUUUCUUGUAAGAUGAAUUUGUAAGACUUAUUAAUUUCGAUGAAAAUAUAUCGUUAUUAAGUUAUUAUUUAAUUCAUUAAGUUAACUUGAGGUAUUAAUAUUCAUUAAUUGUGGUGCACUGGUGCUGGUGAAUUUACUUAAUUUGUCAUUAUUUAUAAUUAAAGAAUGAGGUUCAAUCAAUUUAUUGGAGAAAAUUUGAUUUUAAUUCUUAGGAUUUGAUUUCACUCUCUUUUAUUUUUUGACGUUGCUAAAGAUGCAGUAAAAAACUUGCUAAAUGUCAUCAAAUGCUUGUAUCUCAUCUCACAAAUUGGCAAUAUUUGUUUGGUAUUUCAUCUCAACGGGACGCCGUAAGGAUUGCCUCUCCGAUGAUUGACAUUUUUUUUUUCUUUUUUCCAGCACAGAAAGAAACAGAAUUUUGAGUUUUAAAGCAAAAUCAGAAAAUUGAGCAAAAUGCAGGUAGCAAGUCUUCCGCUUGUUUAUUCCAGUAAAGUGAAAAUAAAUGUACAAUAGUUAACUAUUGUACAUUAUUCAUUAUUAAUUACCAAUGGAACUAUCUGCCCACCACCCAUUGAUAAUUGGAAAAUGAUAAACGAACGAAAGCGCAAUGAAGGGACGACAGAAAACGCGUUUCCUCAUCUAAUUUUGUUCUUACCGAUAAUAAAUAAUAAAAUAUUUUUUUGUGGGACCGACUAUAAUAGUAAAAUAAAGAAUAAAAAAUGAAAAAAAAGGAUAGUGUGCAAUUUUUCUUUUAAUAAUUUGGCAAUUCACCAAUCACCAGUCACCACCACUUGCUACCAGAUUCAAUGAACGUAAAAUCGCACCUCGACAUUUGUAGGGUCAAGCAACAUUAAUCCAGUUGUCCGGGUAAAUGCUGAAUAAAGUGGAAACUGGGAUGUAUCUACUACGAACCUUCCCUUUACAAAUCUUCAAACUGAUAAGCCAGAGGCAGCCCCCACCACCAUCAAUAAUUCAGCAAGUUUCACAUGCUUGUGCUUGUCUGCUUGACGAACCGGAAAUGGGUGGACCAGGCACCAUUGAAUAAUUGGAAAAAAAAUGAAAAAUAAAAAUCCGUGUCCAGCAAAAAGAAUGCAUCUUCAUGUGUUGCUUCCUAUUCAGUACCUCUAGUCAUCUACCUAGCAUUUAAAAAAAUGGAAGUAGUAAUUAAAUCUGACUUUUUUAGAUAUGGCUCAUAUAUAUUACAAGUAUCAAGAUUUAAUUAGAGUACACGUAUUUACAAUGCGUCUAGUUUUAAUUGAGAGAUAAACUAAUCAUUAAUAAUCAGGUUUUUCUAAAUGAUUGAAUAAUGAUAUUAAUUAUUGAUAUUUAUAAAAUUUCUAAGAAGUGAUAACUAAUACGUUGGGGAUAUGUAUUUGUGCGGAAUGGUAAAUAUAAAGAAUAGCAAUAAAAAUGGUGGAACUUUAAUAUGAUAAAAAAAGUAAACUGUAGAAAAUUAAUAUGUAAUUUAAGGCACGUUAUAAAUAUCACUUUUCUUAAGACAUUAUUUACCCCUACCAAUUGAGUGAUGCACAUGAGUUAAACAAAUAUACCUCUAGGAUAUAAUGAAAUGCUUCUUUAUUUGCUUGCGUUGUGCAUCGAAGAAAGUAAACCUGAAUACUCUUGAAUGUUGCAAGCCUGCUAGGAAUCAAUAUGUUGAUUCUGUUAAAAAAACAAUGUAUUGGAUAUUUGAUGCAUAAAAAAUAGAUGUUAUUUGAUGAAAUUCAUUUUAAGAAAUAGGGGUAAGAAAAGAGUAGUGCAUGAUUAUCUUAUUCAUAUCUAAAAUUCUAAAUAUAUGGAUUUAUUUAUUAUGGAGACAUAAUAGUAAUUGUAAAUUAAAAAUAAAUUUAUUAAUAAAAAUAAGGGUUAUAUAUCUUUUUUAAAAUGUUAAGAAGUUUAAUAUCCUUUUUUAGAUUAAAUUUUCUAUUUCAUAUUAAGCAAAACCCACGUCAAAAGUGAAAAGGAUAAACAGAGCCCACAAAACAGAGCGCAUUACAAAUAUAAAAUCGGAGGAGCUCAUGGUCAUGCCUUUUGCUUUACCUACUAAAUUAAAUAAAAGCCAAACCAAAAUCUUACCUUUGCUUAACAUGAUUAAUUAGGCACUGCAUCAGAGAGAACACGAAGGCAAUGAACCAUUUUGUUAAUCUUAAAUGUCAGGAGUAUAAUUAGCUUGGAAUAAAGUUGCAUUCUUCUCCUCUGACCGUCUCUUCAGGUUCAUUUCAAAAGUUUGAAGAGAGUUUCAAUUCUUCUACACUUUAGAUUUUCUAUUUUUUAAUUGUACAGAAAAUGGGACUAAUUUUCAAAUAUUUUCAAAUUCACUUAUUAACAAAAGCUGUACAAAAUGAUUUCCUUUUUAUUUUGAAAUAUUAUACGGAAUCAAAUAACAGUGAUUGAAAGAGUGUAAAGUGGUAAUUUUCUGAUCGUAUUUUCUCUCUUUUUUAAAAGGAGAUGGUGGGGUUUAGUUGUUUGCAAAAUUAUUGGUGUGAGGGUCUAUUUGUUUUUGUUUUCACUUUAUUAAUUAAUUACUAAGCAAACAUGUAAUCAUUUGUAAAGGGGCAACUAGCAUCGGAUCAUGUAAGAUGAAUUACUUAUUAAUUUCGAUGAAAAUGGAGCAUUAUUAAGUUAUUAAUUCAUUAACUUGAGGUACUAAUAUUUACUAAUUGUGGUGAUUAAUUUAUUUAACUUUGUCAUAAUUUUCAAUUGAGAAUGAAGUUCAAUCAAUGUAUAAAAAAAUAAUUUUUUUAGAUUUUUAAUUCCUAUGAUUUAAUUUCUCGCUGUUUCGAUUAUUGACGUGUUAAAAGCUUGCAGAAUAUCAUGAAAUGCUUGUAUCUCACCUCACAAAUUGGCAAAUAUUGGUUGGUCUCUCCAAAGGCUUCCAUGACGAAUUGAAAUUAAAAACAAUAAUAAUUAACCCUAAAUAAUUUGUCCUGCAUCAUCGAACUCCAGAUCUUAUAAAGUAUAACAGACAAAUUUGAGUUUUUUUUUUUUAAUUAAAAAAAGGAUUGGGAAAAUAAACAAAUAAUGAAGACAGAAGUUAAGCAGACAGAGGAAAAUUAAUUACAUACUAUCCUUGAGAACUCAAUUCUUUAAUAAACUCAAUUUUUAAUUUUUUUUUUUUUUGGGUAAACUCAUGUCAUAUACUAUAGUCUUUAAUUCGGGCUUUGUUGUAUCAAUUUUUUGGUGGUUAUCUUGUUUUAUUUAUUUUUUAUGCAAUAUUUUUGGUAGAAAUACAUCAGGAAUAAGAGUGAAAUCUCAAUUUUAAAGUUUGGGAGAAAUUAAAUGCGAUAUUUUUUUUAUGAAUAAAACAAUUUAAUUUUUUUUAAUUCUACUAGCAAAAACUAUUAAUUUAUCGACUCAUCAAGUUAUUGGUUUCAUUUUACAACUGAUAGUCGGUUUCUUAGUUUCAUUCCUUAAUUAUCUUUUAAAAGAUAUUACAAUGCUCUGGUCAUUUGGUAAUUACAAAGUAGAAAAGUCAAAUAUUUCUGGCCAAAGACACUAGUGGAAAAGAUUUUGAUUCAUUUCAGGUAUUGUUUCCUUUAAUUUUGAUAAUAUUUCUUUUUACCUCUCUCUUUCUAGUUUGAUAAUUUAGGGUUAUAUUUGAAUUAAUUGUAUUUUUAAUCAACCUAGGUUGAUUUAAUUGAUUCCGAGUCUCAAUUUCCUGUUCAAAAAACAAGAAACGAGUAAUUUUUAUUUUCAUUCUCAAUUUUGAAAGAAUCAAUUUAUUUUAUCUGUUCAAUUUUUGUUUAUUUAACUUAGGAUAUCUUUUUCAUUCUUUUCUUCAAGCAGAUUAUAGCGUUGCUCCUCGCAUUGAUUAUAUUGAGAACAAUGCUUUCUUCUUAUUUCCGCCAAGAGCAACGUUGAUUUCAGGUGAUAAUUGAAUGUGUAAUAUUUUCAAUUGAAAUUAAUUGAGUCUCGUAAUAAUAAUAGCGAUUUGAGAUUUACAUCCUGUUGAAAUGAUUUUAGAGUGUUCUGCUAUUUGAAUGCGCAUUAAUUGUUUCAUUAAAUGUCUCUUUAAAAGAUUAUUUUUGUUUUUAGCAAACAUCUUAAUGCACUUUGCAAAUUGAAUCCAACAAGGGAAAAUUAUAGAACUGCAGCAGUUUUCAAAUUGAUUGCAUAUUAGAAGUAAUGUUAAUUUAUGCUGCAACAGUUCAAUGGGCUGGGCACAAGUUUAGGACUUUAGUUGCUCAAUUAAUGAAUCCACCACUCAUCAGACUUGGAACUUAUAUCUAUUGAAUCAAUAAAAAUAGUUGAUGGAAUCAAUGCCGAAAGCUUCAUUUGAUAUUUAUUUAUAACAUCUGUUAGAUUCUGGACAAUCACAAAGAUAUAGCAGCAGAAACUAUGUUGGAGACACUAUAGUUGCUUAAUUAGUGAAAUUGUGCUCUCAUUGCCCCCUUUUUUUGGUUGAUUCUAUAAUUUUAUUAGUUGUUCUUGUGGUUGUAAACAAUAUCAAUUUCUAAUAUUAAUAAAACUGAAUGAAUAAAAUGCGAUGCAUUUGCAGGAAAGUUAAUAGUUUAAAUAUGGAAAAAUCUCGGAUGUUGAUGGAUAGAAGGUCUAUAGAAUAUGAGAAUGCGAUAAAUGAGUUUCUCAAGUUUGCAGUACUUCAUGCUAGUCAUCCUGAGCUUUUGAGAUGUCCAUGCCAGGCAUGUCUUUGUUUAUAGGCUCAAACGAUUAAGAGUAUAGAAAAUGCAUGAUAGAACACAGAACUCAUAUUUUAGCAACAAUCCUCAGCUCACUGGCCCUUAGUUCAGAAUGACAAUUCUUAUUAGCCAAAGGUUCAAAAUGAUUUUUAGUUGUUUAUAAGGAGAGAACUAGAUCAACAAAUAAUUGAAGACCUGCAGCUUGGCUAUUGAACUAUACGAUGAUGCCAAUUCGAAGACUACAACUUGGCUCUGCCAUUCGAAGUAAGCAACGCAGCUGCCCAAAGUCUGCCAAACCAAGAAAAAUAAAGACUUCUCCUUAGCAAUUAAGUUAAUAUAAGGAAUGUUGCAUGUCCACAAAACUAGGUAGACGCAACUGGGACUUCAAUAUAUAUAUAUAUAUAUAUAAGCAUUUCCUAGAUCAAUAUUAUUCUCAGUAACUGAAUAUUGAAGCUGACCAUCACAUUUAAUAAUAUCAGGAAUGUUGUUGAGGAGUAUUUUGAUAUUUACAAAAGUGUUCAAAGUAAAAAUUGAUUUCUUAAAACCCAUUAGCUAGCGCACAUAAUAAUGGGGAGAAAAUUUUAGACUACGAAUAGUCCCACCCAUUUAAUAAUAUUCUUCAAUCAAUUAUGUUUACUUCAAAAAAAAAAAAACCAUCUCUUUAUUACUUUCUAACUAUUCAUAUUAAUGUGUUAAUAAUUAUGAAGAACCGGUGUAAUUUAUAUGAUGUAGGAAGCACUUUAGGCAAAAUCAUCUGAAUCUCAAAAUUUCGUGAUAUUGUGCCAAAUAUCCAAAACAGAGCUUCCUACAUUGCUAUAGCAGUUUUUAAAAGUUGAGGACUCCAAAUAUCCAAUAACUGAUAAAUUGUGUUAAGAAAUAUAAAUAUGAAUGGUGAUGACACAUAUGCACGGAAUUCCUCUGUUUUGAGUUUGACUAAAACAACCUGAAUAAUUUCAAACAAUCCAUCAGCCCAAAGUCCUUGAGAGAUUGAACUGGAUUUGAGUGCAUCACAUUCUGAAAUUGAAACUAACAUUAAUUAGAAAGGCAGAACAGCCUCUGUUUUUUACUAUAAUACAAAAUGGGAAGUCUAACCAAUUCGAGGAACUCUCCUGUUUUUGACUGAACAUACAUAAUCCGAACAAUUUACAAUUAAAUAAAUCGUCCAAAAUCUCCUUUAGUCCAACCCCCAUUUCCAUGGUUUAAUAGAAUUUCAUAAAGGUGCCCAAUACAGUGAAAUUAACGUUCAGCUCAUGAAGUUGCCUUUAUAUAUAUUGAAAAAGAAAUUAAUAAAAGAAAUUGAAAAAAGAAAUUAAUCAACUUCGAAUUUUGUUAUUAUUCAAACUUUGUAUUUCUUGCUCAUAGCCAGUUAAACUGUGUCUAACUGUCAUACAGGUUCCAUUUUUAGUUGAUUAACUGUAUAUGCAAAAUUAAAUCACCUGAGCCUCUGGUUUCACUAUUUUCCAACUUGAAACUAAAACGCAGAAUUGAUGGGGUAAUUCAUGGGGAAUCAGAUGGCCAUCUAUUUUUAGGUCUAUUUUAUGUACUAUUGGCCACCAGGUAGCUUGGUCAUAUACGUGUAUUGGGAUGUCAGGGGGCCUAAAAAAUAAAGGAGAAAAUCAGUCACAAAUCUAAAGUGAAAAACAGUAACUAGAACAGAAUCUAUGUUUUGAUGUGUUUAGUUUAUAGGCUCAAACAAUUUAUAGUAUAGAAAAUGCAUGAUAGAACACAGAACUCAAUGUUUUAGCAAUAAUCCUAAGCUCACUGGCAAUUCUUAACUAGUCCGAUCUCCAUUAUUGACAAGUUGUUCGAUGUCCAUCGGCAUUACCCAGCCUACCGCAUUAAUGAAGCAGUUGCAUUAAUGAAGAGUCGCAUGGUCUUGUCUCAUAAUUUUGCACUUAUCAUAAUACAGUAAAAAACCUUACACUUAUCAUAAUAAUAAGGACCAUUUUAAUGACAAUUUGGACAACUGGUUUACGGUCAUUCCAUAUAAUAUAUAUUAGAAAUCAACUAUUUCAUACGAAUUCAAAACAGAAAAGAUGGAAAUCAUAUUUUUAAAUAGUUAUUAGUAUAAAAAAAAUAUUAUGAUUUCGUCAAAAUUACAGAAAUUAUGAUAUUUGAUAUCCUGAAAAAGACUUUCAUUGGAAAAAAAAUUAUUGUAUUUGCCUAAUGCAAAUUUGAUACUAACAUAUUUAUUUCAAACAGUAAUAACAUUUGAGGAGUGCUACAGUAAUAACAUUGGAGGGGACAACUGACUCUCUGGCUCCCCCUCUGCUGGACAUGUGUAUUUGUAUGAAUUCUAUAAGCAAAAAUUAAUGUAAUAAUACGUUUCUUUUAUUUUUUAAAAGAAAGAAAUGAAAUAAAAUAACAGCGGUUAAUGUGAAAAACUUUGUACGUUUGUGUUAGUUACAAGCAAUCACAGUGGUAAACGAAAAAAAAACGAAUUAAAACACAUGAGGAGAUUUAAAUGAAAAUGUCUUAAUAAUACAUCGCAUGGAAGACCUUUUGUACUCAAAACUGAUCAGCAACCCAUUCUGCCCGCUGUGUAAUCACAUCUUGAAGGGAGUGUUGCUUCAGCAUUUUUAACAUUUUUACUAUUUCUAGGAUCCAUUUUGUCACCUCCCCCCCCCCCCCCCCCCCCCCCCCCCCCCCCCCCCCCCCCCCCCCGGUUUCUAAAAUAAUUAUAUAAUAACCAUAUAAUUAUUGGUUGUUCUAGCAAAUAAAAUCUAUAUAUAUUUUUAAAUCUUUUAAUAACAUUAUCACUUUGUUAAAAUAAAAAAUGUCCUCAUUAAAUAAUUAUAUUAUAUAUAUUCAUUUAUUGUGCCUAAAGAGCUUCCAAUUGAAGGAGCUCCCCUGUUUUUGACUGAAACAUAUGUAAUCCGAACAAUUUGUAAUUAGAUAAAUCAUUCAAAAUCUCCCUGAAUCUAACCCACAUUUCUAUGGUUUAAUAACAUAUCACAAAGGUGCCUAAUAUAAUGAAAUUAGCAUUAGUUCACGAGAUUGCCAUUAUAUAUAUUGAAAAAGAAAUUAAUACAAGAAACUGAAAAUUAAUUGACACUAGAUCACGUCGUGUUGUUAGUUUGAUUAUGAUGGGAAUAUAAUCUUGGUCUUUUAAUUAUCAUUUAGCUACCGCAUGUGCACUAGUUUCAUUUGUGUCUAUCACUGAAGAGUAGAGUUGCUUGAUUUGAAUAGUAUCAUAUCAUAGAAACUCAAAACUCAAUUUCGUUGCCCGAGCAUACCACGCCAUAUGUAGCUCAAAAGUGCAAUAACAUUGAACAGUCAGCUAGCUAGCUUAUACUAAUUAAUUAAUACGACUAUCAGUUAUUUUAUAUUAAUUAAAAGAGAAAAUAUUUGACAAUCACGAAAACAACAACAAUUCACUCCAAUAAACAACAUAACAAAUACAUGAUCCAUAUUACAAGUCUUUUUAUGAUUUAAAUUAAAGGGAAAAUACGAAGGACAUAUUAUAUAUUAUAUAUGAUUGAAUUUUAUCCAUGAUAAUUAGACAAAAUAACACUAAUCUAGCUAACUAAUCCAACCAUCAUAAUAAUUUGAUUUUCAUUAUUUUAUUGUGUCCAAUCAUGCUAAUUUAAUAAAAAAACUCAGAGCACUUGAGGAUUUAGAUAUUCAACAACUUUGGCCAAGUUUGAAAAAGAUUAGAUCUGCAUUCAUGCUUUGUGUUCUUAUGUUACACAUGAUCAUAUUAUGUUACAUUUGACAGAAAACUGAAAAUUAUUGAAAAAAAAAAUCUUAGUUAGCACAUGAUCAAAAUGAGAGAAUAAUGCACACACAUCACAACAAUGUUUCAUUCAUUUUGAAUCUAUAUUUACAAAACUUGUAUCCGAUGGUUUACAUUUGUUUAAUCUAACGGCUAUGACAUGUGUACUGUCAAAACGCUACAGCUGCCAUCUCUGUUUGACCUUGUUGCAUCCUUGAUCUUAUAUUAUCCUGGAGAUUAUUGAAUGUUCUUCUCAUUCUCAUGUGCUCGAGGGUCCUUUCUUGAGACAUUUCAGCAAACACCUGAUUCAUCCUAUUAAACAUCAGCAUCAUUAAUCAGUAAAUGAUGUAAGGUAGCCCUGUUUUGAGAAGUCAACAUAAAUCAGUCACCUUAGAUUUUCUCAGUCUCAGAGCACAACGGGUGAUGAUUUGAUGAGAAAUAUUAAUAUGCAUGCAUCCCCUGAAUUAGCUAGAGCUGGUUGUCAUUUUCUUCUUUCUUUUGGUACGGUUUUAGAUUUUUAAUCAAUCAGAUUCAGCUGCAUGUUUGCUUUUAGUCCAAACCAAAAUAAGAUAUUAAGUACUUUUGCCAGAAUAGACGCAACCAAAAUUCUAUGGGAUCUGUAGUUCCUAGUUCAUGCAGAAGCGGCCGAAUGCUUCCGGCAACUCAGGCAGAUAGAACCUUGGUUGAUUCGUUUUUCUUCAUCUGAAAUUCUACCUAAUGCCUAUCCUCUUAAUUGGUUUAAAUUCUUCUUUUUUUUCUUUGAAUUGUUGAUUUAUAAUGUCUUGUAUGCAAAAUUUAUAAUUUCGGAUGAUGAUAAUCUUGUUUAAGAAGAGAUUUCUAGUUACGGCAGCAGCAUUCUUGAUCAUGGCGCUCUGGUUUGCUUAGUUUCCUUUUUGUCUCUGAUAUUUUCUUGGCAUUCUUGUUCUCUCUUGUAAUAAAGUGCUUUUGAUAAAUUCGCCUGGUCGGUUUACUUCACUGACCAUUAAUGAGCAAAUCCUCCCAGUGACCCUCAAACUCUUCUACACAAUUAUAAUAAUUUCAGUUUUAUAUAUACAAAAAUGAACAGCUCUCAAAUAUAUUAUUUGAUAAUGACAAAAACAACAAUUCACUCCAAUAAAUCUCAUAAUAAAUACAUGAUCUACAUUGCAAGCCUUUUUAGGACGCAUUCAAAAAGAAAACAUAAGGAAUGACAUUGCAAGAAUAUGGAAUCAGAAUAACAGUGAUACAAAGAGAAAAAAAGGGGAUGGUCGGGUUGGGUUGCUUGCAAAAUUAUUGGUGCGGGGGUCUACUUGUUUUUGUUUCACUUUAUUAAUUAAUUACCGAAGCAAACACGUCAUCAUUUGAAAAAGAAUCACUAGCACCAGCUUAUGAAAAAAUAAAUUUGUAAGCCAUAUUAAUUUCAAUGAAAAUGUAGCGUGAUUAUGUUAUGAAUUUCAUUAACUUACUUCAUUAAUAUUCUUCAUUAUUAUGGUUAAUGGCUUAGCAAAUGCAGGAGCAGGGGUCACCCAAAGUAAAACACUUUCUCUUGUAUUAACCUUUGCUAGCCGUCGAAGUUAAAAAUUUUUUUUGAACAAGUUAAAACAGUUCCAACUCAGAAGUAGUAGUGCCCAAUUGGGUUGUUAUAAAUAUUUCGGAAUUUCAGUCUAAGUUGAUUUGUUUAAUUAUGUAUGCACAAACUAGCUUUACCACUUCUUUCAUAUUGAUACCUAUAAAUUGCAACCUUAUUUUACGUUGAUGCACAAUCUAACUUAACAAAAAGAAUAUUCAAAUUGUCACAAAAUGUUUUUUUCUUAAUGUAUAUAUAUAUAUAUAUACAGUAGUUAAUUUUUCUUAUUCUUCACUCCAGGAUCCAGCUCCAUACCCCUCUCUUUUGUCGUUAUGCUGCUCAGCCAUUAGAUUUUAAUUACAUUAAUCUAACGGUUGAGAUUUGUAAAUGAAUAAUGACGUGGUGUUUGGCUACUAUCUGAGCCCACUGCAUCUAUUUGGUUUUGUGAUUUUUCGAUUGACUAGUUCUGAAAAUAUCGGCAGCCAUCGACGGCAAAUCUAAACAAAGGCAACAGGAGGUGAUCGUGGUGAAAUUGUUUUUUGGCAUGCGAAUCUAAUGACUUUCGAAUACGUUCAUUCAAAUAUUAAAUGCAAUUCAUGCAAAUAGAAGCUUGGUUGAUUGAUUGCUCUUCAUGUGAAAUUCUACCUAAUCGCUAUCCUUUUAAUGGUCUUAUAUGCAAAUUAAAUUCGAAAUUCGGAUGAUAAUAAUCUUGAUUUAGAACAGAUUAGGUAAGAUGUGGCAUUCUACAUUCUUGCAAUGCCAUUUCUUUUUAUGGCAGCACCAUUUUUUAUCAUUGUUUUUGUGGACCUAUUUGCUGAAUUCAAAACUUGGCGUGUUAAAACGGCAUCGUUUUGUCCAUUAAGAUGUUUCAAGUUGUCCCGGGCUGGACAUAUGACUCACUUAAUGAUACCAAAACGGCGAGGCAUGAAGGUGUUUUGGCUAAAGGCUUAAGUUCUGCAUGUGACAAGCACGUGAGAGAAUAAUCAAGUUAGUUAUAAGUUGUUAUACACGUGGCUGGAUCUGGUGCAAUCUGGGGUAAUGAACACCCGUUAUAUAAGCUGAGCUUUCAGGCAGUUUCAGCAAGAUGUAAAGAGCUUCUAGAGAGAAUGAAGAGAGAGAAAAAGUAUCAUCUUAUUCCUUGUUAGUUUCUCCGUGUGAGCUCUGUACAAUACUUUGAUUCAUAAAUAAAACUCAUUUUAGUCGAUUCUCCCUUGGAUGUAUGUUCUGCCUCAUUGCACAGCCGAACCACGUAAACAGUGCUGGUUUCUGUGUGUGAUUGUUUGUUAAUCUUGCUUAUUUCUUGUUUCCUAAUGGCUGAAAUCUUGCUUUAAGUUCUUAAGUCAUCUAUUGGGUUCAUCGAGGUCAUUCAAUUGUUCAUAUGUAGCUAGUUUGAUCUUGUACAGGGUCUUAGGCAGUCUUUUGAUAGCUUGAUUAGCAUUAGCGGCUAUCUUGACAGUACAAUUGGUAUCAGAGCUAGUUCUUCAGAUCAAGAUCCAAGUAUGGCUCCAUCAAAGAUUGAUCUUGAGAAGUUCAAUGGAAAGAAUGACUUUCAUAUGUGGAAGGUUAAGAGGGAAGCAUUUCUGGUUACACAGGGUCUUGGGUAUGCUAUUCAACAAGUAACCAAAAAACAGGAAAGGAGGUAUCUUCGUCAAAGACCCCAGAGCAGGUUGCUGAGAUAGACAAAAGGGCCGGGGGGACAAUAAUCUUGAGCCUUGCAGACUCAGUGAUAAGGGAACAAUUAUUUUCCCAAUUGCGCUUUCAUUUGAACAAUUCCACUGUAGAUUUAUAAAAUAAUGAUCAAAUUGUGUUUUAUAUUAAGUUACGAGUAAUUGGUUAAAUAUUAAUACAAAACUAUUUUAAGUAACAUGUGGCAUAUUCUAAUUCUAGCCAAGCUUCCAACUAAGAUUCCAAAAUCAAAAGAAUUUCAAUCUUCAGAACAUUCUGCAAAACGUUUAGUCUCUACGCAGUGCUAGAAUUUUCCCUAAGUUUCUUUCGCAAAGACUUCUAAAGAACUAUUCAGAUAUCGUGCUAUAAUCCAGUCUAAAGUGUAUAUAUCUCUCUAAUUCACCUCCUUCCAUUUCACCAGAAAAUCAACAAACACUUAGCUUCAAACAAACACUCUCAAAAAGCUAGCUAGCUGCCCAGAUGGCAAAACCAAGAAUUCUUGCAAUGACAAUGUUGUUUCUUGUUAUGGCAGCAACAUUGAUGAACAUGGCAUCACAAGCAAACGCUCUGAUGCCGUACACACAAUCACCUUUCUUUGACACGAUGUUCCCAAUGACGGAGCCUCUCAGGGUUUGUUGUGAAAAUUUUAAUAUACUCGCAAGCGCACGAAUCUAGAAAUAGAGUAGUGGUAACGAGGUCGAUCCCACAGGGAUUGAUAAAAAGUCUAAUUUAAAUCUAAAAUUAAUAUUAAUCCUAACCUAGUUGAGCAAAUUGAGUUUUAAAAGAAAUUAAACUAAGAAAACAAUUAAAGUAAAAGAGAAUUCAAUAAGAUAGAAAUUACCAAGGUUUCAGAAUCCACCACUAUUCAACUAGUAAUUAUCUAAUUAUUAAUUAAUCCCCAAUUUUAGAGUGACAACUCGAAAUCAAUCUAUGUCAUCUCAUAGAUAUAACAAUUAAGCCCAAGUAAUUAAAUCUAAUGUAGGUUCUUUUUCUGCUUAAUAAUAUGACAUCUAAGCAUCCCAUGUAAACAUAUUGAAUAACAAAGAGUCAAAGUUUUCCUAAGCACUCUAUGUAAACAAUUUAAUGAAAGACAUAAAAUCAAAGAUAAUCAUGUAUAAACUUUAUAGAUCCAAGCAUAGAAUUAAUCGAAUAUUAAUCCUAACAAUCAAUAAUGCAUGACAGAAUUGAUGAAAAGAUUUUAAUAACAUCCAAUUAAUCAUGUGAAAUAAAAACCAUAAUUAUCAAAGAACAUAUAUAGGGAAUUAAUUAAAUAAAAAGAGAUAAUUAUUUCAUUGAAUAGGGUUUCAUCUUUAACCUCAGUAUAAGAAAAUUAGCUAGACAUACUUGAAUUGGGAGCAACAAAAUAAAUAAAUUCAGCCAUGGGAAAGCCGAAUUGCUGCAGAUUUUCUUCUCUGUCUUGAAUCCUUGCGUCUGCAGUUCUCCCUUCUGGCGGCUCUCUCUUUGCAAAAGCCAAAGUUCGGCUUUUAUAUCUUUAAUCCCUAGCCGAAUCCUUGUCAAAUAAUGAUAGCUAGUGACUUGCUCACACGAGCUAAAAUCAGCCCACUCUUGCAAAGCCCAAUUAGAAUUCCUUUUAUCCUUCAUGUGCUGGCAAAGCUUUUAACUUUGGCUUUAUCACGUGUACUCCAAAAAGAAUUUUCAUUCCUUUUCCACUCAUGAAAGUCAAGUGCGGGUCCCCUUUCUAUUGCUUUCCACCCCUUUAUCUUCUUUGUCUGUACGUGCAUGGCUAAAUGAAUUGUUGAAUUCGGUUUCCUUGUCUUGAAUUAACAUGCAUAUAAGCAUAAUUGCUUCCAAAUUAAUUAAUCUUUAAUGCUCACAAAUUGAAUUUCUUUAUGCUCUUUUUAUCCAUAAUCUCUAAUUAAUUCCCUAUUCAAUAAAACAAUACAAUUAAUUAAAAAUAACAAAUAAAUAUAACUAACAAUUAUUUAAUUAAUGGUAAAAUAUGUAUGUAUUAUAUGCUCAUCAAAUACCCCCAAACUUAAAUUUUGCUAGUCCUCGAGCAAAACUAAAACCAAAAAAAAAAAUAAUAAUAAUAAAAUAAAAAUAAUGAAACAAAAAGUAAAUCCGAACUAAACCACUGUCGCAGGUAAUCGCGAUUGCAUUUAGCGUAUGCAACAAGCCUUUAAACCCCUAGGCGGCCCUAGUGGACGAGUUAUAGUCUCGUGAGGGCUUCAGUGAUGAUACCCACAAACAUCAUUUAAAAAUAAUAAUAAUAAUAAUAAAUUAAAUUAAAUCAAAAGAACGAAAAACUUUAAAUAAAACAUGAAAAAUAGCCUCAAAGAUUGCAAAAAUUAUAUAGCUCAAAGAAAAUUUCAAAUAUUGGCAAAGUUCUAACUUUAAUUCAAUAAUCAAUUCCACCUCUCUUUCGAUUCUUGUAGUGUGUGUGUGAAAUCAAUUCAAUCAAAUCCAUUCCCAAAAUCUUCAACAUCAACAGCCUUCGCCUCAAACAAAGAACAGAGUAGGUCAAACUAAUCUUAUCAUCUUGAUCUCAAAAUUUUUUUUUUUUUUCUUACAGGCUUUUAUGUGCAUUUUCUUUUGAAUUUUUUUUUCAGCAUAUGCACUUGAUUUGAUUUUUUUUUUCUUUUUCUCUUUUUUUUUUUAACCAUAGUCAGGAGCUUUCACUCUACCCCUUAAGGUAGCCUUCUUCUCAUGGUAGAUUAUCCUCUACAUACUUGUGGUACAUAGGCCCAAAUUACUCAAGGAUAGCUUCACUCUUAAGGGUUAUAGGUAGCUAUUUCUGACUUUGGCGCCCGUGUAUACUAUUUUGUAUUGUGGAGAUAAGAAUCAAGACAAACAGUCAUUUACUCUAUCUAAAAUUCUCAACUCAGGCUGCGUCAAUCUCAAAUUUCAAGUUAAAAUUAUGAAAGAACUGAUAUUAGUGCUCAUGGUUUAAAGAAUCUCAAUCAAGAGGAACUAACACAAGAAUCAAGUAUAAACUAAGACAAUAUUCAACCCUUUCGAAAAACUAUAUUCAUUGUCAAUCAAGUUCUUAUCAUUGGCUUUUCACGAAAAAAAAUAAAUAACACAAUUUUUUUUUUUUUUAACAAACAAAGCACACACUAUUCCCACCCCCAAACUUAUUCGGAACAUUGUCCUCAAUGUUUCACAAACAAAAGAUAUGCAUGCAAACAAAUGAAAGAAAAAAAAAUUAAUAAUAAUAAAAACAUAAAUAAUAAAAAGAAAGUUGGAGAGAACACACCUGAAUGGGCUGGGAAAGCGUAAAAGAAAAUACCAAAUGAAAAGAAAACAUUAGAAAAGAAAAAUACUAGAAAAGAAAAACAAACAAAGAAAAGAAAACCUACUAUUAAAAUAAAACAAGAGUGCAAAGAUGAACUUAAUUAAUCCUAAUAAACAGGAUCAUCUAAAAGUAUCUCCUCAACUUCUGGUGUUCUUAAUUCUAAAAAUGGUUUUAAUCUUUGACCAUUGACCUUAAAUAAAUCACCAUUUUUAGGAUUUUCAAUCUCAAUUGCUCCAUAAGGGAAGACAGUACGAACUAUAAAAGGACCAGACCAUCGGGAACGUAACUUACCUGGAAAGAGAUGCAAUCGGGAAUUAUAUAAAAGUACUUUCUGACCUGGUGUAAAGGCUUUUCUCAAAAUGUGUUUGUCAUGAAAAACUUUCAUUCGCUGUUUAUAAAUCUUGGCAUUCUCAUAUGCAUCAUUCCUGAUCUCUUCAAGUUCUGCUAGUUGUAAUCUUCUCUUGGAACCAGCCUGCUGCAUGUCAAAAUUGAAUUUCUUGAUCGCCCAAUAUGCACGAUGCUCCAACUCUACUGGCAGAUGACAUGCUUUUCCAUACACAAGUCGAUAAGGUGACAUCCCAAUUGGUGUUUUAAAAGCAGUCCUAUAUGCCCACAAUGCAUCAUCAAGUCUCAAAGACCAAUCCUUUCUAUCUGGCCUAACUGUUUUCUCUAGAAUCUGCUUGAUCUCUCUAUUAGAAAUCUCUACUUGGCCACUGGUUUGAGGAUGAUAUGGGGUGGCAACCUUAUGUGUAAUGGAAUAUUUGUCCAAAAGAGUUUUGAAAGGUUUAUUACAAAAAUGGGUACCACCAUCACUAAUGAUUGUUCUAGGAAAACCAAAACGAGACAGAAUAUUACUCUUCAAGAAUUUCACUACAACCCUAUGAUCAUUGGUUUUGCAUGGAAUAGCUUCAACCCACUUCGACACAUAGUCCACUGCAACCAAUAUAUAUUGAUAACCAAAAGAUGGAGGGAAAGGUCCCAUGAAAUCAAUACCCCAUACAUCGAAGAUCUCAACCACAAGAAUAGGAUUGAGUGGCAUCAUGUUCCUCUUUGAAAUGCUACCCAUACGUUGGUACCUAUCACACAAAGAACAGAAAACAUAAGCGUCAUGAAAAAGAGUAGGCCAAUAAAAACCACACUGUAAAAUUUUUGUUGCUGUCUUUUUAGCACUAAAGUGGCCUCCGCAAGCUUGUUCAUGGCAAAAUGAGAUAACACUUUGAAUUUCAUUAUCGGGAACACAUCGCCUAAUAAUCUGAUCAGCACAAUAUUUAAAUAAAUAGGGAUCAUUCCAAAAGAAGUCUUUCGCUUUAGAUAAGAACUUUGUUCUAUCUUGCUUAGUCCAGUGCUCUGGGAUUUGACCUGUAGCAAGGUAAUUAACUAUAUCAGCAAACCAUGGUACAACAUUUACACUCAUAAGUUGCUCAUCUGGGAAAGACUCAUUCAAAGGUAAAGAUUCUGGAAUAAAUUUAAGAUCAAGGCGAGAUAAAUGAUCCGCCAUAACAUUUUCAGAACCUUUUUUAUCUCUAAAUUCAAUGUCAAAUUCUUGUAAAAGCAACACCCAACGAAUCAAUCUUGCCUUAGCAUCUUUCUUAGUAAGCAAAUAUUUUAAAGCAGCAUGAUCAGUAAAAAUAAUCACUUUACAUCCUAUAAGAUAAUAUCUUAAUUUAUCAAGUGCAAACACCACAGCUAGCAUUUCUUUUUCUGUAGUUGAAUAGUUCAACUGUGCAUCAUUGAGUGUCAUACUAGCAUAAUAAAUCACAUAAGGCACACGAUCUAAUCUUUGUCCUAAAACUGCUCCUACUGCAUAAUCAGAUGCAUCACACAUAAUUUCAAAAGGCAAAUCCCAAUUAGGUGCCUGAAUGAUAGGUGAAGAAGUCAAUAAUUUCUUAAGCUUUGCAAAAGCAUCAAGACAAGAUUCAUCAAAGAUAAAAGGUACAUUCUUAACAAGUAAAUUGCAUAAGGGUCUAGAAAUGUUACUAAAAUCUUUAAUGAAUCUUCUAUAAAAACCAGCAUGUCCAAGGAAAGAUCUUACUUCUUUUACGGAUUUGGGAUGUGGAAGAUUAGAAAUUAAAUCCACCUUAGCUUUGUCGACUUCUAUACCUUUGCUGGAAAUUAUAUGACCAAGAACAAUACCUUGUUUUACCAUGAAGUGACAUUUUUCCCAAUUUAGAACUAAGUUCUUUUCUUUACAUCUCUGCAAAACUAAUGUUAGGUGCUGCAAACAUUCAUCAAAAGAAUCUCCAUAAACAGAAAAAUCAUCCAUGAAUACUUCAAGAAAUCUCUCAACCAUAUCAGAAAAAAUACUAAGCAUGCAUCUUUGAAAGGUAGCAGGUGCAUUGCAUAAACCAAAUGGCAUUCUCCUAUAUGCAAAAGUUCCAAAGGGACAAGUAAAAGUAGUUUUCUCCUGGUCCUCUGGAGCUAUAGGGAUCUGAUUAUAACCUGAAUAUCCAUCUAGAAAACAAUAAAAAUCAUGACCUGCAAGUCUAUCAAGCAUUUGAUCAAUAAAUGGAAGAGGAAAAUGAUCUUUUCUUGUGAAUGAAUUUAAUUUUCUAUAAUCAAUGCAAACACGCCAACCUGUAGUUACUCUAGUGGGAAUUAAUUCAUUAUUAGCAUUAGUAACUACUGUAACACCAGAUUUCUUAGGAACAACUUGCACAGGGCUAACCCAAGAGCUAUCUGAAAUAGGAUAAAUAAUUCCUGCAUCUAAUAAUUUGAUUACUUCAGCUCUUACCACUUCUUUCAUGUUAGGAUUUAGCCUACGUUGCAUUUCCCUAAUAGGCUUAGCAUUUUCUUCAAGAUGAAUACGAUGCAUGCAAUCUACUGGAUUAAUACCUUUAAUAUCAGCAAUGGUCCAUCCUAUUGCCUCCUUAUGCUCUUUUAGAAUACCUAACAACUUACCUUUUUGCUCAAGAUCGAGGGAAGAAGAAAUAAUAACAGGUAGAGUGUCAGAUUCUCCCAAGAAUGCAUAUUCCAAAGUGUCGGGCAGUGCUUUGAGUUCCAAUUUUGGUGGUGCCUCCGCAGAUGGGCCAAUUUUCUUCUCAGAAUGAGGCAGUAAUUCUGACUUUGCCUUCCAUUUAGUUGUGUCCGUAAUUAGAGGUGCAUCAAGUAAAGCGCUGACUUCUGCAAUUGCACUGUCAUCAUUAAAAGAUAAAUCAGGAUGAGUUAGACAUGCCUGUAAUGGAUCAUCAGUAUGGUUAGAAAUGAAUGAAUCUUCUACUAAUUCCUCUAUCAUAUUUGCUUCAACAAAUUCAUCUUCUUCUUGUGGCUGCUUGGUAACAUUAAAAAUAUUCAAUUCCAUGGUCAUGUUACCAAAAGAUAGCUGCAUAUUUCCAUUCCUGCAAUUAAUAAGAGCAUCAGCUGUAGCUAAGAAAGGACGACCUAGAAUAACUGGGGUGUGUUUCUUAGGAUCAUGUACAUGCUGAGUAUCAAUAACAAUAAAAUCAACAGGAUAAUAAAAUUUAUCAAUCUGUAUCAACACAUCCUCUAUAAUACCACGAGGUAUUUUCAUUGAUCUAUCAGCAAGUUGCAAAAUAAUAGGAGUUGAUUUUAACUCACCUAGUCCAAGUUGCAUGUAAACAGAAUAAGGCAAGAGAUUAACACUAGCACCCAAAUCCAAUAAUGCUUUAUCAAAACAUUGGUUUCCUAUAACACAUGAGAUAGUAGGAGAACCUGGAUCCUUAAAUUUUGGUGGCAUUUUACAUUGGAGUAAGUUGCUAGUUUGUUCAGUUAAAAAUGCCUUUUUAGUGACAUGUAAAUUUCUCUUUUUCGUGCAUAAAUCUUUUAAAAACUUUGCAUAUGAAGGAACUUGCUUAAUAGCAUCGAGUAAAGGGAUGUUUAUACUUACCUGUUUGAAUAUUUCCAUAAUCUCACCUGUUGAAGUCCCUUUCUUUACCUUUGUUAACCUUUGAGGAAAAGGAGCCUUGCGAAUGUAAGCUGGCGGGCCACUCUCUUCUGGAUCAUUUGUUGACGACUCUUGUGAUGGAACUGGAUCUGAAGAAGUAGGCUCAGAUAUCUUCCUUGUUGGAACCUCCACUUUGUUGUCAAAUAAUUUUCCUUUUCUCAAGGUCAUAACAGAUUUUGCUUCUUCAUGCAGAUGGCUUGAACUCGAUCCAACUUCAUGCACUCCUUUAGGAUUGGGAAUUGAUUGACUUGGGAAUUUUCCUUUUUCUCUCUCCGCUACAGUAGUUGCUAAUUGACCCAAUUGAUGUUCAAGCUUCAGAAUAGCUUGAGUAUUUGAUUGAAAAGCUUGUUGGGUUGACUGAAUGAAACUUUGAAGUGUAUCCUCUAAAGAAGGCUUUCUUUGUUGGGGUGCAACAAAUUGAGACAUAGAUUGUUGGGCAGGAGGAUAUACUUGGUUAGGAGGGACAAAUUGUUGAUUGGGCAUGUUAAAUUGUUGCCCUCCUUGGUUUGACAAAGGUUGAUUUUGUUUCCAAGAAAAAUUAGGGUGAUUCCUCCAAUUAGGAUUAUAUGUGGAUGAAUAUGGACUAUUGGAGGUUUUCUCAUAUGAUUGUAAGGCAUGUACCUGCUCAGAAUAAGCAUCUAGAUAGACUGGUAAUGAUGGACAAUUUUGUGCUGUAUGAGACAAGUUAGAACAAAUAGCACAAACCUCAUUAGCUACACUAGGAUGAUGAUUUAUGGAUUGGUUCAUAACUAAGGCAUCUACUUUCCUAGAAAGUGUAGCUAGAGUGGAUUUCACAUCAAAAUCAUCCUUAACUUCAUAUAACCCCUUUCUAGAAACUUGAAAUAAUUUUUCCCUUUGAUUUGAAAUAUCCCACUGUUGAGAAUUUUCAGAAAGUGAAUUAAAGAAAUCCCAUGCAGCCCCUUCAUGUAAGUUCAAAAAUCUCCCACCAUUCAUAGAUUCUACCAUAUGACGAUUUGACAUGGUUAAGCCAUUAUAAAAGCAUUGUAUAAGUCUCCAUUUUUCAAAACCAUGGUGGGGACACUUGAGGAGUAAAUCAUUGAAUCUUUCCCAACACUCAUAAAAUUGCUCACCAUCUCUUUGAUAAAAAUCACUUAUCUCUCUCCUAAGGGCAUUUGUUUUAGACAUAGGGAAAAACUUGGUGAGAAACUUAUUACUCAAUUCAUCCCAUGUACUAAUAGACCCAGCAGGAAGUGAAUUCAACCAAGCUUUUGCUUUGUCUUUUAAUGAGAAAGGGAACAUACGAAGCCUAAUUGACUCAUCGUUAAAAUUUUGAAAACGAAAUGUAGAGCAUAUGUCAAGAAAUUCCUUAAUGUGCAAAUAUGGAUCCUCUCUCUCUAACCCAUGGAAAGAUGGUAAAAGUUGAAUGACUGAGGGCUUAAGUUCAAAGUGUGUUGCUGUAGUUUGUGGCAACAUAAUACAAGAUGGUUGGUUGGCUGCAAGUGGUGAAAAAUAUUCUCUAAGGGUUUUCUCUGCUUGCACUGGUGGGAGUAUUGGCAAUAGUCUAUUUGGGUCAUCCAUCACUUCUAAAGAACUAGUUUGACUACUAUCAAUUUUCAACUCUCUUUUAACCAAACGAUUUGUUGAAUCACGUUCCCAAACACUCAUAAACUAACUAGACAAGGAAAGAAAGAAAAAUAAAAUAAAAUAAACCAACAAAAAUGAGAAUAAACGAAAUUUAAAAAUAAAAGAAAUCAAACGACUAAACAAUGAAUUUAAAGACAAAUAAAAGUUUUUUUUUUGUGUUUUUUUUUUAAUUAAAAAAAAUAAAAGACAACCUAAAUUAUAACUAGUGGAAGAAUCAAAUUAACCUAGAUUAAACUGACUUUCUAGCACAAUCCCCGGCAACGGCGCCAAAAACUUGUUGUGAAAAUUUUAAUAUACUCGCAAGCGCACGAAUCUAGAAAUAGAGUAGUGGUAACGAGGUCGAUCCCACAGGGAUUGAUAAAAAGUCUAAUUUAAAUCUAAAAUUAAUAUUAAUCCUAACCUAGUUGAGCAAAUUGAGUUUUAAAAGAAAUUAAACUAAGAAAACAAUUAAAGUAAAAGAGAAUUCAAUAAGAUAGAAAUUACCAAGGUUUCAGAAUCCACCACUAUUCAACUAGUAAUUAUCUAAUUAUUAAUUAAUCCCCAAUUUUAGAGUGACAACUCGAAAUCAAUCUAUGUCAUCUCAUAGAUAUAACAAUUAAGCCCAAGUAAUUAAAUCUAAUGUAGGUUCUUUUUCUGCUUAAUAAUAUGACAUCUAAGCAUCCCAUGUAAACAUAUUGAAUAACAAAGAGUCAAAGUUUUCCUAAGCACUCUAUGUAAACAAUUUAAUGAAAGACAUAAAAUCAAAGAUAAUCAUGUAUAAACUUUAUAGAUCCAAGCAUAGAAUUAAUCGAAUAUUAAUCCUAACAAUCAAUAAUGCAUGACAGAAUUGAUGAAAAGAUUUUAAUAACAUCCAAUUAAUCAUGUGAAAUAAAAACCAUAAUUAUCAAAGAACAUAUAUAGGGAAUUAAUUAAAUAAAAAGAGAUAAUUAUUUCAUUGAAUAGGGUUUCAUCUUUAACCUCAGUAUAAGAAAAUUAGCUAGACAUACUUGAAUUGGGAGCAACAAAAUAAAUAAAUUCAGCCAUGGGAAAGCCGAAUUGCUGCAGAUUUUCUUCUCUGUCUUGAAUCCUUGUGUCUGCAGUUCUCCCUUCUGGCGGCUCUCUCUUUGCAAAAGCCAAAGUUCGGCUUUUAUAUCUUUAAUCCCUAGCCGAAUCCUUGUCAAAUAAUGAUAGCUAGUGACUUGCUCACACAAGCUAAAAUCAGCCCACUCUUGCAAAGCCCAAUUAGAAUUCCUUUUAUCCUUCAUGUGCUGGCAAAGCUUUUAACUUUGGCUUUAUCACGUGUACUCCAAAAAGAAUUUUCAUUCCUUUUCCACUCAUGAAAGUCAAGUGCGGGUCCCCUUUCUAUUGCUUUCCACCCCUUUAUCUUCUUUGUCUGUACGUGCAUGGCUAAAUGAAUUGUUGAAUUCGGUUUCCUUGUCUUGAAUUAACAUGCAUAUAAGCAUAAUUGCUUCCAAAUUAAUUAAUCUUUAAUGCUCACAAAUUGAAUUUCUUUAUGCUCUUUUUAUCCAUAAUCUCUAAUUAAUUCCCUAUUCAAUAAAACAAUACAAUUAAUUAAAAAUAACAAAUAAAUAUAACUAACAAUUAUUUAAUUAAUGGUAAAAUAUGUAUGUAUUAUAUGCUCAUCAGGGUUCUUGAACAAACCCCUUUAACAAUCGCAAAAGGAGCUGAUCAUCAUCAAACUCUAGCCCUGGCGAGAGCAGACUGGAUGGAGACACCAACAGCCCACGUGAUCACGCUCGACAUUCUAGGGAUGAAGAAAGAUAAUGUAAAGAUUGAAGUUGAAGAGAACAGAGUACUGAGAGUGAGUGGGGAGAGGAAGAGUAAUGAUUAUUAUAAGGAGGGAGUUGAAGGAGAGAAAUGGCACAGAGCUGAGAGGACAUUUGGCAAGUUUUGGAGGCAAUUUAGGAUGCAUAUGAGUGCUGACUUGGAUCAUAUUAAGGCUCAUAUGGAAAAUGGGAUUCUGAGGGUCACAGUGCCAAAGCUUGCUGAGGAGAAGAAGAGGCAGCCUAAGGUUAUUAACAUUGAUGAAGAGUCUGGUAAUUCUUCCAAUGAAGAUAUUAAAGCUACCAAGGCUCAAAUGUAAUUGAUUAAAGAAAGAUAUUCCAGUCACAGUGCCAAAGCUUUGCUUGAUGUGCUAUUUGUUUAUGCUCUUUUCUUGGUUUUAUUGUGAGAUGUUUCUAUUUGGAUGCUCUAAUGUAUUUUGAUGGGUUUUUGAGGAUGGCUUGUAUGUAUUGACAACAAUAAAGUGCUUUUUAUAAAUCCUAGUCCUACAGCACUAAAAGAAAUUAAUACUCUUGGUUUAUAAUUAAUAAAAUUAUUAAAAAAAAGUCUUUUUCUUUUGGCAUAUAGUAUGCGUUUUAAGGGGAAAAAAAUUUAUCCCACUCCUAAUUCGUCCUCUUCUGUGAUAUUAAUGUGUUAACACGAAGAUUCAUUGUAAUUGCAACAAUUUUAACGAAUCCAAACGUUCAAUAACUGUUAAAUUGUAUUUAUAAAUACUAUUAGCGAAGGUACAGAAACGACUAAUUCAAGAAGUUGCUUAAAGUGCAUUAAAUUAGGGAGUAUAAAUAAUUGUGUGAUACAGUCCAGCCUUCAUCUGCUUAUAAUUAGCAACCAAAAACCAAAAACCAAAAACCACCAUUAAAAAAAUAUUUUAACAUUAUUGCUGAGGGAAGAGGCAGCUUAAGCUUAUUAACUCGUAUUAUUAAUGCUGAUGACGCAGCUGGUAAUCCUUUUGGUGAAUAUAUUAAGGCAGCUGAAGCUUAAAAUUAAUUAAGCCCACUAAAGCUUAAAACUAAUUCUUCUGGUGACGAUGCUUUGCUUAGUUCGCUUUUUGUUUUUAAUUUUUUUGGGGCUAACGUUUUGCUUAUUUUGCAUUUAAAAUUCUAUUGGCGUUGCUGUGGAAUAUUGUUUCUCCUUCAAUUUUCUGUUUUUGUUGUUAUCGGAUUUGAUGAUGGUUUAUAUGUACGAAGAUUAUGUAAUAAAGUGCUUUUGUAACUAUAUAUAUAUAUAGGGCCCAACUACCUUCCACCCGCUGGAAGGUACAGCUUAUUUUGUCCUCUAGUGUUGUGGGCGUUGGAUAUUUGAGAAGUUGAUCUAAUGGUUCUUGUUCGGCAGUAUGAAAUUGAAUUUCAAUUGGCAACCGUUUCAUGAACUUUGCAAGAGAUAAUUAUCUACAAAAAUAUUAAAAAAAUAAAACCAAUUUUUCCCUUUCAUCGACUGCCGCCGCCACCCACAACCCCUUAAUAUCAUCAUCACCAUCCCAAUCCUUAGUCGCCAUCCACGAGCUCUAACAACAACCAUGACCGCCAUCACAAUCACCACUCCUCACAACCCCUAGCCACCACUACAAACAUUCACAAACUCCAACCAUCAUUGUCAAUUCACCAGCCUUAUCCUCCAUUGCCGCGGCCUACCAAUCAUCCACAACACCUAACCGUCGUCACCAACAAACUUUCGCCGCCGCUUCCUACAAGGAAGCCUCACCACCCACCGCCGCACACACACAAAGCCACACCAACCGCCAUACUAUUGUGACAAAGGCCACAAUGUAGACAAAUUCCAGCAGAGGAAGGAUGUUUUCCUUCUCCAGCUGACUAUUCUUUUUUAUCCUUUUUUUGUUUUUUUAAUUAUUAUAUUACUUUUAGUUAUUUUUAGUUUUUCUUUUAUUUUGUCUAUAUUUUGGUUGUUAGAAUGUUUUUGUUGUUGUUGCCGGCGGCAGUGCAGUUGCAGCUCGUGAUGAUGAUGGUGAUGUUGGUGUCAUUUUAAUCGAGAUUUUUUUUUUUUUACCGGCUACGCCAGUCAUCUUCAUUCAUUACAUGUCCAUUUCUAACAUGUUAGAUUUUACUACUUUUUAAUCCAAGGGUUAGACCACAACGAGACAAAAGAUGGGGUACCUUCCAACGGGUGGAAGGAAGUUUCGGCCAUAUAUAUAUAUAGAUGUUUCAACAGCUAAGAAAGAGAUAGUCAUUAUACAUUACACAUUUGUACUCAAUAAGAAAUCAAUUCAUUAAUAUAGCCAUUAAUACGCCUGGUUUAUUGUUAAUGAAAAUUAAAAAAGAAAAAAAAAUCUUUUUCUUUGGCCUUUAGUAUGCAUUUUAAGAGGAAAAAAAAUUUAUCCCACUCCAAUUCAUGAAGAUAUUUUCAUUUCUGUCAUAUUGAUGUGUUAAUAUGAAGAUCCAUUGCAGUUGGUGAAUUCAAAUAUUCAGUAACUGAUGAAAUUAUAGUUAUAAAUUCAUACUAAUAACGAUUGAAGAUUAUAAUUAAUUUUUUAAUAUGGUCCAGCCCUCGUGUGUUUAAUUAGCUCUCAAAAACCACUAAGGUAAAGGCAAGAUCAUGAUAAAUUGUGGUCGGUUUAAUUUACUUGAUCAAUUGAUAUUGGGUAGCAUUGUUCUUAUACAAACACAACAAAAGAAGAACACUAACGUACUAAUUAAUUACAAAUAAGAACAUUAACAAUUUUUGCCGAAGUCUGAUGAAGAGAAAUAUUACACAUAUGUAACCGUACAACUAAAUAAAAGAAACUGAAGUUUAUUUCAACAGCUAAGAAUGAGAUACGCAUAAGAAAUUAAUCCAUUAAUUAAUUAAUUAAUUCAUACAGUUUUCAACUGAGAUUUGAAUUUUAAAAUUACAUACACAAACACACCUGAUUUAAAAGAAAAAAAUUCUAAUAAUAAAAUAUUUUACGUAUGUGACCAUACCGCGGAAAGAACAAAUGUAAGAAACUGAAGUUUCAACAGUUGAGAAUGAGAUAGGCAUAAGAAAUUAAUUAAUUAAUUAAUUAAUUAAUAGAGUCCUCCUCCUUUGCUAAAUAAUGGGAGCCCAUUGUUCCUUUUAUUUCGAAAACCCAUUAAUCACCAACACAUACACGCCCAAUUUAAAAAAUAAUAAUAAUAAUAAUAAAAUAUUUAAGUCGUCCUCUGUUCAAUAAUCAAAAACCCAUUUAAAAUCUAUUUUAACUUUAGGUAUAUGGGUUAACAAGUCCCAAUAUUGUCCUCCAUCCUUUCUGCACUUCUCUGCUAUCAACGGACAUCCCCCGAUGUAUAAUUGCAAAAGUGAGGAAGGCAGGCCCUUCUCCGGAAAGUAUUUGAGCUUGGGACAAUCCUCGAGUUCCAAGUGAGUGAGGUUUUGAAGAUCAACAAUUGAAGAAGAUAGGCGUUCCAGAUUUGGAAAAUUAGAAAUCGCCAGAGAUGUUAGAGAGGCAGGAAGAGGAAGCGUGGUCCUCAAUCUUAUGUCCUCCGGUGGGAAUGACACCAUGUCGUCAUCGCAUCCGCUGAUUGUAAGUUGUCGCAGAGAGGAGAAUCUGUGGAAUCCCCGACCCCACUCAAUCGUUGACUUCCAAAUCUUCUUAUUAUCAAUAAUCUCCAGCCUAUGAAGGUUGGUGGGAAGGCCAUCAUCUUCUUCAAGGCUUGGAAGCUCACCUCCUUCUCCUAUUGUUAAUUGUUGAAGAGAGGUCAGAUUGUGCAAUCCCUUGGGUAAGACCUGUAGUCUCUUACAAUAAGAUAUCUCUAGCCUCGUGAGUUUCGCACAAGGCAAUCCCCCUUGGGGAAAGGACACCAGAUUUUCACAUUCCCAUAUCCCUAUCUCUUGAAGCUGGCGGAGAUUAUGUAAACCACUCGGUAAAAUUUUCAGAUUUUCACACUCAGAAAUACUGAUUGUUUCAAGAGAUGUGUUGUUCUCCAACCUUUCUGCUAUUGACUCCAGCUCUGAACAACUCCAAACAUCAAGGGACUUAAGAGACGGAGGUAGAUUGCCAACUUCAAGGGACUCAAGCGUGGCAGGUAACUCGUUUUUUGAAAAUAUACACGUCAGUGACGGACACCUGCUAAUAUGCAAGCCCUCGAGAAGAGAUGAGGUGUACCUUCUGCUGCUGCUGCUGCUCUGGAUGCCCUCUUCCACCGUCAAAGUCCUUAUAUUAUCGCAAUGGCGGAUCUCCAACCACUUAAGGCUCGGUGGUAGUUGGACUCCAGCAAUAUAUGUCAACGAAUUGCAAAUCCAAAUCUCCAAGAUCUCGAGAGAUGAAUUGGUGUCGCACAUCCAUGCCUCUGGUAACGAUUUCAGUGCAUCACAUUCUCUAAUCUCAAUUUUCUUCAACUUGGAAGGCAGAGCAACCUCAGGAAAGGAAACAAGGGAACUGCAGCCGUAGAUUUCUAUCUCUCUCAAGGAGCUGAGGCUGAGAGAUGAUUGUGGCAGCUUCACAAGGUCUUGGCAAUCUCUCAAUUCUAUAUAUUCGAGUAUGCACGACAACUGGCAGAGCUGCUGUUGUUGGUCUUUCUCUUCCUCCGCCACCAAGGAUUGAAGUUUGGGACAACUUGUAAUCGUCAGUCUUUUGAGAGAGCAAAUGUCUUGCAGCAAUUCGUUAUGACUCUUCCAUAUAUAUGUCUGCUCUUUCAUAUCAUUUAUCUCCAAUUCUUCCAAUUUUGGUAUUCGCGGCUUCAAUGGCCCUGCGAGAAACACUUGAUUUGAUGUAUCUCUACAAACUACUGAAUUCUGCGAUCCGAGAUGACCAGUUGCACUUUCCCACACAACCUUUUUGCAUCCACCAAUUAUGAAUUUGCAAAGAGCUGGAAGACUCGAAACUGAAACUAACAAUUCUUCACAUCCUUCAAUAACAAGCAUCUCCAAUGCAAGAAGGUGCUCUGGAAAUGUUCCUUUCAGUUUAGAACAUCUUAAAAUGUGAAGCUCUCUCAAUUUAGGAAACCGUUCAACUCCCUGACUGAAUCCAUGAGGAAUCCAGUCUUCCCAUCCUUGCAUGUCUUCAAAAUGAAGCGUCUCCAAGCAUGGAAAAGGAAUUGGAGUAUCAUUCCCAUAGAACUCUGAACCCAACCUCUUUACACUAGUCAUUCCACAUACUGCAAGAUGCUUUAGAGAGGGUAGUUGGCCGACUGACGGCAGGGUAGGACACAUGCCACAAUAUUCAAAUUUUAAGGUCACCAACUUUAAGAAUGAGGAAUCUCCGAACCAAGUUGGAAAUUUUGCGCCUCCAUAGCCGCUGAUACAAAAUUGUUCCAGAUUUUUAUGGGGUUCUAGCAUGUCAAGCACGUCCUUUUCAGUUUCCGCCUCCCUUGAAGACGAGCCAUCGGUACUGUUUGUCCACCGAAGCAUUAACACUUUAAGGUUCUUCUUUCCAUCCAAUUGAGCCUCCUUUGCAUCACCAACGUCUUUUACGUUCUCCAAUUUUGAAAUGCAAAGUGUCCCACGAAGGUGCGUCAACAACUUUAGCUCUCGUAACCCGGAACCACUGUCUUUUCCUACAACAAAAUUACACAACGUCUGAAGACAAGUCAACUUGCCAAUUCCUAGUGGCAUUUCCUCCAACGACUUCGUAUUUGAAUUCUUAAGAUGAUGCAAUUUGGCGAGGUUUCCCAUGUCUGCACACAACUUCUUCAGCCGAUCACAAUCUUCCAACAAAAGACUAUGCAAAUUGUAAAGCUUGUUGACUGAUUCAGGCAGAGUUCUAAUCUCAGUUCCAGACAGGUUAAGGUACCUUAAAUACCUCAAAGCACCAAUUGAAUCUGGCAGCUCAGGGAUGCGGUAUCCACGCAAAGAGAAGACCCUCAAGCGUUGGAGUUUGAGCAACUUAGGAAGAAUGCUAGGAGCCAAGUAUCCAGACAGUGAGCUAUUUGACAGCAUUACGGGUAAAAAUGUUCGCAAAUGUUGGAUAUCGUACAAGUCCUCAAACCUUUUAACACCAUCGUAAUCUCCACGAAUAUACGACAGAUGACGAAGAUUUCUUGAAAAACUUUGUUGCUUGUCAACCUCUGAGAUAUACUCCAUUCUGAAGUACAUUUCCCCAGCAGCCCAUUGAGCAAGGUCAUUGACGAGGUCGUGCAUCACAAAUCGUGAUAUACUGUUGCUUGAUUGCUGGAAAAAAGAUCUUGCACGUAGUUCUCGAAAGAACUUUCGACCUAGAUCUUCACUAGGAUUCCCGCUCUCUCCGUGAUCCAAGAGACCCACAGCACACCAUAAUAAAAUUAUCUCCUCCUCUUCAAAUUCAUAAUCCUUUGGAAACAAUGAGCAGUAUGCAAAGCAUUGUUUCAAAGGUGCCGAAAGAUAAUAGUAGCUCACUCUAAGCGCAGGUAUAAUGUCACAUCUCUCUUCUGGUAAAUCCCAUAUCUUGCAACUGAGCACAUCUUCCCAAUCACUUCGGUCACGUUUACCACGUAAGAGUCCACCAAGAGUUUUCGCAGCUAAGGGCAAGCCGUUGCAUUUGAUCACUAUAUUCUUGCCAAUGUCCUCCAAUGACUUAUGUGAACUGAAAUCUGUUGUCCCCAAAGAGUGCUGAGCGAACACAGACAGACAGUCCUCAGUUGACAAGCUUUUGAGUUCAUAAGCUUGAUCCAGGCUCAUGAUUUUGGCAACCUCUUCAUUGCGAGUGGUGACAACAAUCUUACUUCCCUGUGCGCCAGCUUGAAAUGAAAGGCUGAGGUGAACCCAAUCAGUGUAAUUCUCAUUCCAAACGUCAUCUAAAACAAGCAAAAAUUUCUUUCCAAAUAGUUGUUUCUUUAGCUCCUCUUGAAGCUUAUUCAAGUCGUGAUUAUCCACAUUCUGGCCAGGAGCAAUGGAAAUUAGGAUUGAUUUUGUAAGCCUGCUAACAUCAAAAUCAUCGGAGACGCAAGUCCAUGCCUUGAGAUUAAAAUGAUCCUCCACCUGCUUAUCAUUGUAGACAAGCUGAGCAAGAGUGGUUUUACCCAGCCCGCCCAUACCUAUAAUAGGAAUAACAGAGAAUCCACCAUCCUUUCUUGAAUCAUCCUUCAACAACAAUUCAACAAUUUCCUUCUUUUCUGUUUCCCUGCCAUAUACUUUGGCUUCCUCCACCAAAGAGGUUGUCUCUUGCCUUUGCCUGGCUUUUUUGGAUCCCCCAGCUGAACUUUUUAUCAAAUUCAGCGAGCAUAUUCUUUCUUCAAUAUCUUGAAAUCUGUCGUUGAUCCCUUUGAUUUUGGACAUCAUGGCGUAAUCGAACUGAAUCGAUUGUGGAGUAAAAGUGGUGCAGCAAGUAGGAAUGAGCUUCCGAAACUUACUUUUCGUGCUUGUACGACUGCUGCUGGGUUGAUCAUGAGCAGCAGCUGGUUCUCCAUUUCCAAGCAGCAACUUCCUCCGGAAAGCCUCAGUUUGGAACUCAUCCAACAAGUCUUCAACGUCAUAAGCCAAGUUCUGAAGCUCGCCAAGCCACAACUUCACAGAAUCAUCAGUCGUCUUCUUCUGCUCAGCAUCAUCAAGCACCGCCUUGAUCGUCACCAACUUCUUCUUCCACUUCACUAGAUCGUCUUUGAUUCGACCUUGGCGUUCAAAUAAACGAAGCCCCUCCGAAGAUAACUUAUUGACCAGCAUCUCAACGGACGCCUUCAGGAUUGCCUCUCCGAUGAUCGACAUUUUUUUUUUUUUUUGGGACAAAGAAUGAAACCAGAUUAUGAGCUUGUGGAAAGCAGAAUGAGAAAAGUGAAUAAGCAGAGUGAGUUUGUGAUUGUGUCUAGCAAGCCUAGAAAUCAAGAAAAACCCACCGUAAAAGUGAAAAGUCAAACGGAGCCAACCACAAAUAUAAAAUCAGAGGAGCACAGAAAUUAUAAAAAAAAAUCAAACACGUAAUGAUUUGUAAAGUUAUUAGCGAUUUGUAAAAAUCAAACAUGCGUCUUCUUCCUCUGAGUGUUUUUUUUUUUUUUUUCUUUUCUAAAAAGAGAUGGUGGGGUUGGGUUGUUUGCAGAGUUAAUAGCGUGGGUCUAUUUGUUUUUUUUUUUAACUUUAUUAAUUAAUUAGUGAAGUAAAUUUGUAAAGAUCACGGGCAUCAAAUUAUUGGGAGGUAUUAAUUGCGCUUAGUAUUUACAAUUUUUUGUAAGACUUUUUAAUUUCGUUGAAAAUGUAUCGUUAUUAAGUUAUUAUUGAUUUCACUCUCUUUUACUUUUUGACGUUGCGAAAAAGACAGUAAAAAACUUACUAAAUGUCAUCAAAUGCUUAUAUCUCAUCUCACAAAUUAGCAAUAUUUGUUUGGUAUUUCAUCUCAACGGGACGAAGGAACGACAGAAAACGCGUUCCCUCAUCAAAAUUUUCUUUCGUGAGACCGAUAAUAAAUAAUAAAAUAUUCUUUUAUGGGACCGACUAUAAAUAGUAAAUUAAAGAAGGGUCGACAGAAAACGCGUUCCCUCAUCCAAUUUUUCUUUUGUGGGACCGAUAACAAAUAAUACAAUAUUCUUUUGUGGGACCGACGACAAGUACUAACAUAAAGAAUAAAAAAAUGAAAAAAAGGAUAGUGAAAUAACUCAACGGAGAAGUCUAUAAAUGCUUUGUAGGGUCAAGCAACAUUAAUCCAGUUGUCCGGGUAAAUGCUGAAUAAAGUUGAAAAUGAGAUGUAUCUACUACGAACCUUCCCUUUACAAAUCUUCAAACUCAUAGAUUAAGUUAAAAUGAAAAACGUUUCUCCCUUUCUCUCUCCCUUUCUGCCGUAAAAUUACUUUAUGGAUUGAAUUAAUUUCCAUGCUAAAACGAAGACUUAAAAGUACGAUACAAUUUUUUAUAAUAAUCCCAAUGGAAUUUCUACCGUCACGUUACAUUACUGUAGUGUCAAAAUAAAUUAUAAUAAAAUUUUAGCUGAACAUAAAUUCGACUCAUUUAUUAAAUAUACAUACUUAAUAAAAUAACAACGAUAUAGACCCAACUGAAAUAACUCAACGGAGAAGUCUGUAAAUGCUUUUGUUUGGUAGCUGGCUAAAGCAGAAUCUGUAAGUUGCAGAGUCAAGUUACACUUAGCCUGCUCCAUAACUCUAAUGUGAAACAAAAAAAGUCCUGCCACCAAUAAUUCAGCAAGCUUCACUUUAUUACACGAAGGUGAAAGCAAAAAGCCAAAAACAGCCCCCACCACCAUCAAUAAUUUAGCAAGCUUCACGCGCUUGUUCUUGUCUUGUCUGCUUGACGAACUGGACAUGGGGGGGGGACCAAGCAUCCAUUGAAUAACUGGAAAAAGUAGAAAAUAAAAAAAUCAGUGUCCAGCAAAAAGAAUCUACCUUUAGGUGUUGCUUCCUAUUCAGUACAUGCAUAGAUAAUGUACAUCGACCUGGAAUUAAAAAAAUGGAAGUAGAAAUUAAAACUUACUUUUUUAGAUAUGGCUCAUAUAUAUUACAAGUAUCAAGAUUUGAUUAGAGUUCACAUAUUUACAAUGUGCCUAGUUUUAAUUGAGAGACAAACUAAUCAUUAAUAAUCAGGUUUUUCUAAAUGAUUAAAUAAUGAUAUUAAUUAUUGAUAUUUACAAAAUUUGUAAGAAGUAUAACUAAUAUGUUGGGAUAUGUAUUUGUGUAGAAUGGCAAAUAUAAAGAAUAGCAAUAAAAAUAGUGGAACUUUAAUAUGAUGAAAAAAGGUAAACUGUAGAAAAUUAAUAUAUAAUUCAAGGUACGUUACAGAUAUUAUUUACCCCCACCAAUUGAGUGAAUGCACAUGAGUUAAGCAAAUAUGCUUCUAAGACAUAAUGAAACGCUUCUUUAUUUGUUUGUGUUGUACAUCGACAAAAGUAAAUCUGAAUAUUCCUUAAUGUUGCAAGCUUGCCACAAAUUAAUAUAUUGUUAUUGUAAAAAAAUAAAAAAAAAAUAAUGUAUGGGAUAUUUGAUGCAUAAAAGAAAUAGAUAUUAUUAGAUGAAAUUCAUUUUAAGAAAUAGGGCUACAAAAAACGUGGUGUAAUGUCGUUUUAUUAAUAUCUAAAUGGCAUAAAUAUGACAUCUAUUUACAGAUAUAUUUAUGCUCUUUUAUUUAAGUUAUCAUCUUUCGCAAUGCCCUUGAUUCAUAUCCAUUAGAUCAAGCAACCUAAUCCCCACUAAAACUAACUUAUUGAACAGUAACUCAACGGAUGCUGUAAAGAUUGCUCUUGGAUGAUUGACAUUUUUUUAAAAAAAAUUUUGGGCAAAGAAAGAAACUGAAUUAUGAGUUUAUGGAAAUUAAAGCAAAUGAGAAAGUGAAUUAGCACAAUGAGUUUGUGAUUGCGAAGGAACCAGCAAAUCAAAAAACAAUUAAGCAAGAGAAAAGGACAAUGAACACUUUAAUAUUCCAGAAAAGGGAUAUGAAACCUCUAAACGUUUUAAAAAAGAUAUAUAAUCUCCUUUUUAUUAGUAAAAUCUGUUUAUUUCAGUAGUAACAUAAUCUUUAAUUUACAUUUACUAUCAUGUCCCUAUAAUAAAUAAAUUAAUAUAUUUAACUUAAGAGAGUGAGCCCUCCAAUUUUACUUCCCAUUUGCUCAAUUGCCUUUCAUUCAUAUACAAGCAUGUUUAGCAUCUCAUUUUGCCUAAUUUACCUUGGAAGAAAAUAAAUUUGAUUUUAUUUUUAUCUAUUAUUCAUCAUUUUUUAUCAUCUUAACAUUGGGAAGGAUAUAUUCAUAAUUUAAAGUGAAUAAUUUAGACAAAAAAUAAUUAUAUCUUAAUUUUAAGUUUUAAAUAAAAAGUUGUUGGUUUUAUUAUACAUGUCAUUGAUGACAUGUCUUAAAUCAAUAUAUUUAUUUAUUUAUUAUCGGGAUAUAAUAAUAAUUAUAAAUUAAAAAUAAAUUUAUUAUUAAAACAAAUAGAAUUUAUUAACAAAAAUAAGAAUUAUAUAUCUUUUUUAAAAUAUUAAAACAUUAUUUUUUUUUUUAGGGUAUCACUAUCCAUUUCCCAUUAAGCAAAACAAAAGUGAAAAGAAAAAUCAGAGCCCACUAUAAAUAUAAAAUUAGUGGAGCUCAUGAUGAUGCAUUUGCUUUACAUACUAAAUUAAAUAAAAGCCGAACCAAGAAUCUUUGCCUUAGCUUAACAUGAUUAAUUAGGCACUACUUCAUAGAAAACGCGAAAGCAAUGAACCCUUUUUUUAAUCUUAAAUGUCAUGAAUAUAAUUCUUCUGCGUUAAUUAAUCAUUCUUCUCUGACCGUCUCUUCAGGUUCAUUUCAAAAGUUUGAAGAGAGUUUAUCAAUUCUUCUACUUAUAAAAGCAAGUUAAAUUAAAAGAUUUUAAUCUCUCUUCUUAUUACUAUAAGUGCACUGUGCACGACAUUUUUUUACAAUAAACAAUACCAAUUUGUAAUGUAAUGUUAUAUUCAUAUUCCCAUCGCGUUGAAAUUUUAAAUAAUGCAAAUUCGACUCGUUUGUUAAAAGGUAUAUAUUUAAUAAGCUAACAACAUAAUUAACAUAACGUAAAUAAUACACUAAUUAAAAUAAAAGACAGUAUCCGCCACCAAUAAUUAAAUUAGCAAGCUUAGCAUGCUCAUGUUUCAAGAACUGAACAUUGGUGAAUUAACACCAAGGAUCAAUGAAAGAAUUACAAAAUAACAAAAUGGAUACUAUGUAUUUUUUUCUUUCAACAGAAAAUGGGACUAAUUUUCAGAUAUUUUCAAAUUCACUUAUUUACAAAAGCAAUACAGAAUGAUUUCCUUUUAUUUUGAAACAUUGUAUGAACUCGAGUAACAAUGAUACAAAGAGAAAAGUGGUAAUUCUCUGAUUUUUUUUCUUUUUUUCCCUCUUUUUUAAAAGGAGACGGUGCGGUUUGGUUGUUCGCAAAAUUAGUGGUGUGGGGCUCUAUUUGCUUUUGUUUUCACUUUAUUAAUUAACUAGCGAAGCAAACAUGUAAUCAUUUGUAAAGGAGUCACUAGCACCGGAUUAUGUAAGAUGAAUUCGUAAGACUUAUUAAUUUCAAUUGAAAAUGUAGCGUUAUUAGGUUAUUAAUUCACUAAGUUAACUUGAGGUUCUAAUAUUUACUAAUUGUGGUGAUUAAUUUAUUUAACUUGUCAUAAUUUUCAUUUGAGAAUGAAAUUCAAUCAAUGUAUGAAAAAAGAUAAUUUUUUAAAAUUUUUAAUUCCUAUGAUUUGAUUUCACUUUUUUCCGGAUAUUGACGCCGUAAAAGCUUGCCGAAUGUCAUCAAAUGCUUGUAUCCCAUCUCACAAAUUAGCAAAUAUCAUUUGGUUUCUUUAUACGUGGCCAUCACAAAUUAAAAGUAACAACAUCCACCAUAUAUCGAAAAUUAAUUUUGAGAAUACUUUUGACUUUUAAAAGAAAAAUGCGAGUACAAUUUAAUAAGAGAGAACAAGAAUUGAUCAUGUCCCAAGAGACUGAAAAUAAGAUUAUAUAAACUUGAAUGCAGGCGUAUCAUAUGUUAAUCUUAAUUUUUUUUUGUUGCUGAAAAUUAAUUAAUUUGUUCCACUAUUCCUUUUUUUAAUUGUAUGGUGAGAAACACAUUGGCCACUUCUGAAUCAUGUUGCAUAUUUGUUAACUCAAAGAAACAGUACACUUUUGUAUCAAUCAAACUCACUUUGUUAAUAUUCUUCAUUAUUAUGGUUAAUGGCUUAGCAAAUGUAGAAGGAGGAGUCAACCAAAAUGUAGCACUUUCUCUUGUAUUAACCUUUUAUUAAUUGUUGAAGUUAAAAAAAAUGUUAAAACAAGUUAAAAUAGUUCCAACUCAAAAUCAGUAGGGUGUAAGUAGGUUGUUAUAAAUAUUUUUAAAUUUUAGUCUAAUUUAAUUGUGUGAUGCACAAACUUUCUCACUUCUUUCAUAUAAAUAAAGGAGAGAACUAUUUGAACUCAUUAAAUCACUUUUUAAAUCCCUCUGCUUAUUAAGACCAUCAUAAAAAUUCAAAAAUCCUUUUUAUACUCACUACAUCUCUUAAAAAUAUCGCAAAUAUGACACAUUUGUCUUCACCUUCUAUUUAUCUUCAACAUUCACAAUUUUUAUUUGAAUCUGUAAUAUUUUUAACACUAUUCAUUCACUCAUUAGAGUUCCAAUAAUAGAAUAUAGAGAUUAAAAAUAUCAUUAGCAAAUUAUUUGUUUGUGUUCUAUAUGAUAUUCUUGGUUUGGAAAAAGCUUCAUUGGCAAUAUAUGUAAAUAAAAGACUAAGAACUUCCAAUAAUUCAGAUUUGAUCGAAACUUCACAAACUUAUUUUCACUUAAAAAAAUAAAAUAAAGUAAAAGAAAUUCUCGUGUUUUAAAAGAGAAAUUGCCAGACAUGUUUCUAAAACAACUAGAAACCAAACUAGGCUUGAAGCAGUGAGUUUUGAAUUAUAAAAAAUACAUAAUUGUAAUUUCACCUAAAUCAAAUGAUGAAUUUCAUGACAACGGAUUUAGACUAUAGACCAAUACACAAAGAAUUGGAUGUUCAUCGCAUUUGUUCUUGAAAUUGUUUCGCGCAAAAAAGUUAACUAUUGUAUUAUGUUGUAUUGCAUUAUUUUAAUACAAGUGUAUUGUAUUAUGUUGUAUUGCAUUAACACUGUAUUAUAUUAAUACUAUACAACGUUUGAUUCUACAUUGUACUAUAUUAAUUUUUAAUUAUACAUACACUAUAUUAUGCUAUACUAUAUUAUUUUUUUGGUGGUUAAUUUCAAUUAUAUGUUUGGAAAUAAUAUUUAUUAGUACUUAGCAAAAUAUAAAAUAUAGAACCUUAAAUUUUAGAAUAUUUACAUCAAUUUUUUUAGUAUAAAUGUAAAUAAUUAUAAUAAUUCUUCAUUAAACUUAUGUAAAAAUAACAAAUUCUGAAUUUUUGCUAUCGUAACAUUUUUUUUUUUUAACGGCGUUUUUCAAAUGUAUACCUUAUUGAUGAUGCACCAUAAAAAUAAAUAUCAAAUUUUGCGAUCAUGAUCAAGUCGAGUUUUACAUGAUGAAAGCAGCAUGACACAAAAAUUGAAAAAAAUAAUGGCCGGCAAAAAGUUAUACAAGCAACAACAAAAGUGCUAAUUACUCGAAAAAUAAACAAUCAAGAGCCGCUGAUAGAUAUAAGUCAUAUGACAAGGUAGAGGAAUACAGAUAUCUGCAUACAUUUUUAACAAAGAUCAUCUUUGUAACCAAUUGUUGGCUUUGGCAUUAAAAGAUCAUCUUUGUAACCAACUGGGUAGCUAUAAAAUGAAGGGUAAUGCUAAGUUACAUGCAUGUACCUUACAACCCUCUCACAUAAAUAGUGUAUGGAUACUAUUUAUGUAAGAGGGUUGUAAGGUACAUGCAUGUAACUUAGAGGGAUCCUAAAAUGAAUACUAAGUCAAUCAAAGGGGAAAGCUUGCUACAAGACUUUGAAGCAUUAUUCUGUUGCAUCACCUUCCUCCUCUGCCUCAUUUCCUGCAUCCCAAAUUAAAGAACAACAAAUAUUAAAUAACAAAAACAAAAUCUUCAAUAGACUUUUCAUACUCCAUAGAGCAAAUCUAUGGGAAUCCACAAAAUAAUUGAAUCCUGCAGGUCAUAGUAACAAAUUACAGAUACACAAUCAUGCAUAUGCAACUAAAAAAUGCUUAUUUAUUACAGCCGCUUUUUGGCAUGACUACUUCAUAAGUUAUAUAUGAUAGAUAACAUUAUUAUUCUAAUCACAUGGUUAUGAUUUUAGUUGGACAUACAAAAGCUACGUGCAUGAAUCUGUAUCAUGCCACCUUUCAUGAGUCAAAAAUUUAAAUCAAAUCAAUUUGGUUGAGCCUUCAAAUUCCUCUUCCAGUCAAAGGAGAUGAUUUUUCCAAAGGUAAAGAAUGAGUCCGAUUACUUAAGCAUAUCAACCUUUCUUCUAGGCUAAAGUUUAUCCUUUUCCAUUUCACUAACUCUCCUUGCACUACCUUGCGUCAACAUUUGCAUACUUGGUGUUUGGGAGAAAUAUGUCGAGGAGACCAGGCAUGAUGAGCAAAUAUCGGACGGCAGAGUUCUGCGAGCCGGUGGGUCCAAUACGAGCCUAUAUCCAGGGGAGCAGGAGCAGGAAUAUCCUGCUCAUCUACGAGCACGUCAUCUGCGAGGCCAAUUUCCUGUAAGAAGCAUAAAGCCAUUCCCGCUACAUUCCUGCUAAGGGUUGACUCGAGGAGACCCGGUCAACGACAGUUGGCGAGACGUGCUCUCCAGCCCGAGAAUCUAGGCACGAAGACCACGCAACCGCCCACAAUGGCGAUAAUGGGGGUUCCACAUCCGAGAGUGGGGAGGAUAACGGGCGUAGAUUGUGGAAGACUGGGAUUCAGAGGAAGCCUAUAAAAGUGUAGCCAACGAAAGUAAAAGGGUUAGCAUUUUGGAGAGAUAACAGAGAGAAAAGAAAUUCUAAAAAAGAGAGAACACUAUCAAAAAGCCAUAAGAUUUGUGGCAAGCGUUCCUAGAACCUUCAUAUCUGACUUGAGCGUCGGAGGGUUUACGCCGUGAAAACAACCAGCGUGCUCUGACCUAUUUCUGUGAACGCAGGGAUACUUGGAGAAGAAGACAUACGAGGAGAGAUCCUGGUCGAGGUGAGGUUGAUCGAGCAGAUAUCCUGGUCGCAGGAGGAGCAUAACCAGAAACUCGCAUCAACAUUUUGGCGCCGUCUGUGGGGAGCUGGGCAAAAAGCUUCUGUUGAUAGCAAGAAGAGAAGGGAAGCAACUGAAAAGCAAUGGAGACAGGAGGAAGUAGUGCACAAGGGGGCGAUACGAGGCUUAACGAUUCCGUGACGCUGAGGGAGAUAGCCAGUGAAGCACGGGAAAAGGUCAUGUUCGAUCGGAUGGAACGGAUGGAAAAACAGAUGGAGACCCUUACAACCAUCCUGCAUGAGCUGCGGAGUGAACGAGGGGUAACCCAGGAGCAAAGGGUGAGAAGUGGUGGAGUGGCACCAGAUCCCGAUAGUGCGAGGAGAAGUCAAACCACCAGGAGAUUUGGUGGUGAGAGAGGCAACAUACCUCUGUGGGGGGAAUUCCAUAGAGAGGAAGAGCAGUCCCCGGCAAGACAGAUUUUUGACGAGGACGACGGGAUGGUGAAUGCAGAGGAAACAGAGUUGAGACAACACUUGCACGAUGUAGAGCAAGAGCGGGAUCAAGUUGCAGCACGUGACCCUGGUCGUGCAGUGCAGCUGGAGGAGGAGGUGCGCAGGCUAGCGCAGAUAAUUGACAACAUGCAAGGAAGGAGCAGGGCUCCUGGUUGGAGGAUAAUGCUGGACGGAGAAUCACCCCUCGCAGCAGAGAUCAUGAGGGCAAUUAUUCCGAGAGACUUCCGUCUCCCCGACCUUAGAUACGCGGGAAGAACUGAUCCGCUGGUGCACAUAGAGCGCUUCAACGACAUAACUGGGGUACAAGGAUUCUCUCAAUCCCAGAGGUGCAAGGUGUUCCCACUAUCCCUGGAGGGACGUGCACGCGAGUGGUACAGGAAACUCCCUCGGGGGAGCAUUAAAACCUUCGAGCAGAUGUGCCAAGAAUUUGCAGAGCAGUUUAGUGGGGCAAUGGCACCAGAAGAUGACAUGAUGGAGCUGAAAAGCAUGAAACAGGGGGAGCAGGAAACCCUUCGGGAAUUUAUCAAGAGGUUUCAUCGGGCUGUCCUCGACUUGGGAGCCUUCAACCACCCUCAGGCGUUAAGGGGAUUGAAAGAAGGGGUGAAGAUAGGAAGGCUGUGGUACAACUUGAGAAGCCUUGCUAUCCAGACGUAUGCGGCCGCAUACGAACAGGCUAAGAGAGACAUUGAGAUUGAAGAGGAGAAGGCAGCACGAAUUAAGAUAGACCAGUUGGAAGGGUUGGGGAGGAAAGAGAAGAAAGCAGUACCGGGAAAUGGGCCGAUCAGGAGGAGGGACCACAAGGCCUCGGAUAAUGGAGCAGGAGGUCGGGUAGUUGCUUACCUGCCUCAUCAGAGGCCGCCACAGUAUCAGCGCAGCAGGGCGCAGCCUCCUCGUUCCCCAGCUAGGGAGCCUUGGAGAAGGCACGAGUCAUCAUAUGGUAGUCAUCAACACUCACAUGGUAGCAGAGGGAGCAGACCAGAAGUACUGCCACCGCCCCGAACUCAGAACGGAGCAAACAGAGAACGAACAGUGCACUUAAUCGACCAGAAUCAGGACUAUGGGCGGUACACUUUCUUGAAGCUGUCCCUGGAUGAGGUGUACGAGGCCAUAAAGGACCGAGGGCUGUUGUACCUCCCUGCCCCAAUAACAAAGCCAUCCAGCAGGAGAGAUAGGGGACGCUAUUGUAAGUUCCAUGGCACUCAUGGCCACACCACAGCAGAUUGCAGGGAUCUCAAGACCCAGGUGGAAGAUUUGGUGAGAAAUCGGUAUCUGGAUGAGUUUAUAGAUGGGACAUUCCCAAUGGUAGCCUCGACCAGUGAAGGGGAGCAGAGUGACAGGAACUUGAGGCGCGAGCAGCCUACAGUUAGAGUGAUAGCUGGGGGCCCAACAUUGGCUGGGAAUUCCAACAGGUCGAGGAAGAAUUAUGCUAGGUAUGCCAUGACCAGCAAAGAGGUAUUCUUCAACACCCCAGCAGCCAAACGUGCAAGAGUUAGGCAAGUGCCAAUCAUGUGGACAGAUGAGGAUGGAGAAGGCAUUUUAUACCCUCACGAGGAUGCUUUGGUCAUCAAGGCCACGGUUGCGAGCAAGAAAUUUGACAGGAUACUGGUUGACACAGGGAGCUCAGUUGAUGUGUUGUUUAAGUCAACCCUGGAGGAGAUGGGAAUAGCAGACCUAAAGUUGGAUUACACCAAUACCUCCUUGAAGGGGUUUGGAGGAGGAAAGCUGGUCCCUCUUCGUUGUUGGUGGUCGAGAACGUUUCCUGGUAAGAGCCCCAAUCACAGCGUCCUCCAUCCUAUGGCCAGGAAGUAUCAAGCGAGACUCGAGCAAGUUGUAGGUAGUUAACAGUUCUCGGCUCGAGCAGGAAUUGGCUAGUACGGCCUCAACCCGUUUGAGCUGAUCAGGUUUGAGUGGGAAGUGGACGCCCCAAGAACCUGCAACACGAACAGACACUUGGUUAGAGACAAACCAAUAAAGCGAGAACAAUUAUGGAUACAAGACAUCUAAAGCGAGCAGGCAACCUGGGACCGUGAAACGGGGUGGGACGCGACAGUCUUUCCCAUCCAUUUGUGCAACCUGACCCCAAGGACCCCCAGCAAAAAAGAAUUUUCUCUUCCAAGUCCCACCACCACCAGUAGGAAGAUCAGUUAUGGGUUUCCUGCUCUUGGUACUAGAUUGGAAGUAGUACCAGCCGGCAUCUUUGGGACUGCUCUUUAGCUGGUACAGGUGUUUCACCUCGUCGACCGUGGGCUCGCUUUGACAACAUCUGUCCCACAAUAUGAACAGACCAGAGAGCACUCUCCACCCGUUGGGGUUCAACUGACCAGGAGCUAGAUUUAGCCCAUUCAGAAUCCGGGCAAAGUAAGGUUGCAAGGGGCACCUCAGCCCGUGCUUAAAACUCUCUGAAAACAAGGUAAUAUAUCCCCUAGGAGGCCGGCUAGGUGUAUCCUUCUUUCUUGGGACCUUGAGAGGAAUUUCACCGGGAAUGCUAUACCUGAGCCGGAGAUCAUCCAGCUCGUGGAAUGUGGUCGUGCAAGUCAUGUAAUCAAUAGCAUAAUCCCGCGACAAGGCUCUACCCCCUACUGUACUACGCCCCCCUGGUUGCGGUGAUCCUGGUGAAGAUCCCUCACCGGAGUCACCUCUUUGAUCCUCACUUAGGGUGUCUUCCGAGCCCGAAGGCCUCUCCUCACCACUACUUCCGCUCGUGGAGGUUGUUUGGGGGGACAUCCUCCUAGCGCUAGUGCCAACACUAGAUCUAAUGGGCUCUAAGGGGAUCCCGGGGUCAAAAGCAGGAUCGGUGAGCAGACUAGGCAGGAAGCCCAACUCAUCGUCGUCAACUUCAAUAACCUUCUCUUUGCCUUUCGACAUUCCCUAAGCUCUAACCACAACACCACCACCAACUACUACCCAAGCAAAAGAGAAGAGAAAUUAUCUACAACUAUCCGAGACUGAGGAGAUAGAAGAAAUACCUGAAGUAAUGGUUCAGUCGGUGAAAGACAGAGAUGGAGGCCUUUAUGCCGAAACCUCUUUGCCGGAGAGACAGAGACGGAGACGGAGUGAAUGAUGAAUUUGCCAGUUCGAAAGGAUUUGGGUUUCCUAAUGGGGAAGGACUCUUGGGUUGCCAGCAUUUAACGGCACCAAAUCCCAAGGGUCUCGUAACCGCUGGUUUGAAAUUCAAAUGGAGGGGUAGAUCUCCGCCACGUCACCUCGUCCGCAAUUAAAUGCGACAUGACUCUUGGCAGCCUUUUCCGAUCCUACGCGAACAAGUACUUUCGAGUUUCUACUGCUGGUCCACUACAUUACCCAACACCAGAAACUGGGGGACCGGUGUUUGGGAGAAAUAUGUCGAGGAGACCAGGCAUGAUGAGCAAAUAUCGGACGGCAGAGUUCUGCGAGCCGGUGGGUCCAAUACGAGCCUAUAUCCAGGGGAGCAGGAGCAGGAAUAUCCUGCUCAUCUACGAGCACGUCAUCUGCGAGGCCAAUUUCCUGUAAGAAGCAUAAAGCCAUUCCCGCUACAUUCCUGCUAAGGGUUGACUCGAGGAGACCCGGUCAACGACAGUUGGCGAGACGUGCUCUCCAACCCGAGAAUCUAGGCACGAAGACCACGCAACCGCCCACAAUGGCGAUAAUGGGGGUUCCACAUCCGAGAGUGGGGAGGAUAACGGGUGUAGAUUGUGGAAGACUGGGAUUCAGAGGAAGCCUAUAAAAGGGUAGCCAACGAAGGUAAAAGGGUUAGCAUUUUGGAGAGAUAACAGAGAGAAAAGAAAUUCUAAAAAAGAGAGAACACUAUCAAAAAGCCAUAAGAUUUGUGGCAAGCGUUCCCAGAACCUUCAUAUCUGACUUGAGCGUCGGAGGGUUUACGCCGGGAAAACAACCGGCGUGCUCUGACCUGUUUCUGUGAACGCAAGGAUACUUAGAGAAGAAGACAUACGAGGAGAGAUCCUGGUCGAGGUGAGGUUGAUCGAGCAGAUAUCCUGGUCGCAAGAGGAGCAUAACCAGAAACUCGCAUCAACACUUGAUAUACUUUCACAACCUUAAUCUAAUACUUUCAUUUAUGCUGAUAUAAAGAAGAAGUUUGAUUUAAAUCUGGACAGGUAACAAGAUUAAAAGACUGCCUUGUAGUAGAGCCAAUUCUUCCAACAAACAUUUCUUGAACCAAUAUCUGAGAUUAAGCUAGAUCACGUAAGACAAAUAUGCCAAGAAGAUUUUUAACUCACCCGACACUAUGGAUCUCCAAAUGUACUCAAUUAGCUUAGGUAAGCCAUACUUCUUCUCAAUUAUGAGCCCAGUAAAUAGGACCCAAAAAACUUGCAUCCCUCUGCUGACGUUCAUUUCAGUGUGGCAAGAAUUACAGAUUCCAUGACCAUGGACUGAAGUUCUUUUGUUAAGACUGGUGCAAGAGAAUACGCCCCCAUCCCACUAGUAUUUGGCCCGGUGUCACCAUCACCAACUUGUUUAUGGUCCUGACCAGACAUUAGAGGUAUGGCGUUCUCCCCAUCCACGAAGUCCUUUAGAACCAAAAGCAUUGUUUACAAGCAUCGAAUCAACAACUUCUAUGAAUCAUCCAAUGUCAUAGUACCGAUAACUCCUUUUCCAGCAACCAAUCCAUCUGCUUUGACAAUUGACAACAAUAGGAGCCAGAAAAUAAAAUUUUUAAUGAAUUUAUGAGUUUGACAACUAAAAUUACGCACCCAAAAAUAAAUACUCAUAAAUUGGACCUUAUUUUAUGUUUGAUGCACAACGUAACUAAACAAAAAUAAUGUUCAAAUUCUCACAAAUUUUUUAGUUAAUUUUUCUACUGCUUUACUCCAUUAUUCAAUGGGCAUAUAAUAAAUUGGGGGAAGAAAUAAAGGGAUAAAUUAGAGCAAUUGUUGCAACGGUACAAAAUAUAUAUAUAUAAUAAAAAUAAAUUAUAUAAAUAAAAAAAUAUUUAAUUUAAUUAAUUUUAUCGUGUCACAUCAUUAUGUGUGUGUAGUUCAUCAAUUUGACCAAAAAUAAAUGAAUUUAUUUGUAUUUUUAAUCAAAAUCGCGGGAUAUAAACAAAUUUUUUCCACUCCGGAGUCCAGACAUUUAUCAUUUUCUCGUUAAAAAAAAAUUGCAUAAAAUUAAAAAUCCAUUGCCAACUGAAAGAGAGAAACAAAGUAAGAAGAAUUCAGAAGAUGGAACCCGAAGAAGAAACCCUAGCAACAAUCCCAGAAGGAGAAUUUUCUUGGGUUGGGAUAAAAAUGAAUUUUUUUUUUCAGUAUAUAAGAAAACUGUGUGAGAUACAGAAGUUGAGACAAGCUAGAGAAGCCAUGAAUGAGAUUUUUCCUUUGACUCCUGCUAUGUGGCAAGAAUUUGCGAGAGAUGAAGCCUCUAUUUCAACCGGGUAUCUGUCAUUUCCAUUUUGCAGUGGUUUUUGAUUUUGUGAACAAAUUUUUUUUUUCGCUUAGAGAUAUAGAUGUUUAUGUUCGUUAUUUGCUAAUGUAAAAAGGAACAAAAACUGCUUAAAAGGUAUUAAAGAAAGAAAAAAGGAACCAAUUUGAAGGAGGGGAUACUCAUAGCGGGAGUUCUGCUUUGGGGUUUAAUUGAUGGGAAGAAGAAAUAGCUUAUAUGUUUACAGAAUUAGACAUUUGAUCACUGAGUUAGUUGAGGAAGAUAAUUAAUUAAUCACAAUGUCUGAAGCUGUUGCUGUUGGCGUCACCUAUUGUUAAGAUUUCAUACUUUUUUAUGGUUUUACAUAGCUGUGACCUAAAGCUUAAUGUAUACGUUGAUAAUUACAUAAUUGGUUUCUUGCUGAUACUUGGCUUUAAUUUGUAAGCCUGAGGCUCUUUUGGGAAUUGAGAAGAGUUACGAAAGAGGAGUUUUUUAUUAUCUGGUUUGUUCUCUUUAUGCUUACAGAAUUUGAAUUAACGCUAUGCAUGAAUUUAUGAUUCUUUUUUUUUUUGGAGAAAUAUUUUAUGAAAUUGAAGCAUUGUAGUAAAGCGUACUAGUUGUAAGCUUGAUUCACUUUGUUUUGAUUUUAUUACCAAGAGGUGCUAACAGUUCAUGAUGCAUAAAAGAGGGGGAAAAAAACUCUUCUUGGUAGAUACAUAAAUUUUAGUUUCUGAAUCAUUUUCAACCGAAGAAAUAAUUUUACAGAGGUUGAAGAGCAGCAUUUUCAUUUAUAUGAAAGUUCAAUUGUUAUAUCAUCUGUUUCCGUAUCUUUUGUGGUAAAUAAAGUCCUUGAUGAUGGCAAUAAGAAGCACAGAAGAAGUUGUUAGUCUCAUAUGUGGAGAUUUUCAUCAUAGUAGUUCAUCGAAAGUGAAGGCAGCUGAAUACCCUUUUUUCUGAUGCAGUCUGUCCCUCUUUGGUGUGAUUAUUUGAAAUUUGUGCAAGAAUAUGAUCCAUCUAUAUGCGAAUGUUUACCCGAUGGCACUUCAAAGGCAAGGAAUCUAUUUGAGCGGCUAUUACUGCUGCUGGUCUGCAUGUGUUAGAAGGCAGCAAAAUAUGGGAAUUGUACGGAGAAUUUGAGCUAGCUAUAUUUAGUAGGAUUGAUAAGAUUAACUUGAAGGUGAGAUAUUUUAAUUUAUUUUACUUUUUUUUGGGGUUAAAUAACGAGUUUAUUCCCAUCUAUAGAAAGAAAAAGGGAAGGUUUUUUUUUUUUUUUUGGGUUUUGGGGUGGGGGGGAGGGGGGGUGUUUCCAACCCUAGCACAUGACAAGCAUUCCAAGACCCUUGCUGCUUGUUUUGCAGGAAAAGGAAAAAAAGGUUCAGCGGAUUCGAAGUAUAUUUCAUCGCCAGUUGUCUGUUCCCCUUGCUAACUCAAGUGCAACUCUUCUUGCCUACAAGUCUUGGGAGGUCGAACAGGGGGCUGUCCUUGAUGUUGAAUCUAGUAAUCUAGAUGGGAUUUCUUCUAAUGUUGCCUCAGCAUACCAAAAGGCAUUGGAGAUGUGUAAUGCACGAGCUCAUGUUGAAGAGCAGAUUUCUAGGCAGGAUUUAUCUGACUCAGAGAAAUUUCAACAAUACAUGGUAGAUGACUUUACUAUCGUCAUUUGAUAGCUUUUUAUAGUAAGUGAAAUCUAGCCCUAAAAAUUUUAUUAAUAUGAAUUUUUUUUUCGGGGAUUUCUUCUUAUGGCAUUAUUAUUUUGCUUUUGUGUAGCUAACAAUUAAUAUCUGCACUUUAAAUAUUAUCUACUGUUUCUUACCAAAUAAUAGUAAUAAUAAUAAGUAAUAAAUAAUUAAUAUCUGCAUUGUCAAAAAAAAAAAUAAUAAUGUCUGCUCUUUUUACUCUGGGGGGCAUGCAGUGUCAUUAUCUUCCUUCUUCUCCUUUUUCUAUUUUGUGCUUUCAAGUUUAAUAUUAUUAUAUUAAUCUGUUAUUGUUGUAGAUAUACUUGAAGUAUGAGCAAUCUUCUGGAGAUCCUGGUAGAGUUCAACUUCUUUAUGAACGGGCUAUUACCGACUUUCCUGUAUCAAGUGAUCUCUGGCAUGAUUAUACUCGUUAUCUUGACAAAACAUUAAAGGUUUAUCCUUCUAUUUUCUAUUUUACUUCUUCUGUUGCAGCUAUUUGUAUACUAAUCGACUCUCCUCUUCAGGUAGGUAAUGUAGUGAGAGAUGUUUAUUCCAGGGCUACAAAAAAUUGUCCCUGGGUAGGAAAACUUUGGGUACGAUCUUUGCUUUCUCUGGAACAUGGCCGUGUUUCUGAGGAGGAGAUAUUCACUGUAGGUUUAAUUGUUACCCUUCAUUCUGAGCUUAAUCAGUUUUCCUGAAUGUAAUUGAUUUUGAUUGUUUGAAGUUAAAGAAAUGAUCAGCUUCCUAGGCAAAUUUCUUGGCAAGCACUUGAUUUUGGGAGUAACUGAGGAGAAGCAUUCCCUAGUGUUUUUUUGUUUUUCUCCUCCCCUAAAAUUGCAAUAUACUUCCCUUGAAGAGUAUUUUUUGCUUUAGCAUUUACACAUCUGUACAGAAGCAAACAUGAAUCAGAGAGAUUUAGUGGGCAAAUUCACCUGUGCUGAAAAAUUAAUGCAUAUUAAAUACCGCGGUGGUUGUUGGAAUGCUCCAAAAAGUGUUUUCUUGGUGCUUCUGCUCCUUUUGCACUUUAAUAUCAUUUUAAUAACUGGGUUGUUUAAAUGUCCUGUACUUAUUUUCUUUACAAAUGUCUUUGUAUUUUUUUUAAAUUUAUAAAAGAUUGUUCUAAUUAUAUUAAUAGCAACAAAUUGCACAAACUCAAAUCUUAACUUCAUUCUGCCCCUAUUACAUAUAUACGGGAUUCUCCUAUUAUUUCAUCAAAUUUUCCAUUACUAAUUUCAGGUCUUUGAGAAGUCACUACUAUGUACUUUUUCAACCUUUGAGGAGGUAGAGAUAUAAAUUUAUGUCUUCUGUACAUACCUUGGUUUCUUGAGCUGUAUGAUUUGGUAUAUAUCUACUUCUGAUUCAUCAUGCAUUUUUUUGUUAACUGGUUCUUUUUUGUUUCAGUGCCUAGAUCUAUUCCUUACUUGAAUAGAUGGUUUGAGGCAGAGAAUUUUAUUCUCCGGUGAAGUUGAGGGCGCCGUGGAUUAUUCAUUGAUAACGGAAACCUUUCAGGUUUGUAAACUUACACUGUUGCCUAUUCAAUAUUAAAAUUGGUUUUACUCCUUAAUAUCAAGAAAUUGAAGCUUCCCAAAUCAUACCCAAGAAAUGCUCUAUUGUGGAUUACUGGAUGGAGCUAGUUGCUAGAUGAUACCUUUAAGAUUCAAGACAUAUGUUGUUUUGUGUAUGGCUAUCAAGUACUUUGGCCUGCAAUUGUGGCAUAUUGGUCUUACGCUAGCAUCAGGUAUAACAUUGUGUCUGGCAUAUAUACCAUUGGAAUUCUGGGUUUCUGUUGAAUGGGCUCCAACAGCUAUAUCUGUGUCCAAUGUUGUGGGGUCCUCUUCUUUGGUGCUUUUAAGUGAAGUUUUAAGUUUCCUUGUCAAAAUUUUGUUACAUAUCAAGUAGAAGGCACUGCACUGAAGCAUUGGUACUUCUAGAUUGCUUGUUCUGCAUGGUAGAUUUCAAUCCAUUGCUUUUAUUUCUUGGAUCAUGUUUAUCAUUGAGGACUUUCCUGGCCAGUGAUAUAGCUGACUGGUGCUACCAUCAUCAUUGGUAGGGCAAAAAAGUCAAUUCCUAUGGGAUGCUUUCUGACUUAGAGAAGAUGUCUUCAAGAAUUUGUGGAUUUAAGUCCUCACAUGAUGUUCAACUCUUGAUAGUCUAACCUUGGUACAGGAUUUAUAGCUGUCUUCAAAGUUUGUGCUCAUAAAUGAGUAACCUGUCUGGCUUUAUGAUACCAGUUAAAUUUGUUAGCUUUCUGGGAUUUGGAGGUUGUAAAUGUCCAUAAACAACAAUGUCUUCUCUUCCUUACAGCGUGCAUCAGAUUACUUGUCAGAACAGAUGAAAAAUACCAAUGGUUUGCUGCGUUUGUAUGCUUAUUGGGCACGUCUUGAACAAAGUAUGGGAAAAGAUACGGUUUCAGCUCGUAGUGUCUGGGAGAGGCUACUUAAGAUCAGGUUCACCAAUUUUAAUUUUUGCCAGUACAUACAUAGCAAAAUUUCUUUAUAUCUAUAUAUUUUCGGAUAACUUGUGCUUCUCUUAAUGCAGUGGUACAAUGUUGGAAGCCUGGGAAAGUUAUAUAUCUAUGGAAAUUGAAUUGGGUCAUAUUAAUGAAGCUAGAUCCAUCGACAAGAGAUGCUACAAUAAAAGAUUUACAAGGACAGGUUCAGAGGUAAAUUUCUUUUGUCCAGCUUCUUUAAUUAAUAUUAACUGCUUAACAACGUACCUUGUUGUUUCCAUCUUGUUUGUUUAACUGGUCUUAUUUGUAAACACCUGAAAUCAUACAUCUUAAUUUCUGAUAAUUAGAUGUUAUUUUAGAUAUCUGUAUCUGUUAACGUUCUUUCAAGUCUGAUUCCAAUGCAUAUUUAGUUAAACUGCUCUUUACUGCAUUUUGGAUUAGUUGAUAUUGUGGCAGAAUUUGAAAAAAUAGAGUUAUCCUUAUCUGGUGGUUGUUUUACAUGAUAUGUUCUAUCUACUUAUUUUUUGUUUUUAUCCCUAGAAUAAAGGACUUUGCUAAGAUAAGACUUCUAGUCUAUGUUAGCUUCAAGCCUAUAUAUAAUCUUGUAGUUUGAUUAAUAAAGGUAAUAUGAAAGUGCAGUGUUUACUGUUUCCUUCCUAUAUUUUGUUACAUGGUAUCAGAGCUAGGUAUUAGUUGAAGGAAACCAUGGUAAAAACAGCCAUGACUGGCACAAGUAGGAGUAUUGACUCUUCCGAAUCUGCUGAAACAUCUCAGAUUCCUUCUCUGUCAACUCCUACAAUUGUUCACACUGCAAUUACUGAAAAUACAUCACUUCAAAUUACAUCCCACAAACUCAACGGAAAGAACUUUCUCCCAUGGUCUCGUUCUGUUCAAAUGGUAAUUCGAGGGUGUGGAAAACUUGGCUAUCUCCUUGGCCAAAAGCAAAGGCCAGAUGAAAAUGAUCCUGCAUUUCAAACAUGGGAUGCUGAAAAUUCUAUCGUUAUGGCAUGACUGGUUAACUCAAUGGAACCAAACAUCGGGCAGACAUAUUUAUUUUACCAAACAGCUGCUGAACUGUGGGAGGCUGUCAAAGAAACUUACUCGGAUUUGGAAAAUUCAUCACAGCUGUUUGAAUUGAGGAAUAUGGCUCGUAACUUGAAACAAGGUGAUAUGGAUGUAACCCAUUAUUUUAACUCUCUGAAGAAUCUUUGGCAGGAAUUAGAUCUAUUCAAUGAGUGUGAAUGGAGGUGUAUUGAUGAUGGUGCUCAAUACAAAAAACUGGUGGAUAAAGAUUGAAUUUAUGACUUUUUGGCUGGUCUUAAUAAGGAGCUUGAUGAUGUUCGUGGUCGUAUACUUGGCACUAAACCAUUACCUUCCAUCCGAGAAAUCUUUGCUGAAGUCAGACGAGAAGAGAGUCGUAAACGGGUCAUGCUUGGGGAGCCAAAAUCACUUACAGCACCUGAAAUGUCUGCUUUGGCUGUUCAGGGAUCUAAUAAUUCCAACAAAGGUGGCCAGUUGUGGUGUGAUCAUUGCCACAAACCGAACCACACCAAAGAGCGUUGUUGGAGGCUACAUGGUAAACCAACAAAUUGGAAAGACAAUAGAGGCAAUAAGCGAAGUCCAAAAGGAUUUCAAUCUGCAACUGGCACUGAUCAAAGUGUUCCAAAGGAAGGUGUAAGCAGUGUGAUUCCAUCAUUUACCAAAGAACAACUUGAGCAGUUUCAAAAACUUUUAACUCCUAUUCCUUCGUCCUCUUUGCUGGCCCAAAAAGGUAUUUUCCAGAUCCCAACAGUUUUUCAUGCUUCUGCCAAGGUUCCAGAUCCCUGGAUCAUUGAUUCUGGCGCCACAGAUCACAUGACAGGCUGCAUUCAUUUUUUCUCUUCUUAUACUCCUAGUCCAGAUCAUUUUAAAGUAAGGAUAGCUGAUGGUUCACUUUCAGUUGUUGCAGGGAUGGGCACUAUAAAGAUUACUCCUAGCAUAAUUCUCAAAUCAGUUCUCCAUGUUCCUAAAUUAUCUUGCAAUCUACUCUCUGUCAGCCAAAUCACUAAAGAUCUUAAUUGUGUUGCUAAUUUUUCGCACUCCUCUUGUGAAUUUCAGGACCUAAUUUCGGGGAAGAGGAUUGGCAGUGCUAGGGAACAUGGGGGACUUUACUAUUUUGAGGAUUUCAACAUGAAUAAACAAGCUCAUACUGCUGACUGUGGAUCUCUUUCUAUGUCUAGGGAACAAAAAAUAAUGUUGUGGCAUCGUAGGUUAGGUCAUCCUAGCUUUCCAUAUUUAAGAAAUUUGUUUCCUGAAUUAUUUCGUAAUAAAAAUUCUCUUAUGAUUCAUUGUGAAGUAUGUCAAUUGGCUAAACAUCAGCGUUCCUAUUUUCCUUCUCAAUCAUACAAACCUUCCAAACCUUUUGCAAUGAUUCAUAGUGACAUAUGGGGACCUUCUCGUGUCUCAAACCUUACGGGUAUAAAAUGGUUCAUUACUUUUAUUGAUGAUCACACACGAAUCUGUUGGGUGUAUCUAUUAAAGGAUAAAUCUGACGCAGCACAAACCUUUAAAAAUUUUCACUCCAUGAUCCAAACACAAUUCCAAACCAAAAUUCAGAUUUUACGUACUGAUAAUGGUAGAGAAUUUUUUAACACUUCUCUUAGUCAAUUUCUUUCACACCAUGGGAUUAUACACCAAAGUUCUUGUGUUUAUACUCCACAACAAAACGGUGUCUCCGAAAGAAAAAAUCGUCAUCUACUUGAAGUAGCACGGUCUCUUAUGUUCACUACCAAUGUACCUAAACAAUUCUGGGGAGAUGCUAUUCUUACGGCAUCGUACUUAAUUAAUCGCAUGCCUUCUAAGGUUCUUAAUUACCAAACUCCACUUAACAUGUUUCUCCAUUAUUAUCCACACACUCGAGUAUGUAUGGAUCUGCCACUUAAAGUCUUUGGUUGUACUUCCUUUGUCCAUGUCCAUAGUUUGGCUCAAACAAAGCUAGAUCCUAGAGCUCAUAAGUGUAUUUUUUUAGGUUACUCAGCCACUCAAAAAGGUUAUCGAUGUUAUUCUCCUGAACAGCACAAAUAUUUCAUUUCUAUGGAUGUUACCUUUUUUGAAACUCACCCUUUCUAUGCCCAGAAUUCCCUUCAGGGGGAGAGUUCUAAUGAAGGGAAUUUUUGGGAAGCGUCCUUACCAUCUCCAACUUUUCCCCAGUCUUCAGAAUUGUUAUCUCCACCUAAACUCACUGCUGUUCAGCCGUGUCAGUCUCAAUCAGAUUUGUCUUCAUCAGAAACAACUCAAAAUUCAUCUCAGCCAAUGAAGUCUACUAAUGAUGAAAAUUUCAGGACAAGGGGAGAAACACAGCAACAACAAGAGCUACGUGUUUAUUCACGACGGAAUAAUCCGCAAAGAGUUGAGGAACCUGUUCACCGACAGCACUGUCAAGAGACCGAACUGAAUGAAGGUAUACAGCCUCAAAAUACUGUUCUUAAACCUGAAAUUGCUGAUCUUGAUAUUCCUAUAGCCUUAAGAAAGGGGAUUAGAUCUUGUGCUCAAUAUCCUAUUUCUAAUUAUGUGACCUAUGACCGACUGUCACCUUCUCUUCGAGCAUUUGUUACUAAUCUUUCAGGUGUACAAAUUCCAAAGAAUAUUCAAGAAGCGUUAGAAGACUCGAAGUGGAGACAGGCUGUUAUGGAGGAGAUGAGUGCUCUAGAAUAGAUGGGAACAUGGGAGCUGGUACAAAAACCAAAAGGAAAGGUUCCAGUGGGUUGUAAAUGGGUUUUUACUAUCAAGUAUAGGUCUGAUGGAUCAAUAGAGAGGUAUAAGGCACGACUAGUAGCAAAGGGGUUCACUCAAACAUACGGGAUUGAUUACCAGGAAACAUUUGCUCCAGUCGCUAAAUUAAAUACAAUUCGAGUUCUAUUAUCCUUGGCUGCAAACUUGGAUUGGCCACUUCAACAAUUAGAUGUUAAGAAUGCUUUUCUUAACGGAGACUUGGCAGAGGAAGUUUACAUGGAGUUGCCACCUGGAUUUGAUAAGGAAGGAAGAGGACUAGUGUGUAAAUUGAAAAAAUCACUCUAUGGACUGAAACAGUCACCUAGAGCUUGGUUUGACAGAUUCUCUAGGGCUAUACGACAGCAAGAAUACAAACAAGCUCAGACAGACCACACGUUAUUUUAUAGACAUAAGGAUGGUAAGAUUACUGUUCUUAUUGUUUAUGUUGAUGAUAUAAUAUUGACUGGGAAUGAUAUUGUUGAAAUAAAGAGAUUGAAGAAAAUACUUGCAACAGAAUUUGACAUAAAGGACCUUGGAUCCCUAAGAUACUUUCUAGGCAUGGAAGUGGCAAGAAAUAACACAGGCAUAUCUGUUUCUCAAAGGAAAUAUGUUAUAGACCUUUUGAAAGAAACAUGAAUGAUAGGUUGUAAGCCUGUAGACACACCAAUGGAUGCAAAUUUGAAAUUAGGAGACUUGAAGGACAGUACUCCUGCUGAGAGAGGGAGAUAUCAGCGACUUGUUGGGAAACUCAUCUAUCUUUCCCACACUAGACCUGAUAUUGCUUUUGCGGUUAGUGUUGUAAGUCAAUUCAUGCAUGCUCCAUGCGAGGAACAUAUGGAAGCUGUUUAUCGAAUCCUGAGAUAUCUUAAAGGAACUCCAGGAAAAGGUCUUCUCUUCAAAAAGAAUGAGGCAAGAAGUGUUGAAGCCUUCACAGACGCUGAUUGGGCUGGUUCAAUUAAGGAUAGAAGAUCUACGUCGGGCUAUUGCACAUUUGUAUGGGGGAAUUUAGUAACUUGGAGAAGUAAAAACAAUCAGUUGUGGCAAGAAGUAGUGCUGAAGCAGAGUUCAGAGCAGUAGCUCAAGGUAUCUGUGAGUUGUUAUGGCUGAAACUAUUAUUAGGGGAGCUAAAAAUCGCAGAUAUUCAACCUAUGAAACUUUAUUGUGACAAUAAGGCAGCCAUAAAUAUUUCUCAUAAUCCAGUACAUCAUGAUAGAACAAAGCAUGUUGAGGUUGACCGGCAUUUCAUCAAGGAGAAGAUAGAAGAAGGAGUAAUUUCUAUGACAUAUGUGCCUACAUCUCAACAAACUGCAGAUCUUCUUACUAAAGGAUUAGUCAAACCAGUGUUUGAAAAGUUGGUAGACAAGCUGGGAAUGUUCAAUGUUUUUUGUCCAGCUUGAGGGGGAGUGUGGCAGAAUUUGAAAAAAUAGAGUUAUCCUUAUCUGGUGGUUGUUUUACAUGAUAUGUUCUAUCUACUUAUUUUUUGUUUUUAUCCCUAGAAUAAAGGACUUUGCUAAGAUAAGACUUCUAGUCUAUGUUAGCUUCAAGCCUAUAUAUAAUCUUGUAGUUUGAUUAAUAAAGGUAAUAUGAAAGUGCAGUGUUUACUGUUUCCUUCCUAUAUUUUGUUACAGAUAUCUUCCUUUCCUAAAGACAGAAUCAUUCAGGACAUAUGCCAUGCUUGGCUGCAAUUUGAACGGGAAUUUUGUAAUAAAAUUUUUAAUGAAUUUAUGGGUUUGAUGAGUAAAAUUAGGGGUUCAUAUAGACUCACCCAUAAAUUGAACCCUUAUUAUGUUGAUGCACAACUUAAUUUAACAAAAAUAAUGUUCAAAUUGUCACAAAAUUUGAAAAAAAAAAUCAUACAGUUAAUUUUUCUUCUACUUUACUCCAUUAUUCAAUGGGCAUAUAAUAAAUUAGGAGAGGGGAGAAAUAAAGGGGAAAAUUAGAGUGAUUGUCGCAAUGAUACACUGAUACAAAUGCUUAUGUAUGUGUAGUGUGUGUGUGGGGCGUUCUUUAAUUUGAUAAAAAAUAAAUGCAGUUAUUUGUAGUUUUAAUCAAAAUCGAGGGAUAUAAACAAAAUUUUUACCACUCCAGAGUCCAGACAUGUAUCAUUAUCUGGUUAAAAAAAAAUUGCAUAAAAUUAAAAAACCACUAGUAGCUGAAAGAGAGAAACAAAUUAAGAAAGGGUUCAGAAGAUGGAACCCGAAGAGAAAACCCUAGCAACAAUCCCAGAAGAAGAAGAAGAUGGAGACACGGCCAUGCCCGACGUCAAGAACAACCCUAAACCAACAACAAAAGCCAACUCUUCGGACUCGAGCGAUGCCUCUGACUCGGACUCGGGAAGAUGAAGCAAAACAGAACAUGGAGCUUCAAACCCUAGAGUAUCAGCUAUCCAAUGAACCCUCCAAUUACGACACCUAUGCUCAAGUAACUUCAAUACACAUAUUUAUUGAGUGAUUUUGUGGAUAACCGUUUGCUUGUUCUUUCUUGGGUUGCGAUAAAAAUGGUUUUUAUCUUAUUUUUAUUUUUCAGUAAAUAAAGGUUUUGAGAAAAAUGGGUGAGAUAGAGAAAUUGAGACAAGCUAGGGAAGCCAUGAAUGAGAUUUUUCCAUUGACUCCUGCUAUGUGACAAGAAUGGGCGAGAGAUGAAGCCUCUAUUUCAACUGGGUAUCUGUCAUUUCCUAUUGCAAUGGUUUUUGAUUUUGUGAGCAAAUGUUUUUUUCGCUUAGAGAUAUAGAUGUUUAUGUUAGUUAUUUGCUAAUGUAAGAAGGAACAAAACCUGCUUAAAAGGUAUUAAAGAAAGAAAAAAGGAACCAAUUUGAAGAAGGGGAUACUUGUAGUGGGAGUUCUACUUUGGGGUUUAAUUGAUGGAAAGAAGAAAUAGCUUAUAUGUUUACAGAAUUAGACAUUUGAUCGCUCAGUUAGUUGAGGAAGAUGGUUAAUCACAAUGUCUGAUGUUGUUUCUAUUGGCCUGAGCUAGUUGUUAAGAUUUCAUACUUUCAUUCAACAAUGCAAUAGACUUUGAUUGGGUCCACCGUAGUUGGGUGUUCUAAGGAAUCAAUGAGUGUCUUGAGAAAACUUGGGUGGAGUGCUGGUCAUUUUCAGGAUUCCGUUUCCAAGAAAACAAAAAUGAAGUUGUAGUCUUUUCCUACAGUUUCUUGACAAUCAAACAGCUCAGGAUUAAGUGUUUACUUUUGGUGUAAUUAUUCACUCUAACUCGAAUAAUACUUAGGUUUAGUGCUAACAAAAUAGGAAGUGAAUUAAUAUCUGAAGCUGACUUAGGAGUGGAAUGAAUGUUACCAAAAAUAUACUAUAUGGUAGAUAGAAUUUGCCUUUUAGGUAAGACAAAAAUAAUUACAGCUGUUAAUUUAUUUCAAUAAGUUCGUACAUCAUUCAAUAAUAAGUCCAAGAUUUUAAUGGUUUUGUUUCCUGAAAAUUUGUCACAAGUGCAUGAACAAAGUUCUAUGGAUGAACUUCUCUUAGUUAAUUUGAGUUCAAUGUCGCAGUUCCUCAUAUUAACUAUAUAAAACACUAAUCUUGCUCUUUACUUUGGAGCAUUUUAAUAAAAUUGAUGCUAAUUCCUUAGCCAUUUUAUUCAUCUUGUGCAUAAAUUAUGCAAUCAAUAAGCCAACUCAACUUUCAUCUUUAUUUAGUGAAAAAUUUGCAAGGCCACUAGGAGGUUUUUGUAUGUCUCAUGCUAACAUGGACGCCAUGGUUUCACUAUGUAAAUUUUCCCUACUGAAAUUCAUGAUCCCUCAAAUACCACUCAUCACUCAUGAAGCUGUUUCUGGGACUUUAAAAGCGCCAAAUUUUAGUUUUAUCCUUUCUAGCUUAUUAACCUGUCCGCAUCUGCAUUAUUAUCUUUUCUGUCAUAGGAAAGUUUAAUUUAUCAUCUUCCCAACAUAAACAUCCGUAGGUCAUUGUUGACUUUUUUUUCCUUUAGAUUCAUGUCAGAUUAUGGUUGCUGGAUUUUCUGCUUUGACACUUAUUGUUUCUAAGUAUAGGCUACCAAGGGAGAAAAAAAUUGACAUUGAUGGUCAUCCCCAGCAUGUUUAUCCCAGGAGACUGGUCAUUCAAUUUCUAUGAAGGACUAUAUAGACAUCCAGACUCUAUUUUGAAGGACAAAGCUGUGGCUGAGCUUGGUUGUGGAAAUGGAUGGAUAACCAUUGCCAUAGCUGAGAAGUGGUUGCCUUUGAAGUUUUGUUGGUUUGUCGUCCUUAUGCCAUGUGAGAGCUUUUAUUUCCUUCCCUACCAGUGCCUUCAGGGGCUCCAUCAUGAUUUCUCUCAUCAUUUUCUAUCUGUGUUUUGCAAGGCCAUUUGAUAUUUAUAACAGCGUUGGCACCAGGUUAUGGUGAUUUAAUGCACUCCUAUUAGGAAAAAUUACAUAAUUAUCAACUCUGUCCUUGUCCAAAAGUCUUUGUUGGAGUAUGUUGAAAGUAUAACCUUGUAGCAGUUCUUUUAUGCUGUCUGAAUAUCCUAUUGCAGUUCUAUGGCCUUGAUAUUAAUCCCAGAGCAAUAAAGAUCUCUUGGAUAAAAUUGUACUUAAAUGCAUUAGAUGAAUCUUUUUCUAAGCUUUUCUGUCACUGUCACUGCAAAAGGUCUUUUGUAUUGAGGGUUAUCUGUGGGGCUAGGAAAGAAGGUCAGCCCAUCUAUGAUGCGGUGAAGAAAACCUUACCGGAUAGGGUGGAGUUUGAUGAAUCUGAUCUCCUAGCGUAUUGUAGACAUCAUGACAUUCAACUUGAAUGAAUAGUGGGGUGCAGACCUCAGGUACUCUCACUUUCUGCAACUCAUGAUAUUUCUAGGGGAUUAAUUUUUGGUGAAGUUUGUUUACCCAACAUCAAGUUGGAAUUUUAGUGUGCCCACAUGGAUUACUUUUAACUCCUAGUUUAACUUAUUCUGUUUUCUCCAUGCAGGUUCUCAACCCCAAUUCCAAUGCAAUGUCGAAAAUAAUUACUGAAAAUGCAAGCGAGGAAUUUCUGUAUUCAUUGAGUAACUAUUGUGGACUGCAGGUUGGAAGAUAUUCUAAAUAAUUUAAUUGUGAUGCGCAAUUGCAAAUUGCCGGGAAGUUAGCAAUUAAGUUGACAGGCUUCUUCUGGUUUCACAUAUUUCCAAGCAUACUUGUUAUAACUUUGGUUUGAAGCUUGCAUACCUUAGGUAAGGUUGAUGUCUUUAGUUGGUCAAUAUCAAUUGGGAAAUAUAGCUAACCAGUGAAGACAGUGGGAAAAGGAUGAUGUGACCUCUUCACAAUGCCAUUGAUUCCCAUAGUUCAUGUUGCUAGGUGAACUUAACAACCAUCUCUUAUGCAUAUCUAAUUUUAUUGUGAUUGGUGUAAUGAUCUGAAAGAUUUCUUUUUUUUUUCCUUGGUUUUAUUUAUUUAUUUCCUCGUGUGACCUCUUCACAAUGCCAUUGAUUCCCAUAGUUCAUGUUGCUAGGUGAACUUAACAACCAUCUAUUAUGCCUUGUGGAUAACUGAGAAAAUUUAUUGCUUUUGACAAAUUGCUUUUUGAAAUAGAGUGCAAGUAGAUUGACCAAUAAUUAGAGAAACUUAGGAAGCAAAAAUGGGGGCAAAGCCGAUGGUUUCAAUACAUUGAGAAGAGAGACAAAGCUCUUAGAUGAAGCCAUGGAAUUGCGGAUGAAGACUGCACAAAUAACUAAUUGAUGAACUUCACAAAUAAGUAAUUGAUGAACUUCACAAAUAAGUAAUUGAUGAAACAUCAUGAUCUUCAAUUUAAAUUUAAAUGCAUUUGUUCUAUUAAUCAUGAAGCAUCUUUUAUUUAUGUUUCAAUAAUUUAAGUAUGUCGCAAUUCUACUGAAUGAUCAAUUCGAGACUUGAACUUCAAGUGUUUUCUUUUUUCCCUCCCCAUUUCCCUGUAUGGAGGGUUUCGUGGACGAUCAGUUUGGCUUAGGUCUAAAUGCUGGAGCAGUUAAGGAAUUACUGUUAUCAAAAUAAAGUUUCCUCUCACUCACUAGCCAGUUGAGCAGCUCGUCACCAGUCGGAUUCAUUGCCGAUUGCAGCCCAUAUCCAUUGCUCAUCACUGUUUGGAUUCGUCAGUUCUGUCAUGUCAGUUCAGUAGAUUGUCGCCGCAGUCAUGAUCGGCCUCUUUGUUGUCGUCGAAGAACCAAUCAAUAAUGAUGAAGAUGAUGUUUUAUGACAAUAAUGAUGAUGAUUGAUGAUGAUGAUGAUGAUUACCAUUGUUGAUGAUUAAUAUUAUCGAUGAUGAUGAUGUAGAUGAUGUAAUUGCGGUGAGAUGAUGAAGAUGAAACUGAAUUGUGAUGUUGAUAAUGAAAUUGACAGAAGGAAGAAGAAGAUAAUUGUGGUGAUGAUGAUGAUGUUGAUGGAGAAGAUGAAAUUGACAUGAUUGAUGAUGAAGUAACGAAGAAUUUGUAAAACAGAGAGAGGGAGAGAGAAAAAGGAGAAGAGGAUAAAAAAGAAAGAAUGAAAAAAACAGGAGAGAAAAUAACAAUAAAAACAAAAGAGGAAAAUAAUUAUUAUUGUUAUUAUUAUUAUUAACAAUAACUUUCUUAAUAACCAUAAUCAUAUAAUAGAUAAUAAAAAUAGUGGUAAUAAUGAACUAAGGGUAUUUUAAUAAUUUAUUGUAAUUUUAAAGUAAAUACAUUAAUGAUAAUAUAAUUUAUUUUAAUUUUGAUUCUUAUAGUUGAAGUAAAUAAUUUAUUUUAAUUUUUUAUUUCACAUUUCAAUUUUAGUCCAUUCCGAAUUAGUAAACGCAUCAUAAAAUCGUGUGAUUCUACUCCUUUAUAUGUGAGAUUGAUUUUUUUUCUUUAAGGCCUACGACAUCCCAAUACGUCUAUAUAUGACCAAGCUACUAAGUGGACGGCCAUUAAAAAGGCAUAAAAUUGAAUGGCCGUCUAAUUAAUUCCCCAUGACAUACAGCAAAAAUUUAAGAAGGAACUCCGAUACCAUCAAUUAUGCAUUUUAAUUUGAAGUUGGAAAAUAGUGAAAACAGAAGGUUCGGAUGAUUUAAUUUUAUACGUAUUUAAUCAAGUAAAAAUGGCACCUGCGUUGUAAUUUGCACAGUUAUCUUACUUUGAAUAAUAACAAAGUUCAAAUUUUGUAUUCAGUGAAAAUCAAAUCUAAAGUGAAAAACAGUAGCUAGAAAAAAAUCUAUGUUCUGAUGUCUUAGUUUAUAAGCUCAAACAAUGAAUAGUAUAGAUACAGCGCAUGAUAGAACACAAAACUCAUGUAGAUUUUUAGUUUCGAAAUUCAUUUCAGAAAAUCUGUUCUGUUCAACAGGUUAAAGUAGAUUAUCAACUAAACUCUACCCACAUACUUGCGUACAAUUAGAGCACUAUGUCAACAAAGGAGCACAUCUUUCGGAAGAUAAUUGAAGACUUGUUUGGCAAUUUGAAGAUUACAUCUUUGCUCUGCCAUUGGAAGUAAGCAACUCAGCUGCCCAAAGACCGCCGUGCCAUCAAGACAAUACCAAGAUACAACAUCAGUAAUAAUAACAUCAAGAAUUACAAAGAGGCCGUCACACGUUACACCCACCCCCAAUAAGAAACUAAUUAAUACCGUCUUAGCUCCUCUGUUUUAAAAGAAAUUUACGCACCCAUGCAGUAGGAAUAAUUAAUUAAUUGUAACUGUUUCUAAAAGUUGAUGAGCCCAAAUAUCCAAUAACUGAUAAAUUGUGUUAAGAAAUAGAAAUAUUAAUAGUACUGAUACAGACGCAUGGAAGUCCCCCCUCUUGAGUUUAUGCUUGUUCUUGUCUGCUUGACAAACAAGACAGAGGUGGACUAAGCAUCAUUGGAUAACUUGGGGGAAAAAUAGUGUCCAGCAAAAAGAAUCCAUCGUUAUGUGCUGCUUCCCAUUUAAUUACAUUUAUCUAACAUUUAAAAGAUGGAAGUAGAAAUUAAAACUCUGUUUUUCAGAUAUGGCUCAUAUACAAUGCAAGUAUCAAGAUUUAAUUAGAGUUCAAUAUACAUGCGUCUAGUUUUUUAUUGAGAGAUAAACUAAUCAUAAAUACUCAGGUGUUUCGAAAUGAUUGAAUAAUGAUAUUAUUGUUAUUUAUAAAUUUAUAAGGAUAAAUAACUGAUAGUCCAUCAUAAAUACCGAAAAGGGUCCCCAGCAUAACUUGAACAACUUUAGUUUGGUUUAGUUUGUGAAAAGUAAUUGAAAGCAACGUAAUUGAAGGAAAUACAAACUUUUGAUUUUGACAAAGUAGUCGUUAAAAUGCUAAAAAUACUGGGACAAUAGAAAAAUAAUGAAGAUCCUAAAAGUUGGUGGAGCAAAUAAACAGAGUAAAACGGAGCAAAUAUUUACCAUUAUACAUAUAUUUUUAUUUUUUUCAAAAAUGAAAGUUGCGAUUUUUUUUUUAGACAAAAGAGACAAAAAAGAAGCACAGUCUGCUAUUACUAGUGUGGCAUGUUAUCUAUUAUAUAAGCACGUGUCUAAUUAUUGUUACCGCCUGCAGUUGUGCUUUCUUUUAUUUAUUUUCCUUUUGUUAUUGAAGUUGUCUUGCAAACUGCUCCAAGCUGAUUACAAAAUUUCCUCUUCCUCUAGGAUCUUUUGAAUGGUCCUGCAAUUUGUAUUCCUUUCUGUGGGAUUGGUUUUUUUUUUUCUUUUAACAGAAUUUUAGGGAUAAGAAACCUUACCCAUUGAAUACCAACUUUGAAUUUUAAUAUUAUUCAAACUUAGAAAACUGCAGAAACAAAGUGCCUUCAUAGCACCAGUUAAACUGUGUCUAGCUACCAUGCUAAUUCCAUUUUUACUUUAUUAAAUAUAUACAGAAUUAAAUCACCUAAGCCUCUAGUUUCACUAGUUUCCAACUUGAAAUUAAAACGUAGAAUUGAUGGUAAUGGAGUUGCCUAUUUAAUUUUGCUGUAGGUCAUGGGCAAUUAGACGGCCAUCCAUUUUUAUGUCUAUUUUAUGCACUAUUGGCCACUAAGUAGCUUGGACAUUUUAUAAGUAGCUUGAAAUAAGUCAAAAUCAAUUACAAGAACAACAAUAAAAGCAUAUUUUAUAAAGGCCACAAAUACAUAAUACAAAUUUAGUUUUGAAUUAUGUAAUUAUUAAUUCAUAUAUUAAGAGAGUCUUAUAGAAAAAAUAGGAGUUUUUUGAAAGAGAUUUGCUAAAGUAAAAAAUUUCGUUUGGUUUAGUUUGUGAUGGCUCAAGUAAUUGAAAGCAAUGCAAGUGAAGGAUACAUGAACUUCUGAUUUUUACAAAGUAAUUGUUAAAAUAUUUGACAAGCUUGAGAUUUUAAAAAGGCUGGGAAAAUAGAAAAACAAUGAAGACCCUACGAGUUGGCAGAGCAGAUAAAUAGAGGAAAACAUGACAAAUAUUCCAAAAAAGAAAUUCGCAUUUUUUUUUUCGAAAAUACGCACAGUCUGCUAUUACUACUACUAUAGAAUGUUAGCUGCUAUAUAUAAGCACCUGUCUAAUUACCAAAUAGAUUCCACUUUGACAAAGAAUAAAAGCUAAUUUCAUUGAUGGCACAUGUUGUGCUAAUUACAAAAUUUUCUCUUACUCCAGGAUCUUUGCAAUGGUCCUGCAGUUUGUAUUCCUUUCUCUGAGAUUGUUUUUUUUUUUUUUCUUUAAAUAAAAUUUUAGGGAUGAGAAACCUUAUCCAUUGAAUAUCAACUUUGAAUUUUAUUAAUAUUCAAACUUAGAAAAAUACAGGAACAAAGUGCAUUAAUAGGAGGUUAAACUAUGUCUGGCUAAAAUGCAAGUUUCAUUUUCACUUAAUUAAAUAUACAAAAUUAAAUCGCAUGAGCCUCUCGUUUUAUUAUACUUCAACUUAAAAUUAAAACGCAGAAUUGACGGUAUUCGAAUUCCUUAUUUAAUUUUGCUGUACUCAUGGGGAAUCAUGGCCUUCCAUUUUUUUUUUUUUACGUCUAUUUUAUGGCCAUCCCCACUAAGUAGCUCGGUCACACACAACAUGCACAUACAUAUAUAUAUUGUGUGUGGGUAUUGGGAUGGCACAGGCCCUAAAAGAUAAAGCUGAACAUCAAUUCCAAAUCUAAAGUGAAAAACAGUAGCUAGAACAGAAUCUUUGUUUUGAUGUCUUUGUUUAUAAGCUCAAACAAUUCAUAGUAUACAGAAAAUGCAUGAUAGAACACAGAACUCAUAUUUUAGCAAUAAUCCUCAGCUCACCGACCUUUAGUUCAGAAUGGCAGUUCUUAUUAGUCAAACAAUCAAAUUAACUUUUAGUUGUAUAUAAGUAGCGCACCAAAUCAACAAAUAAUUGAAGACUUGCUUGGCUAUUGAACCAUACGAUGGCAAUUCGUCAACUAUAACUUAGCUCUGGCAUUCGAAGUAAGCAACUUAGCAUCCCAAAGACUGCCAGGCCAUCAACACAAUACUACCAAGAUACAAGAUCAAUAAUAAUAACAUCAAGAAUUACACUGAUGCUCUCGAAAUAAGGUAUACGAAAUUUUAAUUGUGUAUGCACAAACUAACUUUAUCACUUCUUUCAUAUUAAUACUCAUAAAUUUCAACCUUAUUUUAUGUUGAUGCACAAUCUAACUUUUUAACAAAAAUAAUAUUUAAAUUGUCACAAAUGUAUUAUUCUUAAAAAAAAAAUUCAUAUACAGUAGUUAAUUUUUCUUCUUCUUCACUCCAGGAUCCAACUCCAUACCCCUCUUUUUUAUUGUUAUUCUGCUCAGCCGUUAGAUUUUAAUUACGUUGAUCUAACGGUUGAGAUUUGUAAAUGAAUAACGAAGUGGUGUUUUUGGCUACUGUCUGAACCCAUUGCAUCUAAUUGGUUUUGUGAUUUUUUGCUUUCUUCUCUGUAACGCUUGACUGGUUCUGGAAAUAUCGACCAUCGACAGCAAAUCUGGAGCAUGUAUUAUUUUUCAUUAAAAUAAGUUUCCACCACCGUACCAGUAUAUGGAUUUCUGAAUUAAUUAUUAAAAGAAGCAAACAAUACUGAGAACAUAUUAAUUAUUAAUUUAUAUAAUAAUAUGUUUCCUUCAAAGUAUAAUAUUUGAAUUUGAAAUAACUUUUUAAAAAAAUUUAAUAUCACAGUAAUAGUCACGAUUCAAUUGGUUUAUUUAAAAAAAAAAAAUUGGAAGAAUAGACAAAUAAUGGAGACACAAGUCAACCUAAGGAGAGCCAAUAAACAGGGGAAAGUGAAUUGAGUACUGUCCUCGAGCUCUCAAUUAUCCAACAUUCUCAAAUUUCUAUGUACAUUUUCGUAAAUUCAUGUCAUAUACCAGAUAGAGUAUUUUGGGUUUUGUUGCAUCAGUUCUCUGGUGUUUAUCUUGUUUUAUUACCUUAUGAUGCAAGAUUCCUGGUAGCGAUACACCUCGAAUAAAACUAUUUUUGUUUUUUUUGGCAUUUUUAUUAGCACAAAUCAUUAUUAAUUAAUGAACCCAUCGGGAUAUUGGUUUCAUUUGUAACAACUUGCUAAUUGCUUAAUACAUUUUUGUAAUUCUCGUCAUGAAGUCACAAAGAACCUGCAAAUAAAAUCAUAGAUGUGGUACAUUGUGAUGUGAUAAAUCUAAUUCAAAUCUAAACUAAGAGAUGAUUCAUAUACAGGUACAUAUAGAAUAAAGAUAUUUAAACAUAAGCAUUCAAUUUUUUGAUAAACCUAACUGUCAUUGGCUUAUUGCUAUUAAAGGAAGUGAACAGAAAUAGAUGUAGAAAGUCAGAGAUAUGAAUGAGUGCACUUGAUGAUUUCUCGAAUAGAAAAUUAAAGUAAUAUCAUUUUUAAUAAAUGUGAGAUGAUUUAUACUCUAAAAUUUAUUUUGAACACUCAUAUUUUUAUUACGAAAAAUCUCAUAGUUCAAUUUAUUAGUAUGAACAAACAAAAUAAUAAUACUUUUGAAACUCAUCUAACCAUAGUUCGCACGCACCCAUAUAAACCUUAACCAUAAUAAAACGUUCUUCCUCAACAUAAAGACUAAUUCAUUAUUUAAAAGCAUCUAUUAACAAAUUUGUACACACAGAUUCUCUGGUUCUAAUUUAUUUGAUUUUAAUGUUUCACUUCUCCACCAAAGGAGGUUCUACACAAAUAAACUGUAAGAAAAACAAAACAGUGAGAUCAAAAAUUAAACAGCUAACCAACAAAAACCAGCUACUGGAAAUUUCAAAUGAAAUAUCAACGGAGUACAAUCCGAACCUCCUAAUAUUUUCCACUUUCGUUAAGUGGGACCCACUCAAAAUGUGCCCUCAAAAUAGUAUGUUAUGCUAUUUUUUCAACAUAAACGACAGCAGAAAAACAAAUAUAAAAUGUGAUACGUGUGUAGAACAUAUAUACUCAUCAUAACAAUAACUGAUAAAUUGUGUUAAGAAAUAAAAAUAUUAGUAGUGAUGACAUGAAAGAAGUCUGAUGUCUUGAGUUUGACUAAAAAUAAUUUAAAAUAAUCGAUCAAGCGAAAUUCCUUAAGAGAUGAACUGGGUUGGGAAGGCAGAGCAGCCUCUGUUCUUUUUACUAUAAUGCUAAGAAUUGACUUCAAUUGGGAAGUCAGGCCAAUUGAAGAAGCUCCCCUGUUUUUCACUGAAACAUAAUCCGAACAAUUUAUAAUUAAAUAAAUCAUUCAAAAUCUCCUUUAAUCGAACCCCCACUUCUGUGGUUUAAUGAAAUAUUAACGUUCAGCUCCUGAGGUUGCCAUUUUAUGUAUUGAAAAAGAAGAUAAUACAAGAAACUGAAAAUUAAUUGAUGCUGGAUCAUGUUGGAUUGUUAGUUGUUAUUUAUGAUGGGGAUAUAAUCUUGGCCUUUUAAUUAUCAUCUAGCUAACGCAAGCCCACUAGUUUCAUCUGUGUCCAUCACUAAAAAGUAGAGUUGCUUAAUUGAAUAGUGUCACGUUACAUCACAUAAAGUCACUCAAUUUUCAUUGCCAUAUGUAGCUCAAAAGUGCAUGAACAUUGAACUUUCAACUAACUUAUACUGAUUAAUUAAUACGACCAUCAGUUCUUAGUACCCAACAACAUCCAUCAAUAAGAGCAAAAUUCCCAUUGAUUUCAUAAAUAAAAAAUGAAUAAGUUACAAAGACAAUAUUUGACAAUCACGAAAACAACUAUAAUUCACUUCAAUAAACAAUAUAACAGAUACAUUAUCAAUAUUGCAAGUCUUUUUAUGAUUUAAUUAAAAGAGAAAAUAUGAAGGACAUAUUUUAUAUAAUUGAAUGCUCUCCUUGAUAAUUAGACAAAAUAACACCAAUCAAACUACCUAAUUCAAUCAUCAUAAUGAUUCAAUUUUCAUUUUUUAAUUAUGUCCAAUCAUGCUAAUUUAAUAAAGAUUACUGAGCACUUAAAGUACCUAUAUCUUCAACAACUUUGGCUAAGUUAGAAAAGUAUUAGAGCUGCCUCUAUGCUUUGUGUUAUUAAGCAGGACGUGAUCAUAUUACGUUGCAUUUGUCAGAAAAGAGGUGUUGAAUUAUUAAAAAAAUCUGAUCUGUAUUACUGUAUAUAUAGUCUUAGAGGCUACAGUUGAGACAUAUGAAAAGCUUGUAACUUCUUCUUAAUGCUUGUAGUUUGAUCUCGGUGAUGGAGAUAAGAUUGCUGCCCUGUUCUUCACUUGAUAUAGGCUAUCUCCAAGCGGAACCACUUAAAUUGUGCCUCUGUUUUGCUUGUUUCAGUUGUUAUUCUUGUGAGGUGUGUGAUUUGCUUGUCAUUUCUAAAUCAUCAAUUAGAGAGUUUAGUGAGAUCUUGGUGGUUUUAGAAUGAGUUUAAUCGAUCAAGAAUCAACAAGAUGCAAUGAAAACAAAAUAAGAGACUAAUGCACGCACAUCAUAGCAAUGUUUCAUUCAUUUUGAAUCUAUAUAUACAAAACUUAUAUCUGGUGGUUUGUGUUUGUUUAAUCUAACGGCUAUAACAUGUAUAUUGUCAAAAGCUACAGCGGCCAACUUUGUUUGUCCUCGUAGCAUCCUUGAUCUUAUAUCAUCCUGGUGAUUCUUGAGAGCUCUUCUCAUUCUCUCGUGUUGAGUCCCUUGCUGAGAUGAUAAAUACUUGAGGGUCCUUCCUUGAUAUAUUUCAGCAAACACUUGAUUCAUUCUAUCAAACAUUUGCAUCACAAUGGGUGAUGAUUUGAUGAGAAAUAUUAAUAUACAUGCAUCCCCUGCAUUCGUUAGAGCUGCUCUCAACCUCUGUUUAAUAAGCUAGUCCUCUGCUGUAUCCUAGAAGGUGGAACAUUAUGCUUCCCAGCUGGCUCAAGAGGGAACUAUGCUUCUGCUGCCAAAUUUUUGAAAGCAAACAUCGUGGGAAGAGGUUGAUCUGAAGCCAUUGCAUCUGAUUGGUUUUGUGAUUUUUUGCUUUCUUCUCUGUAACGCUUGGCUAGUUCUGGAAAUAUCGACCGUCAUUGAUGGCAAAUCUGGACCAUGUAUUUGCCCACUACUAAGAAAUAAAGCUUCCACCAACGUACCAGUAUGUCGAUUUAUGAACACAUUCAUUCAAAUAUUAAACGUACAGAGAAGAGAGCAAACUGUGGCUGUUUUCCUUUAAUUUUCUUCUUUGAAUUCUCCUUUUAUUAAUCAUUAGAAAAACUCCCUUUUUUAAAAUCACGUGUUAUAAACAUUUACAUGGUUAAUGUCAUCGAAAUCAAAUGGUUGUCAUCUACGAAAAGAGAAUUGAUAGAAAUUUUGUUAGUCCCAUUGCAAUAAUAUAUUGUUAUAAAUUGCAUUGUUUCCCAUAUAACAAAUAUAAUAAAAUCUCAAUAAAUUAAUAGUUUUGGGGAUCAUAAAAAAAUUUAUUAAAAUUUAACAAAUAUCAAUUAAUUGGCAAAUUAAUAAAUUAUUAAUUUAUGAAAAUAUUCAUUAUUUUAGAAAAACAUGAUCACGUUUUUAGUAUUGAUUUACCUUGAGUUAGUAUCUAUUAUGUUUUAUUUAUCUACUAGUUUUCUCUUGCAAAGAUUUUUUAAGAGUUAGCUGCUUUAUAUUAACAGUAAUAAAAUUAUUGUAUGGUUUUGUUUUUCCAUGUUAAAGAUCGAUUAGUCCUCUGCUUCUCCUCAGCGUCAUCGAGCACCGCCUGAAUCAUCAACAGCGUGCUCUUCCACUUCAUCAGAUCGUCUUCGAUCUUCUCUUGGUGUGCAAACCACCGAAUCCCCUCUGAAGCUAACUUUGGCGUACAGCUCUUCGAUGAUUGGCUUUUUUUUUCUUUUUUUUUUGGUUGUGUUUUUUGGGGGGGGGGGGGGGGGGGGAGAGGGGGGGAAGGAAAGAAAGGAACGGAAUUCUGAGUUUUGGAAUUAUUUUGAAACAUUUUGAACCAUUUUAUGGAAUUAAGUAACAGUGAAAUAAAUAGAAAAGUUGUAAUUCUUUGAUUGUAUUUUUUUUUGGGUAAAUUGGUCCCAAUAAUAGUUUAAUUGUAAAUAAUUAAAUAUAUCAGUAAUGAUUUAUAAAAAGAUCACUAGCAUCAGAUUAUUGGGCGGUAUUAAGGAGAAGUUACGCUUAGUAUUUAUAAUUUAUGUAAGAUGUAUUUGUAAGACUUAUUCAUUAGGUUAACUUGAAGUAUUAAUAUUUACUAAUUGUGGUGAUUAAUUCAUUAAAUUAACAUGUCAUAAUUUUCAAUGAAGAAUGAAGUUCAAUCAAUGUACAAAAAAAAGAUAUAUAUAUAUAUUAAAGAUUUUAAUUCCUAGUUUGAUUUAACUUUGUUUCGGUUAUUGACAUUGCUGAAGAGGCAGUAAAAGCUUGUUGAAUGUCAUCAAAUGCACAAAUUGGCAAUAUCGGUUGGCUUUUUUAUCGGCGCAUCCAUCACAAAAUGAAAGUAAAAACAACCACCAUCGAAAAUUAAUUUUAAGAAUCUUUUUUACCUGAAAUCUUUGAAAAGAAAAAUUAACCUGACAUUUAUUUAUUUAUUUAUUUGGGGGCAAAGGAAGAAAGGAGCAGAAUUAUGGGUUAUGGAAAGCAGAAUGAGAAAUUGAACGGGUGAGAAAAUGGAUAAUUAAGCAGAAUGAGUUUGUGAUUGUGAAGGGUCUGAUCCGAAGGCCAGAAAUUGUAACGGCGGGCUUAAAUGUCAACACGCCAAGACAGUUAAUAGCAGCUAAAUUGGAAAAAAAAAAAAAAAGGCAAUAGAAGUAUAGAUGGAGCAAUUUUUCGCUUAGGUCAUAGGUACAAGAUGAAACUAAAAAAAGGUGGCAGGCAAUUUUAUCACAGACGCUCAUGAUCGUUUUUUGUUUGGGUCGUCAACUCGCCAUGACCCAUGAUUGAAUUAGAGUGUCUAGAAAGAAAAUUAAUAAAUAACGGUUUAUAUAUUUGGUCGUCGAAAUAUUGUAAGUGAGAAAGAUUAUCUUGUUUUUUUUAUUAAUUAGGUUAGUAUUUAUGAUUGAGUGACUCAAAGCUGUAUUUUAGAUUGAGAAUCAAUUGUUCUCUCAUACUGAGAGGCUAUAGGAUUAAGAUUGUUGUUAGCUAUUUCAUCGAUAAGAGAACACCCAAAUUUAUUAAAAGAAGAAAUGCAUAAGGUCUCCUUUAUGAGAAAAUGUAUCUGAUCAUUCUUUUUGACUUGAAAAUCUCAUAUAUAAAAACUUAUUAAUUGUUAAGUAGAUAAGAGUACCAGCUCGGCCAUGUCAUCAUCUCCACGCCGAGGUGGACCACCUCAGCUGAGUGGUACGAGCAGAACACUGGUAAUGAGCCUUCUACAAAUGGGCCGACCAAAGACGAGUACCAGCCAGAAGAGUAUACCGACCAGAGACGAAUACCAGCCAGAAGAGUAUACCGACCAGAGACAUAUACCGAGCUAGAAGAGCGGGAACAUGAUCUCACAGAAUCACGACAGUUGCGCUUUUCCCAGAACCGUUGAGGGAGACGCGAGAUCCCACGUUUGCCCACAAUGUAGCAGUUAGAAUCCCAUGAGGGGCUGCCACUACUCGAAAAAGGGGGAUGGAGGGUAAAUGAGAACGUGGGACAGCGGUUAUAAAAGGGGAAGAAAUCGAUGAAGAAAGGGACAGAAAAAUUGAGAGAGGGGAAAACUCUGCCAAAUUGUAUCCAGACCCUUUUUAGUACCAAUAGUGAGUCAAUUCUAAGCAAUUAUUUGAACCUUAAUUGCACCGUUUUCCCACAAAUACCUUGUGCUAACUUAGGCAUCGGAGGGUUUACGCCGGCAAAACCACCGGCGUCUCUGACCCAUUUUUGUGAACGCAGGCUUAGUGAGAAAAAGAAGGAGAAGUCUAACUCCAGCAACUAGAGUGAUCGUUGAAGCAAGGAGAAAUUGACAUCCUCAUUGCUGAUAUUACAAACGUUGGUGUAAAGAUCUGGUCGGGCAUAGGACGAGUAGAUUUCGGCGUCAACAUUUUGGCGCCGUCUGUGGGGAUCUGAAUAAAAAGCUACCACCAAAUUAGUAGUUACCAGUGAAGCAGCGAACGGUUGGAUAUGGAUGUGUCAAGGAAGGAUGCUUUAAGGGAGGACAAUGAAACUGUGGAGACAAUCACUCUCCGGGAAAUUGCAAAUAAAGCCCGAGAGAGGAUGAUGCAAGAUCGACUGGAGCGGAUGGAGAAACAAAUGGAGACUCUCGCGGCCAUACUGUGUGAGCUGAGGGAUGAGCGGAGAAGGGAUUGUGAAACCCCCGUGGGAAGAGAUGAAGUUGGAGCAGAACCCAGCCUCCGGAGGCGUAGAGUCGAGGAAAUCCCUCCGCCCCCAGACCAACCUAAUGGGGUGCAUCCCCACAGAAGUACUGGUUGGGUUCCAGGAGAACACGUGGAUGAAGGGAGGGACCAACCUCGCCCAGGCCGGAUACUGGAAAUUAAUGGCCGAGGGGCCAGUGUUGAUGAAGGAGAGCUCAGAUAGCGGUUGCAGAACGCCGAGCAGGAACGAGAUCAGAUAGCAGCACGUGAUCCUGACUGUGCUAUAGAAUUGGAGGGGGAGGUGCGCAGAUUGGCGCAGGUGAUGGAGGAGAUACAGGGCAAGAGAAAUCCUCCGAGCUGGAGGAUAAUGCUAGAUGAAGAAUCUCCGUUAUCAACCGAGAUCAUGGGUACCGUAAUCCCAAGAGACUUCCGCUUCCCCGACCUCAAAUAUUCUGGGCGAAGUGACCCGUUGGUGCACAUUGAGCGUUUCAACGACAUGACGGGUGUGCAGGGGCUGACACCAGCUCAGAGGUGCAGGGUGUUCCCAUUGACACUAGAGGGACGAGCCCGAGAAUGGUACCACAAGCUGCCCCGAGGAGGUAUAAAGGGGUACGAGCAGAUGUGCCAGGAGUUGGCCGAACAGUUCCGAGGGGCAGUGGCCCCAGAGGAUGACAUGAUGGAACUGAUGGGGAUGAAACAGGAGGAGCAUGAAUCCCUUCGAGAUUUUGUAAAAUGAUAUCACCGAACCGUUCUGGAUCUAGGAGCUUUUAAUCACCCACAGGCGUUGAGGGGAUUAAAAGAAGGUGUAAGAAUCGGCCGAUUGUGGUAUAACUUAAGAAGCCCCCUAGUACAGAAUUACUCAGCGGGGUAUGAGCAGGCGAGGCGAGAUAUAGAAAUCGAAGAGGAGAAAUCGGCAAGAAUAAAAAGUGAACAGUUGGAAGAGCUGAGGCGAAAGGAACGGAGAGCCCCGAAAGGGAGCGGGUCGGGAAAUCGAGCGGGGGAAUCUUCAGUAAUGGGCGGAAUAUCAGCUCGGUCCCGCCCUUACCCCAUAGCUCCGAGAUCACAACAGUUCCAACACAGCCGGGCUCAACCUCCGCGCCCCCCGUUCCCAGAGCGGCAGCGAGAAUUCAGGCAGAUGGCUGCCCACCCUUAUCACAACAGUCCCAGAGCGUUCAAUGCAACUAAUUCUAGGUCUGGACGACAAGAGCAGCUAACGACUAUAUCAGCCCGAGGUGACAUCCAUGAUAGCCGAGCAGUUCAAUUGGUUGACCAGAGUGUGGCAUAUAGACAAUACACUCCAUUAAAAAUCUCCAUGGAGGAACUAUAUGAGAGGAUCGAGGGACGAGGCCUGCUGUACCCUCCAGCCCCUAUAACAAAACCUGCUCACCGACGGGAUAAGAGUAGAUUCUGUAAAUUCCACGACACUCACGGUCACACUAUCAGCCAAUGUCGUGACUUAAAGAUUCAGGUGGAGGAUUUAGUGAGAAACUGAUAUUUGGAUGAAUAUGUAUAUGGGGUGUUCCCCGUCGUUGAAUCACAGUAUACGCGGGAUGAAGGAGCCGAGAGGGGCCUGGAACGUGAACAGCCGACUAUCCGUGUGAUAGCAGGAGGGCCAACAUUGGCUGGGGAUUCGAACAGGGCACGGAAGAACUAUGGGAGAUACGCCAUGACCAGCAAAGAAGUGCUUUUUAACUUACCGGCAGCCAAGAAGGCAAAAGUGCGGCAAGUUCCCAUUAUGUGGACAGAUGACGAUGAAGAGGGUAUUUUAUAUCCUCAUGAGGAUGCACUGGUGAUUAAGGCAACGGUGGCUGGUACAGAAUUGCGACGAAUAUUGGUAGACACGGGCAGCUCGGUUGACAUCCUGUUUAAGUCGGCCCUGGAUGAUAUGGGAAUUGCAGACUUGAAAUUGAAACGGACAAAUACAUCCUUAAAAGGAUUUGGAGGGGGACGGUUAACUCCCAUGGGGAUCAUCGAACUCCCGAUUACUGUGGGGACAAAGCCGUUCGAAAGAACGAUGAUGCUGGACUUUGUCGUGGUAGAGGAAAGAAGCCCUUACCAGAUGAUACUGGGGAGACCGUUCAUGAGGAUAAGCCAAUACGUUAUAUCCACGCAUUACUUGGCACUAAAAUACAGAGUAAAUGGAGUGGUUGGCGUAGUAAAAUGCGACCAGAGGAUGGCAAGGAGUUGUUAUGCCACAGCAGCCAAGGAAACACUACAAGUUACUUCUCUAGAUAACCGAGGAGAUUCUAAAAAGGGUCGCCAAGAACCUGUUGAGAAGCUAGAAGAGAUUGUGGUAAGCAAAAGCAACCCGAGCAGAGUGGUUAAGAUCGGGUCAGGAUUGGUCGGGGCAGUAAAAGGCGAGCUGGUAAAAUGCCUACAGUCUCAUACAUAUAUAUUCGCCUGGUCUCACGAGGACAUGCUAGGAAUUGAUCACGGGGUAGCUUGCCACAAGUUGGCAAUCAAGAAGGGGGCGAGGCCGGUGAGGCAGAAGAGGAGAUGCUUUAACCAGGAAAGAUACGAGGCCAUAAACGCCGAGGUGGAGAAGCUGUUAAAAGCAGGAUUUAUAAGAGAGGCCAAGUACCCGGAGUGGAUUUCCAAUGUAGUACUGGUAAAGAAGGCCAACGGGAAAUGGAGAAUGUGUGUGGAUUUCACAGAUCUUAAUAAAGCAUGCCCGAAGGACAGUUUUCCCUUACCAAAGAUAGAUCAAUUGGUGGACUCAACAGCGGGUCACAGUCUGCUCAGCUUCAUGGAUGCCUUUUCGGGAUACAACCAGAUACCCAUGGAUGAGCAGGAUGAGGAAAACACCACCUUUAUAACUAACAUGGGUUUGUUUUGCUACAGGGUGAUGCCUUUUGGCCUGAAAAAUGCAAGAGCUACCUAUCAAAGGUUGGUGAACAAGGUCUUCAAGCCCUUGAUUGGUCAUACCAUGGAGGUAUAUGUGGACGAUAUGAUCACAAAGUCCAAAGAACCGAGGGAUCACGUGAAACACUUGGAAGAAACCUUUGAAUUGCUGAGGAAGUAUGAAAUGAAGCUAAACCCGGAGAAAUGUGCAUUUGGAGUCAGCUAGGGCAAAUUUUUGGGAUUCCUGGUGAGCCACCGAGGGAUCGAGGCUAACCCAAAAAAAAUACGGGCGGUAACAGAAAUGAGAUCCCCACGAACAGUUAAGGAGGUGCAGAGCCUUACAGGGAAAUUGGCAGCAUUGAACCGAUUCAUCUCGCGGGCCACGGAUAAAUGUCACCAUUUCUUCCAAACCAUAAAGAAAGGGAAGAAGAUGGAAUGGACAUCAGAAUGUGAGGAGGCGUUUGGGCAGCUGAAGGAGUAUCUGGCCCAUGCCCCGUUACUAUUAACUCCGAGAGAAGGUGACCAGCUGUUUUUGUACUUGGCAAUCUCAAAGUGGGCUACCAGCUCAGUGUUAGUCUGAGAAGAAGAAGGGAAGCAACACCCCGUGUAUUACACUAGUAAAGCCCUGGUAGACGCAGAAACUAGGUACCCAUUGAUGGAGAAAUGGGCACUGGCUCUAGUAACAGCAGCACGAAAACUGCGACCAUAUUUUCAGGCCCACCCGAUAUUUGUGAUCACUGACCAGCCUCUUUGGCAAAUGCUCCAAAAACCAGAUGCAUCAGGGCGGUUAGUGAAGUGGUCCGUGGAGCUGAGCGAAUUCGACCUAUCCUACAGGCCCCGAGGAGCAAUCAAGGCCCAAGCCCUGGCUGAUUUUAUGGUUGACCGUGUUGAACCAGGAGAAGAGGUCCAAGAGGAGCAACCAAUAGAGCAGGAGAAACCAGAGGGGGUGUGGCUGGUAAUGGUUGACGGAUCAUGUAGUGAGCAAGGAUCCGGAGCAGGAGUUGUAAUACGAAGCCCAGAAGGAACUGAAAUAACGUAUGCAAUGAAGUUUGAAUUUCAGCUCACAAACAACCAAGCUGAAUAUGAAGCCUUUAUCACCGGGCUCGGACUUGCACAAGCUUUAAGAGCAGAUAGGGUAGAAAUUCGAGCAGAUUCCCAAUUGGUAUGUAAUCAGCUCAAUGAUCAGUUCCAAGCAAUGGGAGAGAAGAUGGGUAUUUAUUUGAAGAAGGUGUAGCAGAUGGUUGAGCUUUUCCAAGAGGUGGAGGUAAAGCAGAUAUCCCGGAAUGAGAAUUACCGAGCGGAUAUGUUGGCUAGGAUGGCUGCAAUUGCAGAUCCGAAAUUACCUAAGUCGGUUCCACUUGAGGUAAGGACCUCGCCAAGUAUAGGGGAGGAGGUAGAGGUGAUGAGAGUAAGCAUUGGUGAAUCCUGGAUGGACCCGAUUCGCGCAUAUGUGCGCGAUGGAGUUUUACCAGAGGACAAAAGGCAAGCAAGAAAAUUAAAAUGCCGAGCAGCGAGGUACGCGCUACUAGAUGGAGUGCUGUACCGCCGAGGGUUCACCUUGCCCCUUUUGAGAUGUUUGGAUGACGAGGAGGCAGAUUAUGUACUAAGGGAGAUCCAUGAAGGAAUAUGCGGCAAUCACUCGGGAGCAAGAACUUUAGCCUUCAAGGCACUCCGGCAAGGAUACUUCUGGCCAACCAUGCACCAGGAUGCGAAAAGGAUGGCAAAGAACUGUAAAACCUGCCAAAGCUUCUCUGAGGUUCCUGCACAACCCCCAGAAAAGCUGACCACUAUGACAUCCCCAUGGCCUUUUGCUCAAUGGGGAAUCGACUUGAUUGGUCCGUUACCUAAGGGCCGAGGAGCGGCGACACAUGCAAUUGUGGCAAUAGACUACUUCACCAAGUGGGUAGAAGUGGGAGUCCUUAGCCAAAUCACGGAGAGAAAGACAACAGAUUUUACUUGGAAGAAUAUCAUCUGCAGAUACGGGAUCCCCUAUGCCAUCAUUACAGACAAUGGGAGGCAAUUUGACAACAGUAACUUCAGGGAAUUUUGCCGAAAUUUGGGGGUGGACCUGAAGUUCUGCACCCCCGCACACCCCCAGGCAAACGGACAAGUGGAAGCAGCCAACAAAGUGAUAAAGAAGCUCUUGAAAACUAGAUUGGGAGAGAAGAAGGGAGCUUGGGUUGACGAACUACCAGGAGUAUUAUGGGCCUACCGAACAACUCACAAAACCGCCACAAGGGAAACCCCGUUCGCUUUAGCUUUUGGUCAUGAGGCGGUAGUCCCAGCAGAAAUUGGAGUGGGAACACAUCGAACGGAAUAUUUCACUGAGGAGCAAAACGACGAGCAGAUCUGCUUAAGCCUGGACCUGCUUGAGGAGAAAAGGGAAGGGGCCUCGCAAAAAGUGGCCCAGUGUCAGCAAAGGGUCAUGCGUUAUUACAAUAAGAACGUACGCGUGAGGUAGUUCCGAGCAGGAGAUUGGGUACUUAGGAAGGUGAACCAAAACACCAGGGAUCCUAACCAUGGCGCUCUUGGCCCGAAGUGGGAAGGCCCGUACAGGGUGAUACGAGCCACUAGACCAGGAGCUUAUAAGUUAGCGUACCAAGAUGGACGAGACGUGAAGAGGUCGUGGAACGCCGAGCACUUGAAGAAGUAUUUCCAGUAAGCAAAGUGCUCUACUAAAUCCUCAUUUUGAUAAAUUAUUUUUGUUAACUGCAUGAUGGCUUGUUGCGCAUGUAUAUAUUCUGUAUUUUUGUAAUACAUUCGAAUUUCAAAUAAAGAUGAAUUCAGCAUGAAAUCCCCCUGCUAGCAAGCCCAAUAAAAAUUUCGCUAAGGCAAGUAAGUGCCUGUUUCUGCUCAGUCAACGAAAGACCAGCAGCUAAUUUUACCAGAAUUUUACUAAGGCAAGUAAGUGCCUGCUUCUGCUCGGUCAACGAAAGACCAGCAGCUAAUUUUACGAGAAUUCUAUUAAGGCAAGUAAGUGCCUGCUUCUGCUCGGUCAACGAAAGACCAGCAGCUAAUUUUAUGAGAAUUCUAUUAAGGCAAGUAAGUGCCUGCUUCUGCUCGGUCAACGAAAGACCAGCAGCUAAUUUUACGAAAAUUUUACUAAGGCAAGUAAAUGCCUGCUUCUGUUCGGUCGACGAAAGACCAGCAACUAAUUUUAUGAGAAUUCUAUUAAGGCAAGUAAGUGCCUGCUUCUGCUCGGUCAACGAAAGACCAUCAGCUAAUUUUACAAAAAUUUUACUAAGGCAAGUAAAUGCCUGCUUCUGCUCGGUCAACGAAAGACCAGCAGCUAAUUUUGCGAGAAUUCUAUUAAGGCAAGUAAGUGCCUGCGUCUGCUCGGUCAACAAAAGACCAACAACCAAUUUUACGAAAAUUGUACUAAGGCAAGUAAAUACCUACUCCUGGUCAGUCCACUAAAGAAUCAGUAGGCAAAAUCAAAUAAGUUGUCCAAUUACUUUGCAAAAACAAUCUAUGAGUAAAAACCAGACAAGAAAGCCAAUAGAGAGCGUUUAAAAAUUUAUAAAUGUUUAAAUGUUUACAAAACGAAUGAAAAUCUAGAGUCUAUACAAAAAUUGACCUAAGGAUUAGGAGGGUCAACGGCUUCAGCAAGUGAAGGAUCAACUAUCUCUGGAGGUGGAAGAUCAGCAAUUCCGGGAGGAGGAAGCACGGACCCUUGUCCUACCUCAAAAGCACGUCCCCCAGCUUCCCCCUCCUGCACCCCAUCUAAAGGAGCCUCCACCUGAUCCUGCUCACCCUGCUCCUUAUCUGCCUGGCCGAUCUCCGCCAUAUACCGCUGCACUCCAGUCCCACCUCAAAAGCACGUCCCCCAGCUUCCCCCUCCUGCACCCCAUCUAAAGGAGCCUCCACCUGAUCCUGCUCACCCUGCUCCUUAUCUGCCUGGCCGAUCUCCGCCAUAUACCGCUGCACUCCAGCCUCCAGUUUGCUCAUGUCCAGCUCGGGAUAUUCUUCCUUAAGCACAGACAUGAUGCAUUUAUAGGAGAAAGCAACCCCAGAGUCAUACUCGGCAUCCAGCCGAUCGUCCACAUCAGCGGAUUUGCCUUUCUCCUCAGCCAGCUGUUCACUCAGGGAUUUGAUCUCUCCCUCAAGGGCGGUCCUCAGAGUAUCUCUUUCACUUUGAGUAGCCUGAAGAUCGAACUUCAGGUCACCCAACUCACCCUCAAGUUUGGAGGAAGUGGACUCAGCAACCGCAACUUUCUUCUCUAGGUCCGUGAUCUGGUUGUUCAGCUCAGCCAGCUUCUCCUUCAAGCGAUCAGCAGAUUCAGCUUUCUUCUUCAACUCCUGAUUGUCAGCUUGAAGCUUCCUCUCAUGGCGCGCGAACCCAUUCUUGUAACACGAAACCAUGGUGGCCAGCCUGAAUGAGACUCUUUGAACAGAACCAGCUAGCUCGGAGAGGUUCAUACUCUCGAUGUCCUUCACCAUCUUAGGCCCCAUCGAUUUUCUGUAAUCCUUCUGAUACGGGCUCAGGUAGUCACCUUGAUCCCGAGAUGGAAGAGGAGAUGAUCGGUCCCCAGACUGGAUGCUGACCUCAGGAUUCUUGUCGGAAGUUUUCUCCCCACCACUCUUUCGAGGUGGAGGAGGGGGCAUGGUAGGAAUAGGAGCCUUAGAAGGACCAACGCUGGUCUUCUUUGGAGGAGGGGGAGGGUUGCUGGAGCUGCUUGGAGCCCGACCACGCUUUCUGCUCAUUACGCGGAGGAUCUUGCUAUCCAUUCCAGCAGCUAUGUCCACUAGACCCGAACCGACCAGGUUUGUUGGUGACAUGAGGUCUUGGCAGGUAGACGCGUUCACCAGAGCAAUUUCCACCUGAAGAAAAGGUCGGUCUUCAAGCCCCUCGAUCAAACCCCACGACUCUGAAAUAGCAAAAGAGGUUAAAGAAACCAAUAAGUGACAAGUUGGUUAAGAACAUAGGCAAAAAUGAACGACCUGGGGUGAUAAAUUGUGUUGGAAGGUAAAUAUCCCCACCAAGCGACCGAACUGCUGGACACCAGUUUCCUCCAGCAAAGAAGAAUUUGUUCUUCCAAUUUUUACAUGAAGAAGGAAACCCAGUGAUCGGUUUCCUCUUUGCAGAACUGGACAUAAAGUAGUACCAGCCCGCUUCCCUCGGGCUACUCCGCAGCUGGUACAGAUGCUUCACUUCAACAAGGGAAGGCUCCUCCAACCCGCACCUCUCCCACAACACAAACAUUGCCGAGAGAACCCUCCACCCAUUUGGGUGUAGCUGACCUGGGGCCAGGUGCAUACCGCCCAGUAUCUUGGCAAAAUAACGUUGAAGGGGCAGCCGAGCUCCUAGUCUGAAACUCUCCAAGUGAAUCGUCACAUACCCUUUCGAAGGCCGACUAGGAACAUCACCUUUUUCAGGAACUACAAGGAGAACCUCAUUGGGAAUGUUGUAGAGGUUCCUAAGCUUAAAUAGAUCAGUGGGGGUGGUGGCACAAGCUAUGAAAUCAAUAGGGUAAGAAUCCGCCUCCACCCUAUGGCCAAGAUUCAUUUUCUUAGCAGGUCCGCUCGGCUCGGAACUGCUACCCUCACCAUCACCUACUUCUCCAGGGACCCCAACCCCACCAGAACUGUGGUUCUCACCCAAGCCAGACGCUGGUCCCCCUCUAUUGCCUACAAGUUCUAAUUCAGAGGAAGGUGAAAUGGUCAGGGGACGUGGGUACUCAAGGGUAUCCCUACCAUGGGAAGGACCUAUACUACCGAAGGGACGUAAAAAAUCAGUGGGUAGGGAUAAGUUAAGGUCUGAAUCCCCUGUUUCUUCAUCACUCUCAUCGGUAAUUAACUUCCUUUUCCGAUUUGACAUGUUGAAAUCCCAAAAGAAAACAAAGCAAACUCGAGUAUACGGAUACAAAAGGGGCAAUACAGAACCCAAUCAACAACAACCAGAGAAGAAGUUAAAAGUUAUACCUGGAAUAAACUAGCACUGAGAGCGCUGCCGUGACAGAGAGAACACUCAGCAAGUGGAUACUCCGGACGCAGGAAGUGUGAGCAAAGUUCGAAGAGGGGGUUGAUUAACGGCGGAGAGACGAAUAGCAAAACGAUGAUGAUUUUAAUCUAGGGAUUUGAAACGAAAAGGGGGAAAUGGAAGCGUUUAAAUGAUGGGGAUGCCAGCUCACUCACCAUAUAUCGAGGAUGGAUAGCCCGUCCUUUCAAAUUUCAAAUUUCAAAUACGAAAAAUCAUGAAGCGCCACGUCAUUAACCGUUACAAAAGGCCUGACGAGGCAUAAGCCCAAAUAUAUACGAGAUAUACUCAUAAAGGCCCAUGCUCGGAUAAAAGAAAUUUCCUCAGAUGAGAAAGGGAGCCUCAGGUCCAUCCCAGUAAACAGAAGGCCAGAUGGGAAGUUCCCCGAGCCGGUGAGGUUCGAGUAUUAGUUUCUACUCUCAACUCGUUUCACUCGCAAGACCAGAAACUGGGGGACUGGUGUUAAGUAGAUAAGAGUACCAGCUCGACCAUGUCAUCAUCUCCACGCCGAGGUGGACCACCUCAGCCGAGUUGUACGAGCAGAACACUGGUAAUGAGCCUUCUACAAAUGGGCCGACCAAAGACGAGUACCAGCCAGAAGAGUAUACUGACCAGAGACGAAUACCAGCCAGAAGAGUAUACCGACCAGAAACAUAUACCGAGCUGGUGCCCAUCCCCCAAAGAGCGGGAACACGAUCUCACAGAAUCACGACAGUUGCGCUUUUUCCAGAACCGUUGAGGGAGACGCGAGAUCCCACGUUUGCCCACAAUGUAGCAGUUAGAAUCCCAUGAGGGGCUGCCACUACUCGAAAAAGGGGGAUGGAGGGUGAAUGAGAACGUCAGACAGCGGCUAUAAAAGGGGAAGAAAUCGAUGAAGAAAGGGACAGUAAAAUUGAGAGAGGGGAAAACUCUGCCAAAUUGUAUCCAGACCCUUUUUAGUACCAAUAGUGAGUCAAUUCUAAGCAAUUAUUUGAACCUUAAUUGCACCGUUUUCCCGUAAAUAUCUUGUGCUAACUUAGGCAUCGGAGGGUUUACGCCGGCAAAACCACCGGCGUCUCUGACCCAUUUUUGUGAACGCAGGCUUAGUGAGAAAAAGAAGGAGAAGUCUAACUCCAGCAACUAGAGCGAUCGUUGAAGCAAGGAGAAAUUGACAUCCUCAUUGCUGAUAUUACAAACGUUGGUGUAAAGAUCUGGUCGGGUAUAGGACGAGCAGAUUUCAGCUGUCUCCUCUUUUGCGGCACAAGAUUUCCUUAUUUUUCGACACGUAUCAAACCGAUCUUUUUGAGAUUCGGGGCCCACAUAUCCCUUCACAUAUUUACGAAGAUUUUUAUAUCCUUUCAUGGUGUACCCGAGGUACCCCCAAAGUCCUUAGGGUAGCCGGGGUACCUAGAGUACCCGAGGUACCCAAGGUACCCGAGACAAAUUAAUCUCUUAAAUAUCGACACGUGGCGCUUCAUCAUUAGUCUCAUAUUUCCUUCCCAAACAGGGGGUAAACUCAUGUCAUAUACUGUAGUCUUUAAUUUGGGCUUUGUUGUAUCAAUUUUUUUGGAGUUUAUCUUGUUUUACUUUUUCAUUUUUAUAGUGCAAGAUUUUCGGUGGAGAUAAAUCAGGAAUAAUAGUGAAAUCCCAAUCUUAAAAUUUGGGAGAAAUGAAAUGCGAUAUGUUUUUUCAUGAAUAAAACAAUUCAAUUUUUUGUUAGCACUUGCAUAUGUUGCAAGUUAAUUACACCGUCAACACCUGCGGGAAAUUUAUAUAUUUUCUGUCAGCACUUGCAUACGUUGCAAUUUUCAAUGACUUUCAAAUCUUCAUAUCGUGAAUUAGCAGGAUUCACGUCCGACCGACUCCCCGUGGCUAAAGCAAAGGAUUAAUUUUAGAGAAAUUAUAAAGAAAUUAAUACAAGUAAAGUGAGCCUAUUCAUUUCAUUUGAUAAUUGGCUGAGGGUGAUUUCGAUAACGUUUUCAAAGAAGAUAUAGAACAUAGAUAAAAAAGAAAAACCAAGUAAUUUCAGUCGAUGGAAGAAAUGAGCAAGAUUCGCACAUGCAUGCAUGCGUCUGACUAACAGGACAUGGCUUGGAGCAAGGAUCAAUGGAAAAGUUUGAGGUUUAUGAAAUAUUGGGAAUAGAGACAAAUAAUAAAGCAACUCCAAGUUAAGCAGAUCGAAUAAACAGAGGAAAUAACCGAUCAAUUCUUUGUGCAGUGGCCACAGCAACAGCGAAAAUAUGUCUGCAUGACUACAUUAAUUAAUCCUACUAUCACCAUGCAGCAUUACAUCAACAUUUGAUCAUCUAUCAAUUUUCAUGAUAUGAGAUUAGAAACAUUGAGUUCAUAAUUUCGUGUAAUUUCAUGUACUAGAUAUAUAUAAUGUUGUGCGCAGAAUGCGGAAUCAAGCGCACCAAAUAAUUAUAGAAAAAUAAAGGACACAAGAAUUACGUGGUUCGGUAAUUAAACCUACAUCCACGGAGGCAAGAAAGAAUAAUUGUUUAUUAAACAAUUAAUAGAGUACAAUAUUUGAGUAACGAAUCUCACUUCCCAGAAACCCAAAUAUACCCAGUACUCCCGCACUCUGCAGGAAAAAUAAAUUCCCCAGACACACUUCUCUCACUUCUCUCAAAAGCUUAGAAACUUAUAAGCUUAACAAUUUUGGGAUGAUUUCAAAUGAAUGAAAUCCUUAGCUAUUUAUAGGAGAAAUGAAUUACUAUGCAAAGAAUAAAAUAAUAAUUAUUAUUUUCCAAAUCCAUCCCCUUUGUCCAUUCUUUCUUUUCGGCUUGAAAAAUCUCUACAAUUGUUGGUGUACCAAAUCGUGCUACCAACCUUGAAAUUGGCAAGCUCUUCUUUGACUUUUCAACAAUUCUCCACCUCGGCGAAGAUUUAUUCAAAUCUGAGCCGACUACCAAUGAGCCAUCAUCCCCAAAGUGGCUGCAUCUCUAUGACUGCCUACGUACCCAAAAUUUGGGAUCAAGCCAAUCGUAGUUCAAAAUUCCCGAAGGACAUAUCUUAACACAAUCGAAGGAUUUGAAUUAAUUUCAAGCAAUGUUGAAACUUAACUCCAGAAACUACCUUCGUCAACAUAUCUGAUGGAUUAUCUUUGGUAUCGAUCUUUCUCAACAACACAACACCGCUCUCGAUAAUCUCUCUCACAUAAUGAUAUUUCACAUCUAUGUGCUUCGUCCGAGCUUGAUAUGUUUGAUUCUUCGCAAGGAAUAUCGCACUUUGAUUAUCACAGAAGACCGCAAUGUUCUCCUGGAUUACUCUCAAAUCACCUAACAAGCCUUUCAACCAGAUAGCUUCUUUUACAGCUUCAGUUGCUGCCAGAUACUCUGCUUCCGUAGUGGACAGAGCAAUUGUCAAUUGUAGAAUCGACCUCCAGCUAACCGGACCUCCACCCAAUGUGAAUACAUAGCCCGUUGUUGAUCUUCGCUUGUCAAGGUCUCCAGCGAAAUCAGAAUCACAAUACCCAACACAUUGUUGACCACAAUCCUUCUUGAACAAUAACCCAACAUCAAUUGUCCCAUACAGAUAUCGGAGAAUCCACUUUACCGCAAACCAGUGUUUUUACUCAGAUUGUGCAUGUAUCUACUAACCAUGCUCACUGCUUGAGAUAUAUCGGGCCUUGUGCAUACCAUAGCAUACAUAAGACUACCCACAUCACUAGCAUAUGGAACACGAGCUAUGUAAUCACGCUCCUCUUGAGAUUUAGGACAUGAAGAAGAGCUUAAUUUGAAAUGAGGAGCUAGAGGUGUACAUACCGGUUUAGUUUUGUCAUCCAUACCGAAUCUUUCUAGCACUUUCUUCAAAUAAGACUUUUGAGUCAACCAUACGCUCCCAUUCUUCUUGUCUCUACGAAUCUCCAUCCCAAGUAUUCUCUGUGCAUCACCCAAGUCUUUCAUCUCGAACUCAGAAGCCAACUGCUUCUUUAAUCUUUCGAUCUCAUCUCUAUUCUUCGAAGCUAUAAGCAUAUCGUUGACAUAGAGUAACAAAUAGAUGAAAGCUCCAUCUGGUAGUCUUCUAAAGUAAACACAAUGAUCGUGUUCACUUCUGGUGAAUUUCUGCCCUUGUAUAAAUUGAUCAAAUCUUUUGUACCACUGCCUUGGCGACUGCUUCAGUCCGUACAAAGAUUUAAUCAACCUACACACAUGAUUCUCCUUUCCAGCAACUUUGAAACCACAAGGCUGAAUCAUAUAGAUUUCCUCCUCCAAAUCUCCAUGUAAGAAUGCUGUCUUAACAUCCAACUGAGCCAACUCUAACUCAUAUUCUGCAACUAAGGCAAGUAGGAUACGAAUAGAAGUAUGUUUUACAACUGGAGAGAAAACUUCAUUGUAGUCAAUACCUUCCUUUUGAGAAAAACCUUUUGCCACGAGCCUUGCCUUGUAUCGAGGAGUUGAUUGAUUCGGAGAUCCUUGCUUUUUGGUGUAGACCCAUUUAUUGCCAAUAGCCCUUUUCCCCUUUGGUAACUUUACAAGUUCCCAAGUCUGGUUUUGAUGGAGAGAUUUCAUCUCUUCCUCCAUGACUAACUUCCACUGAUCACUUUCACUGCUGCGUAAUGCUUCACCGAAAGUGUUGGGGAUGUCAUCAUCAAUAACUGGAAGUGCAUAGGCUACCACCAUAUCUUUAGUAAGCCAUCCAAGUUUCUUUAUCUCUCUUCUUGGCCUCCUUGUUGCUAUAAAAUCAUCAUUAUCUACAUCAUCAAUUGUUUCUUCAUUUUGUGGGACAUCAGAAGAAACAACAUCUUCUUCAACUCUAGGUGUCACCUCCAUAGUUGAACCAUUCCUUGAUGUAGAACUAACUGGUCCAUAUGGAGUUGCAUCAAACUCCACCCGUUGCAAUACCUCUUUGGUCUUGUUCUCCACCUGCUGAGAACUUGAAAUUUUCAUCAUUGAAGCUUCAUUAAAUGUGACAUCUCUACUACACACGAACUUUUUAUCUUCGAGAUCCCAAAGCUUGAAGCCCUUUACUCCACCUUUGAAUCCCACAAAGAUAGCUUUUCUAGCACGAGGAUCCAGUUUACCAUCUUUGACAUGAUAAUAAGCUAGACACCCGAAUACACGAAGGGAAUCAUAGUCUUGUGCAUACUUUCCAGACCACAUUUCCAUAGGAGUUUUACCUCCAAUUGCAGCAGAAGGCAACCGGUUUACCAAGUGACUUGCGUAGCUCACAGCUUCAGCCCAAAACCUUUUAUCUAAACUAGCAUUAGAUAACAUACACCGUACAUUCUCCAGUAAAGUACGAUUCAUAUGCUUAGCCACACCGUUUUGUUGCGGAGUAUGUCUCACUGUGAAAUGUCUUUUAAUACCCUCGUUCUGGCAUACUUGCAAGAAUGGAUCAGAAGUAUAUUCACCCACAUUAUCAGAUCGCAAUACUUUGAUCUUUCUGCCAGUUUGAGUCUCCACCAAUUUCUUCCAUUUCACGAAAAUCUCUAGAACCUCAUCAUUUGCUCGCGUGGUGUACACCCACACACAUCUAGAGAAAUCAUAAACAAAUGUAACAAAAUAAUGGCUUCCACCAAUUGAUGCAGUCUUGGUUGGUCCCCAUACAUCACUAUGAACAUAUUCAAGGAUCUCACGAGUAUCGUGAUUAGCUGUACCAAACUUGACCCUUGUUUUCUUGCCUACUACACAAUGCUCACAGAAAUUUAAUUUACAGGUUUUGGUACCUUUUAAGAGUCCAUGCCUCAUCAGAGUUUGCAAAAACUUCUCUCCAGCAUGUCCCAGUCGUACAUGCCAUAACUUGGUGGUGUCACUGUGCGCCUUAACAAUAUUUGCUUCAUCAGUUGUACCUCCCUUCAAAUAGUACAGAUUGUGAUGCCGAACCCCUUGUAGAAUCACCAUAGCCCCAUGUGUAAACUUCAUUAUACCAUCUUCAAUGGUAACCUUGUAGCCUUUAGCUUCCAAAGCACCCACAGAAAUUAGAUUUUUCUUUAAAGCUGGAACAAAUCUAACCUCUUUGAGUUCUCUGACCAUUCCAUCAAACAUUUUGAGCCGAAUUAUUCCUAUCCCCAUUGUGCGACAAGGUUGAUCAUUCCCCAUCACAACUGCACUGGAUUCCAGAUUACGAAAAUCCAUAAACCAUUCCUUAAUAGGACAUAAAUGAUAGGUUGCUCCAGUAUCAAGUAUCCACUCGCUCGAACUAGCCACGUAUGCUGCAGGAGUAAUACUUAGUGAAUAAUCAGAGCCCUCAUCUUUCCGUGCCAUGUUUGCUGCUGCUGGUUUCUUUCCAUCUCUCUUUUGAGCCUUUGGACAAUCUUUCCUCCAAUGGCCCUUUUCAUGACAAAAGGCACACUCAUCUCGAGCUAUAUUUCUACUUCUCGAUUUGGAUCGAGAAUUCUUUCCACCAUGCUUCUUCUGUUUCUUCAUCGCCCAAUCUCUGCUCACCAAAGCUUCAGACGAUGCUCGUUCAUAAUUUUUAUCAUUAUUCUGAAUCUCUGAGCUAGUCAAUGCUGUGCAAACAUCUUUAAAGACGAUCACACUCUUCCCAUAUAUCAAAGUAGUCACAAAAUGGCUAUAUUCCUCUGGUAGUGAGUGUAACAGAAUCAUAGCCUUGACUUCAUCCUUAAUAUCUUCAUCAAGAUUCUUCAAAUCAGUAAGUAACUUUUCAAAUCUUGAAACAUAAUUGUGCAUUGACACCCCAGGCUUCAUUCGAAAACCAUAUACUUGGCUCAUUGCAUGAAGGCGAUUUUCAGGACUUUUCACCAGGUACUUCUCCUCCAAUGUACGCCACAAAGUCACUGCACACUCCUCAUCUUUCACCAAGUAUUUUACCUCAUUGGUCAAACAAGAUCUGAUCUGACCACAGGCUUUUUCAUUCAUACGAUCCCAAAUUUCUUCAUCAUACAAGUGUCUUUUAUUUUUCAGAAUAACAUCGAGAUCGAUUUGAAUAAGGGCAUCCAUAACUUCGCGCCUCCACAUGCCGAAGUUGAUUUUCCCAUCAAACUUUUCAACAUCGAUCUUCUGGCCUCCUAUAACAGGUGCUGAAUAGUGAUUUGACAAAUCUCGCCUCCCACCUGAAGUGUCUCCUGAAAUAGUCUCGGUAGAUCUCUCCCCAAUUCUGGAAGUUUCACCUUCUACCAUUUUCUCAAUGAACUAUUUCCACUUGAAAAACAGUCUCUAUGAUGUUAAUUUCGCGUGAAUAAAUGCACCAGGAAAGUUCCCAGGAAAUUGGACGGGAACUCGGUCCCAAUUAAAAACCAGAAUCCUUAGACUCUUAUCGCCUUUGUUGACAGAACUUUCCUAGACAUGCAAAAAUACACACUACUUACAAUAGACUAUCUCCCAAGUACAAAUGGCCGUCUCCACCGUAUUCGUGAACAGUACCAUAUGUGAACAGUACCGUAUACGGGAAUAGUGCCGUAUACGUGAACAGUACUGUAUACGGGAAUAGUGCCGUAUACGUGAACAGUACCGUAUCCCCCCAAGUACGAACCGUCGACUCUGAUACCACUUGUUGUGCGCGGAAUGCAGAAUCAAGCGCACCAAAUAAUUAUAGAAAAAUAAAGGACACAAGAAUUACGUGGUUCGGUAAUUAAACCUACAUCCACGGAGGCAAGAAAGAAUAAUUUUUUAUUAAACAAUUAAUAGAGUACAAUAUUUGAGUAACGAAUCUCACUUUCCAGAAACCCAAAUAUACCUAGUACUCCCGCACUCUGCAGGAAAAAUAAAUUCCCCAGACACACUUCUCUCACUUCUCUCAAAAGCUUAGAAACUUAUAAGCUUAACAAUUUUGGGAUGAUUUCAAAUGAAUGAAAUCCUUAGCUAUUUAUAGGAGAAAUGAAUUACUAUGCAAAGAAUAAAAUAAUUAAAAAUGUAAUUUUUAAUUAUUAUUAUUUUCCAAAUCCAUCCCCUUUGUCCAUUCUUUCUUUUCGGCUUGAAAAAUCUCUACAAUUGUUGGUGUACCAAAUCGUGCUACCAACCUUGAAAUUGGCAAGCUCUUCUUUGACUUUUCAACAUAUAAUUGAGUUAGUUUAACAUCUAAAGAAAGAGUAAUGGGGAAUGAUGUCGAUGUGGCAUUUGAUGAGUAAUGAUAGACAACAAAUACUGAUCAUGUAAGAAUGAAGUCUGUAUUUACUGAAAAAUAUUUGGCAAUAAAAUGAUGCUUUAAAAAUUUAAUAUUAGUUGCAAGAAAAUAAAUUGGCAAUUAAAAUUAAUAGAUAUAUAUCCAAUGCUUCGAAGUUUAUUUUAUCAGUUCGCUAACAGUUUUGUAAUUACAUUUUAAUUAUAAUGUCGAAAAGAGAUUUGAUUUUUGUACUAAAAAAAAUUAGCAAUGAAACAAGUCAAAAUCAAUCACAAGAACAACAAUAAGAGCAUAUUUUAUAAAAACCACAAAUACAUAAUAUAAAUUUAGUUUCGAAUUAGGUGAUUAUUAGUUUGCAGAGUAAGAGUGUCUUAUAGAAAAAUAGGAAUUUUUUUAAAAGAGAUUUACUUAAGGAACAACUUUAGUUUGGUUUAGUUUGUGAAGGCUCAAGUAAUUGAAAGCAAUGCAAUUGAAGGAAAUACAAGCAUGUGUCUAAUUAGCAAAUGAAUUUCACUUUAACAAAGAAUAAAAGCUAAUUUCAUUGAUGGCAUAUGUUGUGCUUUCUUUUCUUUUAUUUUAAUUUUUUUCCUUUUAGUUAUUGAGGUUACUUUGCAAACUGCUCCAAGCUAAAUACAUAAUUUACUCUUACACUAGGACCUUUGCAAUGGUCCUGCAAUUUGUAUUCUUUCGGUCAGAUUGGUUUUCUUAUUUAAAUAAAAUUUCAGGGAUGGGAAAUCUUAUCCAUUGAAUAUCAACUUUGAAUUUUAUUAAUAUUCAAACUUAGAAAGUACUGCAGGAACAAAGUGCAUUCAUAGCCGGUUACACUAUGUCUAGCUACAAUGCAAGUUUCACUUUUACUUAAUUAAAUAUACAAAAUUAAAUCACAUGAGCCUCUCGUUUCAUUAUACGUCAACUUAAAAUUAAAACGCAGAAUUGAUGGUAUUGGAGUUUCAUAUUUAUUUUUUCUGUACUCAUGGGGAAUCAGAUGGCCAUCCAUUUUUACGUCUAUUUUAUGGCCAUCCCCACUAAGUAGCUUGAUCAUAUACAAUAUGUGUGUGCGUGUGUGUAUGUGUGUACUGGGAUGUCACAGGCCCUAAAAGAUAAAGCUGAACAUCAAUCCCAAAUCUACAGUGAAAAACAGUAGCUAUAACAGAAUCUUUGUUUUGAUGUCUAGAAAAUGCAUGAUAGAACAGAGAACUCAUAUUUUAGCAAUAAUCCUAAGCUCUCUGGCCCUUAGUUCAGAGUGGCAGUUCUUAUUAGUCAAAGAAUCAAAUUUACUUUUAGUUGUAUAUAAGUAGAGCACUAGAUCAACAAAUAAUUGAAGACUUGCUUGGCUAUUGAACCAUACGAAGGCAAUUCGUGAACAGCCUUGAUAUUUCAUUUGGUUUUAUCUAAUUCUCUGUAAAGUUGUCUUGUGUGUAAAAUUUUAAAAGCAAACAUCAAAGUCACGAUCAAAGGGACGAAAUCAGUAUAAAUAUUGAUAGUCUCAAGUUAGAUUAUGCAAAGAUGAAUUAAUGCUAAUCUAAAAAAUUCGAUCAUUAUAAUUUGAUUUCCAUUAUAUUAAUUAUGUUCAAUCUUGCUAUUUUAAUGAAGAACACUCGAGGAUUUAUAUACACUCAGCUUAUGAAAUUAAUUACAAAACGAUCUUUGACCAAGUCUGAUGAAAAGAUCAUAUUAUAAGUGCAAAGUUACACUUCCCGAUCAUGCAACUAUCCAUCGAAUUGUGUAUUGUGUUAUCGUUGAGCUCUUAGGAAGGUUCAGCUUCUGAGGAGAAGAUGUAAUCGGUUUUUAUGUGACAAGCCAUGUCCUCUGCUUUUAUGGUGUUUAUCUUGGUAGUUUUUGGACAAACUGUAAUGUAAAUUUCUAUCUUAAGGGAUUCCUAAUCCUUUUAGUUAGUUUGGGAUUGUUGAUUUAUCUAUGAUGUUUGGUAUCCAAAAUUCAGGUGAUGAUAAUCUUGGCAGUACUUUUGUCAAAUUUUCUUUUAUGUGGGUGUUGUUUUAAUUGAAUAUCACAAAGGUGCAAAAUGCGGUAAAAUUAACAUUGAGCUCAUGAGAUUGCCAUUAGAUAUAUUGAAAAAGAAAUUGAUACAAGGAACUGAAAAUUAGUUGUUAAUUAUGAUGGGAAUUUAAUCUUGGUAUUUUGAUUAUAUAUAUCUAACGCAUGUGCACUAAUCUCAUUUGUGUCUAUCACUGAAAAGCAUUCUGCUAAUUUACAUCACAGAAAUCACAGAAACUCACUCAACAUUCUGCUAAUUUAUACUAAUUAAUUAAUACGACUAACAGGAAAAGUUGGAUCUCGUCUUUUCUUGGUUAUAUCCGGUGACUUUGAGUUCUCCAGCCUCCCAGGUUCCGAAUGGGGUCCUAAAAUAUCUUGCUGGAAAUGUUCUUCCUUCAGAUUCGGUGGUUAUAUGUGGCCUUGCUAAAAAUCAGGUGAUUGUUUUUCAUUAUUGCGGCUACUUGACUCAAUUAUGUUAUUGCAAGAGGAGAUUUCUAUUUUGUCUGGUUUAAGCCAUAAGAUGAGUUUCAAGAUUCAUUCUGAUUGGUUAUCUGUUAGCUUUUUGUCAUAUUCAGAAGUUGCUUUUGUCAUAUCAGAAGAAGAGGCUAAGACUGUUGAAGUACUAGAAGGGAUUACUGCGCUGAUUGGUCGAAACUACUAUGGUUGUCUUUCAUGAGCUUUUAGUAUCCAAUGUUGAUUAACUCUUCCAUUUGAACAUGAGAGUAAUCAGAUAGUUGAUAUUUAUGUUACAAAAGUUGGAAGCAACUUAAGCAAUUCAGUAUCAUGCGAGGACUUUAAUAAUAAUCCUUGUUUGAGGGAAAUACUCCGACGAGACCAGACGUGAUGAGCAGAUGUUUGGUGGUAGAAGUCUGCGAGCAGGUAUGUCCUGUAAGAGCCAGGUAGCAGGGGAACAGGGGCAGGAAUAUCCUGCUCAUCCACGAGCACGUCAUCUGCGAGGCCAAUUUCCUGUAAGAGGCAUAAAGCCAUUCCUGCUGUAUUCUCGCUGAGGGUUGAUUCGAGGAGACCCGGUCAACGACAGUUGGCGAGGCAUGCUCUCCAGCCCGAGAAUCUAGGCACGAAGGCCACGCAACCACCCACGACUACGGAAAUGGGGAAUCCACGUUCGAGAGGUGGGAGGAUAACGGGCGUAGACUGCGGAAAACUGGGAUUCAGAGGAAGCCUAUAAAAAGGUAGCCAACGAAGGUAAAAAGGUUAUCAAUUUUGAGAUUAGAAGAGAGAUAAAGAAAUUCUAAGGAAGAGAAAACUACCCAAAAGCCAUAAGAUCUGUGGCAAGCGUUCCCCGAACCUUCAUAUCUGACUUGAGCGUCGGAGGGUUUGCGCCGGGAAAACAACCGGCGUACUCUGACUUGUCUGUGUGCGCAGGAACCUCUGGAGAAGAAGCUUUACGAGGAGAGAUCCUGGUCGUGGUGAAGUUGAUCAAGCAGAGACCCUGGUCGUAGAACGAGGACAACCAGAAUCUCGCAUCAACAAUCCUCAUUCCUUUGCUUCUUGGACUUUUUUAUUAAUUCACUGGCUGUAUGCUUAUCCGACCUCUGAUUUUUCUUAAUAUUUUUCUGUAGUUCACUUCACAGCACUUUAGCCGCUACAUUGGCAUUUAAAUGCUAUUUGUUAUUGUUCAUUGAAGCAAGUUAACUUAUGGAAUUGCUUUUUGAUAAAUGUUCUUCACAGGACUGUGAAAGGCCAAAUCAACUGAGAUGACCGGGUUUUCUAGAUCAGCCAUCUCUGUCCUCAACAGUGCUGAACUGUCAAUUACUAAGACACCAAACUCUAACCUGAUUUAUAUGGAUGUAGACUAAAGCUUCUUGCCGAAACCAUCCCCAAUCAAAGCUGCUAUCUUUGAAAGUUCUGCAAGAGAAAACAUGUCUGAGUCAGACAUUGACGUCUCCCCAAGCAUCAAACAAUAUAUCAAGAGCAAUGUUGGUUUCCCAGUCGAUACAAAUGCAGAAUUCAUAUAUGCAGAUUGCUCUCAAUCUCUGUUUGAUAAGCCAGUCCUCUGCUGUAUCUUAGAAGGUGGAACAAUACAUUAUGCUUCCCAGCAGGCUCCAAUGGGAACUAUGUUUCUGCUGCCAAAUUCUUGAAAUCGAUAAUCGGGAAUAUCCCUACCCAGUUUGAAGUGGGCUUUGAUACUUGUGACUGUAAAGAAGUCGUAGGUGUACAUUUCUGGUCCAACAAUCAAUCUAAUUGGCUUACUUCACAGCAACAAAGAGAUAGAGGAUACAUUAACUGUUUGUGCAAAAUAUGGGGCAAGAGCUUAUUUAGUGUCGUGUCAAAAUAAAUAUAACAAAGUUUUAGCUGAAUAUAAAUUCGACUUAGUUGUUAAAUAUAUAUAUUUAAUAAAAUAAUAACAUGAUUAAUAUGUUACCAAACAAAUAAACACAAUUGAAAUAACCGUAACGUGAAAACAAAACAACUCAAUUGUUUUUGUGUUUUUUGUAAAUUCUUGUCAUGUAGAGUCUUUUGGGCUUUACUGCAUCAAUUAUUUGGUGUUUAUCUUGUUUUAUUCUUUUACGAUGCAAGAUUCUUGUAGUGAAACAUCUGGAAUAAGAGUGAAAUCGCAAUCUUACAAUUUCGAGCAAUGAAAAGCGAUAUGAUAUUUCAUGAAAAAAAGGAUUUAAUUUAUUAUUUCUACUAGCAAAAACUAUUAAUUCAUCAACCCAUCAAGAUUUUGGCUAAGGGUGAUUUCGACAACGUUUUCACUUAUCAAAGAUGAAAUAGAACAAAGAUAAAAAAUAAAAAUAAGUAAUUUCAGUCGAUGCCAAAAAUGAGCAAGCUUCGCAGAUGCAUGCAUGUGUCUGACUGGCAGAACAUGGCUUGGAUCAAGGGUCAAUGGAGGAAACAUAAACUUAUAAUUUUUUAUAAUGUAAGCAUCAAAAUUAUUCGAUAAGUUUGAGGUUCAUGAAGUAUUGGGAAAAAAUACAAAUAAACAGAACAGAGGAAAUAACUGAUCAAUUUAAUUCUUUGUGCAAUAGCCACAACAACAGAGAAAAUAUGCCUACAUGACUUCAUUAAUCCUACAGGCGUGGUAUUAUCACCAUGCAACAUUACAUUAACAUUUCAUCAUCAAUCAGUUUUGAUGGUAUGAUAUUAAAAACAUCGAUUGCAUAAUUUUAUGUAAUUUCACGUAAAAGAUAUGAUUGAUUUGAGUUAGUUUAACAUAUAAAGAAAGAGAAAUGGGGAAUGAUAUCACUGUGGCGUGUGAUGAGUAAUGAUAGACAACAAAUAUGGAUCAUGUAAUAAUGAAAUAUGUAUUUAGUAAAAAAUAUUUGGCAAUAAAAUGAUGCUUUAAAUUUUAAUAUUAUUUGCAAAAAAAUAAUUUGACAAUUAAAAUUAAAAGAUAUACAUGCAAUGCUUUGAGCUUAUUUUAUCACUUCACUAAGUAUUUUGUAACUACAUAUUAAAUAGAAGUUCAAUUAAUUCUGAACUCUAGAGAAUGUCGAAAAGAGAUUUAAUUUUUGUAUUCCAAAAAAUUAGAGAUGAGAUAAUUUGAAAUCAAUUACAAGAACAACAAUAAGAAUAUAUUUUGUAAAAGCCACAAAUACAUAUAAUAUAAAUUUAGUUUCGAAUAAAGUAAUUAUUAACUUAUAUUGUAAGAGAUUGUUAUAGGAAAGUAGGAAGUUUUUAAAAGGAUUUGCUUAAGGAACAACUUUAGUUUGGUUUAAUUUGGGAAGGCUCAAGUAAUUGAAAGCAAUGCAAUUGAAGGAAUUCAAACUUCGGAUUUUGACAAAGCAAUCGCUAAAAUAUUUGUCAAGUUUGAGAUUUUAAAAAGGUUGGGAAAAUAGACGAAUAAUAAAGACCCUGCAAGUUGGCAGAGCAAAUAAACAGAGGAAAACAAUUGAAAUUAAAACGCAAAAAUUGAUGGUAUUGGAGUUCCUUAUUUAGUUUUGCUGUAGGUCAUGGGAAUUAGAUGGCCAUCCACCAAGUGGCUUGGUCAUAUAUAUAUAUAUAUAUAUAUAGACACAAACACAUACGUAUCGGAAUGUCAUAGGCCUUAAAACAGUAGCUAGAACAGAAUCUUAUAUCUAUAGAAUCAAUAAAAAUAGUUGAUGGAAUCAAUACCGAAAGCUUCAUUUGAUUAAUAAUAAACUACGGACAUUUAUUUAUAACAUCUGUUAGAUUCUGGACAAUCACAGAGAUAUAGUAGCAGAAACUAUGUUAGAGACACUGUAGUUGCUUAAUUAGUGAAAUUGUGAUCUCAUUGCCCCCUUUUUUUGGUUGAUUCUAUAAUUUUAUUAGUUGUUCUUGUGGUUGUAAACAAUAUCAAUUUCUAAUAUUAAUAAAACUGAAUGAAUAUAAUACGAUGCAUUUGCAGGAAAGUUAAUAGUUUAAAUGUGGAAAAAUCUUGGAUGUUGAUGGAUAGAAGGUCUAUAGAAUAUGAGAACGCGGUAAAUGAGUUUCUCAAGUUUGCAGUACUUCAUGCUAGUCAUCCUGAGCUUUUGAGAUGUCCAUGCCAAGCAUGUCUUAGUUUAUAGGCUCAAACAAUUAAGAGUAUAGAAAAUGCAUGAUAGAACACAGAAGUCAUAUUUUAGCAACAAUCCUCAGCUCAUUGGCCCUUAGUUCAGAAUGACAAUUCUUAUUAGCCAAAGAUUCAAAAUGAUUUUUAGUUGUUUAUAAGUAGAACACUAGAUCAACAAAUAAUUGAAGACCUGCAGCUUGGCCAUUGAACUAUACGAUGAUGGCAAUUCGAAGACUACAACUUGGCUCUGCCAUUCGAAGUAAGCAACGCAGCUGCCCAAAGUCUGCCAAGCCAUCAAGACUCAAGUAUACUUCAAAGCCACAUCAAGACAAUACUAAGCUACAACAUCAAUAAUAAUAACACCAAGAAAUACACGGAGGCCAUUGCAUGCUACAGCCACCCCAAUAAGAAAUUAAUAAAGACAGUCCUAGAAAGUUACAAACCCAUGCAGUAGGAAUAACUAAUUAAUUUAUACAGUUCUGUACUCGUUCCUCUGUAUAUGCCGAUAUUAUCCUCCCUCCUUUAUGUACCUUUCAAUUUAGUGAGGUUUAGACAGGGGUUCCAGAUUUGGUAAAUCAACAAUCACCAGAUAUGAUAGAGCGGCCGGAAGAGGAAGCAUGAUUCCUAAUCCUAAUCUUGAUUUAGAGCGGAUUAGGUAACAUGUGGCAUUCUACAUUCCUGCAAUGCCAUUUCUUGUUAUGGCAGCGGCAUUCUUGGUCAUGGCAUCACAAGCAAAUGCUUUGAUUUGAAGACUUGCUUGGCUAUGAAAAAUAAGGAGAGCAAAGGUAAGUAAUCUUGGUGUGAUCAACAUUUUUAUGGGGUACUAAGAAAAAUAAAGAUAAUAUAAGGAAUGUUGUUGAGGAGUAUUUUCAUAUUUACACAAGUGUUCAAAGUAAACAUUGAUUUCUUAAAACCCAUUAGCUAGCGCACAUAAUAAUGGGGAGAAAAUUUUAGACUACGAAUGGUCCCACCCAUUUAAUAAUAUUCUUCAAUCAAUUAUGUUUGCUUCAAAAAAAAAACCCAUCGCUUUAUUACUUUCUAACUAUUCAUAUUAAUGUGUUAAUAAUUAUGAAGAACCGGUGUAAUUUAUAUGAUGUAGGAAGCACUUUAGGCAAAAUCAUUUGAAUCUAAAAAUUUCAUGAUAUUGUGCCAAAUAUCCAAAACAGAGCUUCCUACAUUUCAUUGCGCUAGCUAAUUUCUUGUACCAAAAUUAGGAAUCACUGAAGAGUAGAGUUACGUGACUGUAUAGUAUCAUAUCACAGAAACUCGAAACUCAAAACUCAAAAGUGCAAUAACAUUGAACAUUCAGCUGGCUAGCUUAUAUUAAUUAAUUAAUACUACUACUAGUUCUUUAUGAUUAAUUAAAAGAUAAAAUAUUUGACAAUCACAAAACAUUAUUCCAUCACUGAAGAGUAGAGCUUCCUACAUUGUUACCCAAGCUCUUUUAUAUCUCCCAAACAUUAUUAAAGUCCCACAUUUGUGGCACAUCAUUAAGUAAAAUGUGCCAAUUAGGAAGAGCUGGCUUCUUUGUUUUGUUUUCUUGGAUGUGCUGCAAUUUUCAAGUAUCAUUCAAAAUUUUACACCAUCAACACAGGAAAAUUAUAUAUAUUCUGUCAGCACUUGCAUAUGUUGCAAUUUUCCAUGGAUUCCAAAUCUUCAUAUCAUGAAUUAGCAGGAUUCACGUCCGACCAACUCCACGUGGCUAAAGCAAAGGAUUAACUUUUGAGAAAUUAUAAAGAAAUUAAUCCAAGUAAAGUGAGCCUCUUCAUUUGAUUUGAUAAUUGGCUAAGUGUGAUUUCGAUAACGUUUCCAAAGAUCAAAAAGAAAAAUAAGUAAUUUGAUCAGUCGAUGCAAAAAAUGAGCGAGCUUCGUAGUCUGACUAAGAGGACAUGGCUUGAGGUUUAUGAAAUAUUGGGAAAAGAGACAAAUAAUAAAGCCACUACAAGUUAAGCAGAUCAAAUAAACAGAACAGAGGAAAUAAGUGACCAAUUUAUUACUUUGUGCAAUGGCCACAGCAACAGCGAAAAUAUGUCUACAUGACUACAUUAUCCGACUGGCAUGGUACUAUCACCGUGCAGCAUUAGACUAACAUUUCCUUAUCAAUCAAUUUUGAUGGUACGACAUUAAAAACAUCGAUUUCAUAAUUUUAUGUAAUUCAUAGAAAAGAUAUAAUUGAUUUGAGUUAGUUUAACAUAUAAGGAAAGAGUAAUGGGGAACGAUGUCGAUGUGGCAUGUGAUGAGUAAAGAUAGACAACAAAUAUUGAUCAUAUAAUAAUGAAAUAUGUAUUUAUUGAAAAUAAAUUGACAAUUAAAAUUAAUAGAUAUAUAUCCAAUACAUCGAGUUUAUUUUAUCACUUCGCUAACUAUUUUGUAACUACAUGUUAAUUAGAAGUUCAAUUAAUUUUGACCAAAGACUCUAGAGAAUGUCGAAAAGAGAUUUGAUUUUUGUCUUAAAAAAAAUUAGAAAUGAAAUAAGUCAAAAUCAAUGACAAGAACAACAAUAAGAGCAUAUUUUAUAAAACCACAAAUACAUAAUAUAAAUUUAGUUUCGAAUUAGAUAAUUAUUAAUUUGUAUAGUAAGAGAGUCUUAUAGAAAAAUAGGAAUGUUUUAAAAGGAGAUUUGCUUAAGGAACAACUUUAGUUUGGUUUAAUUUGUGAAGGCUCAAGUAAUUGAAAGCAACGCAAUUGAAGAAAAUACAAGCAUUUGAUUUUGAAAAAGUAAUCACUAAAAUAUUUGACAAGUUUGAGAUGUUAAAAAACUGGAAAAAUAGACAAAUAAUGAAAACCCUACAAGUUGGCAAAGCAAAUAAACAGAGGAAAACAGAGCAAAUACUUACCGUUAAACAUAUAUUUUUUUUAUUUUUUCCGAAAAAGAAUGUUGCGAUAUUUUUUCCCAAAAAGAAGCACAGUUUGAUAUUACUACCAUAGAACUUUAACUACCAUAUAUAAGCACGUGUCUAAUUACCAAAUGAAUUCCGCUAUAACAAAUAAUAAAAGCUAAUUUCAUUGAUGGCAUAUGUUGUGCUUUCUUUUAUUUUCUUUUAUUGAAGUUACUUUGUAAACUGCUCGAAGCUAAAUACAAAAUUGACUCUUACACUAGGAUCUUUGCAAUGGUCCAGCAAUUUGUAUUUCCUUUCGGUGAGGUUGGUUUUUUUCUUUAAAUAAAAUUUCAGGGAUGAGAAAUCUUGUCCAUUGAACAUCAACUUUGAAUUUUAUUAAUAUUCAAACUUAGAAAGUACUGCAGGAACAAAGUGCAUUCAUAGCCGGUUACACUAUGUCUAGCUACAAUGCAAGUUUCACUUUUACUUAAUUAAAUAUACAAAAUUAAAUCACUUGAGCCUCUCGUUUCAUUAUACUUCAACUUAAAAUUAAAACGCAGAAUUGACGGUCAUGGGGAAUCAGAUGGCCAUCCAUUUUUUUGUCUAUUUUAUGGUCAUCCCCACUAAAAGAUAAAGCUGAACAUCAAUCCCAAAUCUAAAGUGAAAAACAGUAGCUAGAACAGAAUCUUUGUUUUGAUGUCUAGAAAAUGCAUGAUAGAACAGAGAACUCAUAUUUUAGAAAUAAUCCUAAGCUCACUGGCCCUUAGUUCAGGGUGGCAGUUCUUAUUAGCCAAAGAAUCAAAUUGACUUUUAGUUGUAUAUAAGUGGAACACUAGAUCAACAAAUAAUUGAAGACUUGCUUGGCUAUUGAACCAUACGAAGGCAAUUCGUGAACAGCCUUGAUAUUUCAUUUGGUUUUAUAUAAUUCUCUGUAAAGUUGUCUUGUGUGUAAAAUUUUUGUUACCUGAAAUCGGUAGGUGAAGAGAAUUUUUAAAAGCAAACAUCAAAGUCACGAUCAAAGGGAUGAAAUUGGUAUAAAUAUUGAUUGUCUCAAGUUAGAUUAUACAAAGAUGAAAAAAUGCUAAUCUAGAAAAUUCGAUCAUUAUAAUUUGAUUUCCAUUAUAUUAAUUAUGUUCAAUCUUGUUAUUUUAAUGAAGAACACUCGAGGAUUUAUAUACACUCCGCUUAAGAAAUUAAUUACAAAACGAUCUUUGACCAAGUCUGAUGAAAAGAUCAUAUUAUAAGUGCAAAGUUAGACUUCCCGAUCAUGCAACUAUCCAUCGAAUUGUGUAUUGUGUUAUCGUUGAGCUCUUAGGAAGAUUUAGCUGCUGGGUAGAAGAUAUAAUCUGUUUUUAUGUGACAAGCUAUGUACUCUGCUUUUAUGGUGUUUCUAGCUGUUGGACAAACUGUAAUGUGUGUUAAGGAAGCUCAUAUGCAUAGAAUGGUCAGUGAAGCAGAGGAUUGUAACACCAGCUGUUCACAGAUACAAGUGGAUGACAUGGCUUGCCAGCUGGAGCCUGGUGGCUUUGUAAUCUCUUGCACACGUGAAGAUUAUUAGAAUCUGUUAUAGUCUUUCUUGUGCUAAAUAGUUAGUUAGAUAAUUAGCUAAUUAGCUUUUAUGAUUAGUUAUAAAAUUUAGUUAGUUAAAAUCACUACUGAUGUAUAUAAAGAGAAUAAUGUACAGAUUCAUUGUAAUUGUGAUUUCGUGAUAAUAAACAAAUUCUAUUUUAUCUGUUUUCCAAUAUUAUUGAUUUUCUACUUGGUAUCAGAGCCAACAAUGGCGUCUGCAAAUCUUGCUUCUUCUUCCUCACACCAAACUCAAAAUCUGCCUACAAAUUCAACUACUGUUUCUUUUACUUUUAACACACCAGUCAAGCUCGAUCAAUCCAAUUAUCUCAUAUGGCGAUCACAAGUUCUAGCCUCAAUUCGUGGAAAUAGGCUUGAAAAGUUUAUCGAUGGUUCGAUCACUCCUCCUUUAUCUCAUAUAGCUCAAAGAGUUGAUGAUGAACUCAGAUCUGUGGAAAAUCCAGAAUUCAUAACAUGGAGAUCUCAAGACCAUGUGCUGUUUGGAUGGCUGCUCUCCUCCAUGAGUGAAGGAAUCAUAAGUCUAGUGUUCAACCUGGAAACAUCACUUGAAGUGUGGAAAGCAAUUAAGGUACAAUUUGGCUCGCAAUCUAAAUCUAGACUUUUACAUUUAAGGUAUAUGAUGAAUUCUACAAGGAAAGAUGAUAUGAAGAUUACAGACUAUUUCAUUAAGAUGAAAAACAUAGCUGACAAUAUGGCUGCACCAGGAAGUGCUUUGAGUAGUGAUGAUUUGAUUUUGCAUGUGUUAUCUGGACUAGGACCAGAUUAUAAUUCAGUAGCUACUUACAUUACUGGUCAAGUAGGAGUUCGAAAAAUGAAUGUGAAUGAGGCAUAUGCCAUGCUCUUAACUCAAGAGGCUAGGAUUGAACAACAGUCACAAAUGCUUGCUGGUGUGGAUAUGAAGAACAAUUUUGAGGCAAAUUAUGCUUAAAAUAAAGGAGCUAAGAAGAAUAACAUGUCAGGUGGAAGAGGUUUUAGUGGUUAUGGUUAUAAUUCUAGAAUUGGAAAUGGUGGUUAUUACAAAGGAAAUUUUGGUACUGACUCUGCUGGUGCUGGUACUGGUUUUAAUACUCAGUUUAGAGGCUAUCAAUCAGGCAAUCAAAGAGGAGGAGGAGGAGGUAACUGGAAUAAUAAUAAUGGAGUUGGCAACUUUAACAAUGGCAAACCACCUAUGAAUUCCAAACCUCAGUGGAAUACUUCAAAACCUACUUGCCAGAUUUGUCUCAGGCCUGGACAUACUGCAAACAUCUGCUGGAAGCUGGAAGAAUUCAUUACUUCAGGUGCUUACAGACCACCACCAAAUAGAGGACCAAAAGCUGCUUAUUUGGCUAACAUGGAUGCUCUAGCUGAUACAAAUUGGUAUCUCGACAGUGGGGCUACUCACCAUCUCACUAAUGAUCUGAACAAUAUGCAUAUGGCUGAAUCUUUUGCAGGUACUUCUAAACUUGUCAUUGGAAAUCGUGUUGGUUUAUGCAUAACACAUACAGGCUAUGCUGUUUUGAGAAUGCAAAGUUCUGUAAAUAAAUUUGAGCUUAAGCUGGACAACAUUCUUCUUGUGCCUAAAAUAACCAAAAACAUGAUUAGUAUAUCCAAACUAACUAGAGAUAAUGAUGUUGUGGUAGAAUUUACUAAUGAUUUCUGUUUUGUUAAGGACAAGGUGAGGAAUCUGAUCAUGCUGCAGGGUAAAGCUAAAAAAGGAUUGUAUAGAUUGCUAUUAGUCUCAGCAAAAAAAUCUUCUCCUUAUUUGUCAAACCAGUGCUUUCUUGCUCAUGUUCAGUCAGCUGUCUCAACUCAACCCAUUUCAAUGUUUUCUGCUGUUAAUUCUAAGUGUCAGAAUAAAACUGCUUCUCAGUCACAUACUGAAGCACAGUAUAGUCAAGACUCUGACUGUAUGUUGAGUACUAUGAUUUUACAUCAAAAAUUAGGUCAUCCUAAUGCUAAAGUAUUGAGUCAUGUAAUCAACUCUUGUCCAUCUUUCAAAACUAUCAAUGGAAAUAAAGUUUUUGAUUCUUGUGAUGCUUGUAAGUUGGGAAAAAUGCAUAAACUGCACUUUCCAGUAACUGAAACCAAAACCAGAACGGCACUUGAAAUUCUACAUACAGAUCUAUGGGGGCCUGCUCCUACACUCUCUUUACAAGGUUAUAGAUACUACAUCAGCUUUGUUGAUGAUUUCACAAGAUUCACCUGGAUUUUUCCUUUAAAAACCAAAUCUGAAGCCUUUCAAGUUUUUCAAGUUUUUAAAGCUCAAAUAGAGAAACAAUUAGAUAAAUCAAUAAAAUGCCUUCAGUCUGAUUGGGGUGGUGAGUAUAGAUCAUUUGUUCAAUUUCUUCAAAAGGAAGGAAUUCAGUUUAGACAUUUCUGUCCCUAUACACACAAUCAAAAUGGUCUUGUGGAAAGAAAACAUAGACAUAUCACUGAGUUGGGUUUAACCUUACUUGCACAAGCCAAGUUACCUAUAAAAUUUUGGUGGGAUUCAUUUCAUACAGCUACCUAUAUUAUCAAUAGACUUCCAACCCCUGUUCUUUCCUUGAAAACCCCUUAUGAACAUCUUUUUAAUCUAAAGCCAGAUUAUCCUUUUCUCAAAACUUUUGGUUGUGCUUGUUUUCUUUUUCUAAGAGAUUACAAUCAUCACAAGUUUCAUUUUCAUACUUCUAAGUGUGUUUUCUUAGGGUACAACCCUUUACACAAAGGCUACAAAUGUCUCCAUUCAUCAGGGAAAGUUUACAUAGCCAGUCAUGUUCUCUUUGAUGAAACUUCUUUUCCAUAUUCUACUGAUCCCACCUUCUUGCAUUCUAUGCCAUCAAAGUCCUCUGACUUUCUUUACAAUUCAUUCCAAUCCUUUCAUAUUUCAGUCCCUAAUAGCAAUCAACAUCCUUUUGAAGUUGCUUCUGCAGGUACAGAUUCUCAUACCUCAAGUUCUACUCACAACAUCAUCUCACUCCCUUUUACCACAUUACCAGCUGCAACCUCAAACACCACACCAGCUGGAACCUCAAACACCACACCAGCUGGAACCUCAAACACCACACCAGUUGCAACCUUAAACACCACACCAGCUGAAACCCCAAACAUCACACCAGCUAUAAUCUCAAACACUACACCUUUAUCUACAAUAAAUCAAACCUCUCCAGACAUGCCAUUAUCAACUUCCAGAUCACUUUCUUCACCUCCACAAUCCAUCAUAUCUACUCAUCCUAUGAUUACCAGAGCCAAAGCUGGCAUAUUCAAACCAAAGGCAUUUUUAACAGCUCAUAACAGUUUAGAACCAUCUAAUAUUAGUGAAGCUUUUUCUGAUUCUAAGUGGAAGGCAGCAAUGCAAGAUGAAUUUGAUGCUCUCAUUAGAAAUAAAACCUGGAGCCUAGUACCAAUGGAUCCAGAAUACAAGUUAGUAGGCUGCAAGUGGGUUUUUAGAACCAAAUAUAAUAUUGAUGGUUCAGUUUCUAAGUACAAAGCUCGUUUGGUUGCAAAGGGGUUUCAUCAGACAGCUGGAGUUGAUUAUUCAGAAACUUUCAGCCCUGUAGUAAAGUCUUCUACAGUCAGAGUUAUUCUUAGCUUGGCAGUCAUGCAAGGCUGGAAGGUUAGGCAAAUUGAUGUCAAUAACGCAUUCCUUAACGGGGAUCUCACUGAGGAUGUGUUCAUGCAACAACCAGAAGGCUUUGUUUCAGAGGGAGGAUAUGUCUGUAAACUAAACAAAGCCCUUUAUGGCUUAAAACAAGCUCCAAGAGCCUGGUAUGAUAAGCUUAAGGGAUGUCUUACAAGCUGGAAUUUCACUAAUUCUAAGGCUGAUACUUCUCUGUUUAUCAGGCAUGAUGUCAAGGAUAUAUUUCUUAUCUUAAUAUAUGUGGAUGACAUUUUGAUCACUGGACCAGAUUCAGAUCUGCUGGAAUCCUUCAUUGCUAAGCUCAGCAAGGUCUUUGCACUAAAAGACUUGGGUCUAGUGACAUAUUUCCUUAGUGUAGAAGUCUGCUAUACAGAUAAUGGGAUGCAUCUCUCUCAAACUAAGUACAUCAAGGAUCUGCUGUCUAAAGCCUCAAUGCAAAACUAUAAAGAAACUGACACUCCUUUCAGCACAGGCUACAAGUUGGAAAGAUCAGCUAAGGGUUCUUUGGGUGCAGAAUUUGAGAAUGCAACUCUAUAUAGAAGCAUUGUUGGAGGGUUGCAAUACUUAAUUCUAACCAGACCAGACAUUGCAUAUUCGAUCCAUAAGCUUAGUCAGUACCUAAGUGCUCCUACACUUCAACAUUGGUUAGCUUGCAAAAAGGUGCUCAGAUAUCUUCAAGCAACUGUCACUUAUGGUCUCUACAUUCAGAAGGAGGGAACCUUGGAGACUAUAGGAUUGACAGGAUAUUCAGAUGCUGAUUGGGCUUGUGACAUUGAUGACAGAAAAUCUAUUGGAGCUUAUUGCAUUUUUCUUGGCAAUAACUUGGUUUCCUGGUCUUCUAAAAAGCAAGCCAUUGUAGCUAAAUCUAGUACUGAGAGUGAAUACAGAGCUUUGUCAGCAGCUAGCUCAGAAAUCUCUUGGCUGCAAUCUUUAUUUUCUGAGCUUAACAUCACAAAAUUACCAACUCCUGUUCUAUGGUGUGAUAACCAAAGUGCUGGAGAUCUAGCUAGAAAUCCAGUUUUUCAUUCAAGAUCAAAACACAUAGAGCUAGAUGUUCACUAUAUUAGAGACAAAGUUCUUAACAAGGAAUUGGAAGUGAGGUAUAUUCCUACUGAAGAGCAAGUUGCAGAUGUCCUCACUAAGCCCAUGUCAUUCCCUAAGUUUAGUUACUUUAGAUCCAAGCUCAAUGUGUUUAGUAGACCCUUGAGCUUGAGAGGGGAUGUUAAGGAAGCUCAUAUGCAUAGAAUGGUCAGUGAAGCAGAGGAUUGUAACACCAGCUGUUCACAGAUACAAGUGGAUGACAUGGCUUGCCAGCUGGAGCCUGGUGGCUUUGUAAUCUCUUGCACACGUGAAGAUUAUUAGAAUCUGUUAUAGUCUUUCUUGUGCUAAAUAGUUAGUUAGAUAAUUAGCUAAUUAGCUUUUAUGAUUAGUUAUAAAAGUUAGUUAGUUAAAAUCACUACUGAUGUAUAUAAAGAGAAUAAUGUACAGAUUCAUUGUAAUUGUGAUUUCGUGAUAAUAAACAAAUUCUGUUUUCUCUGUUUUCCAAUAUUAUUGAUUUUCUACUAUGUGAAUUUCUAUCUAAUGGGUAUUUGUAGUUGGUUUCGGAUUGUUGAUUUAUAUAUGAUGUUUGGUAUCCAAGAUUCAGAUAAUCUUGGCAGUACUUUUGCCAAAUUUUCUUUUAUGUUGGUGUUGUUUUAAUUGAAUAUCACAAAGGUGCAAAAUACGGUUAAAUUAACAUUGAGCUCAUGAGAUUGCCAUUAGAUAUAUUGAAAAAGAAAUUGAUACAAGGAACUGAAAAUUAGUUGUUAAUUGUGAUGGGAAUAUAAUCUUGGUAUUUUAAUUAUAUAUAUCUAACGCAUGUGCACUAAUCUCAUUUUUGCCUAUCACUGAAAAGCAGAGUGGCUCGAUUGAAUAGUAUCAUAUUACAUCACAGCAAUCACAGAAACUCACUCAACAUUAUGCUAAUUUAUACUAAUUAAUUAAUACGACUAACAGGAAAAGUUGGAUCUCGUCUUUUCUUGGAUAUAUCCGGUGACUUUGAGCUCUCCAGCCUCCCAGGUUCCGAAUGGGGUCCGAAAAUAUCUUGCUGGAAAUAUUCUUCCUUCAGAUUCAGUGGUUAUAUGUGGCCUUGCUAAAAAUCAGGUGAUUGUUUUUCAUUAUUGCGGCUACUUGACUCAAUUAUGUUAUUGCAAGAGGAGAUCUCUAUUUUGUCUGGUUUAAGCCAUAAGAUGGGUUUCAAGAUUCAUUCUGAUUGGUUAUCUGUUAGCUUUUUGUUUUAAGAACUUCUUAUUUACGAAAGCCAAAUUCUUCUUUCUAGGUUUAUUCAUAUUCAGAAGUUGCUUUUGUCAUAUCAGAAGAAGAGGCUAAGACUGUUGAAGUACUAGAAGGGACUACUGCGCUGAUUGGUCAAAACUACUAUGGCUGCCUUUUUCAUGAGCUUCUAAUAUCCAAUGUUGAUUAACUCUUCCAUUUGAACAUGAGAGUAAUCAGAUAGUUGAUAUUUAUGGUACAAAAGUUGGAAGCGGCUUAAGCAAUUCAGUAUCAUGCGAGGACUAUAAUAAUAACCCCGAUUCUUUUGCCUCUUGGAUUUUUUUGUUAAUUCACUUGCUGUUUGCUUAUCCGACCUCUGAUUUUUUCUUAAUAUUUCUUUGUAGUUCACUUCACAGCACUUAUAGCCGCUGCAUUGGCAUUUUCUGCUAUUUGUUAUUAUUCAUUGAAGCAAGUUAGUUUACGAAAAUUUCUUUUUGAUAAAUGUUCUUCAGAGGGUUGUGAGAGGCCAAAUCAAUUGAGAUGACCGGGUUUUCUAGAUCAGCCAUCUUUGUCGUCAACAGUGCUAAACUGUCAAUUACUGAGACACCAAACUCUAACCUGAUUCAUAUGGAUGUAGACCAAAGCUUCUUGCCGAUACCAUCCCCAGUCAAAGCUGCUAUCUUUGAAAGUUUCGCAAGACAAAACAAUGUUGGUUUCCCAGUCGAUACAAAUACAGAUUUCAUAUAUGCAGAUUGCUCUCAAUCUCUGUUUAAUAAGCUAGUCAUCUGCUGUAUCCUAGAAGGUGGAACAAUACAUUAUGCUUCCCAGCAGGCUCCAAUGGGAUCUAUAUAUGUUUCUGCUGCCAAAUUUUUGAAAGCGAUCAUUGUGAAUAUCCAUGCCCAGUCUGAAGUGGGCUUUGAUACUUGUGACAAUACUCGAUCGAGGCUGUAAAGAAGCCGUGGGUGUACAUUUCUGGUCCAACAAUCAAUCUAACUGGCUUACUUUACAGCAACAAAGAGAUAGAGAAUAUAUUAACUGCUUGUGCAGAAUAUGGAGCAAGAGCUUAUUUUUAGGGUCGUGUCAAAAUAAAUAUAACAAAGUUUUAGCUGAAUAUAAAUUGUUAAUUACAGGCAGAGCAAGUUGAGUUUAAAAAAUGCGAAGCACCCAGUCCCAAAACAGAGAAGCUUGACGUUGGCCGGCAGGAUUAAUAUUAUUAUUUUUUUAACAACAAUCAAAGCCAGUUGGGAAUUUAUUAAGAGGUUAAUUAGUUGAAGUAUAAAAAAGGAAUUAGCAGGAUUCACGCCCGACCAAAUCCACAUGGCCAAAGCAAAGGAUUAAGUUUGAGAGAUUAUAAUGAAAUAUAAGUAAGCUUCGCACAUGCAUGCGUCUGACUGACAGAACAAAAGAAGGAAACAUAAACUUAUCGUUUUGAAGAUGUAAGCAUCAAAACAAUCGACAAGUUUGAGGUUCGUGAGAUAUUGGGAAAAUAUACAAAUAAUAAAGCCACUACAAGUUAAGCAGAGCAAAUAAACAGAGGAAAUAACUGAUCAAUUUAGUUCUUUGUGCAAUGGCCACAGCAACAGAGAAAAUAUGCCUACACGGCUACAUUAAUCCUACUGGCGUGGUACUAUCACCAUGCAAAUUAACAUUAACAUUUCAUCAUCAAUCAGUUCUGAUGACAGGAUAUCAAAAACAUUGAUUUCAUAAUUUUAUGUAAUUUCAUAUAAAAGAUAUAUAUAGUUUAUUUGAGUUAGUUUAACAUAUGAAGAAAGAGUAAUGGGGAAUGAUAUCGCUGUAGCGUGUGAUGAGUAAUGAUAGACACCAAAUAUGGAUCAUGUAAUUAUGAUAGAUGUAUUUACUGAAAAAUAUUUGGCAAUAAAAUGAUGCUUUAAAAUUUUAAUAUUGUUUGCUUGAAAAUAAUUUGACAAUUAAAAGUAAAAGAUGUAUAUGCAAAACUUUGACCUUAUUUUAUCACUUCACUAACCAUUUUGUAAGUACAUCUUAAAUCGAAGUUCAAUUAAUGCUGACGAAAGACUCCAGAGAAUGUCGAGAAGAGAUUUGAUUUUUGUGUACCAAAAAAUUACAGAUGAGAUAAGUUAAAAUCAAUUACAAGAACAACAAAAAGAAUAUAUUUUAUAAAAGCCACAAAUACAUAUAAUAUAUAAUCAGUUUCGAAUUAAGUAAUUAUUAACUUAUAUAGUGAGAAAGUGUUAUAGGAAAGUUGGAAUUUUUUAAAAGAGAUUUGCAAAGGAAAAAGUUUAGUUUAGUUUAGUUUGUGAAGGCUCAAGUAAUUCAAAGCAAUUAGCAAUGCAAUUGAAGGAAAUAUAAACUUCUAAUUUUUACAAAGUAAUCGCUAAAAUAUUUGACAAGUUUGAGAUUUUCAAAAAGCUGAAAAAAAUAGACAAAUAAUGGAGACCCUACAGAUUGGUAGCGCAAAUAAACGGAGGAAAAUAGGGCAAACAUUUAUUUUUUCCAAAAAGAAUAAAAGCACGUGUCUAAUUACCAAAUAACUUCCACUUUAAAAAAUAAUAAAUGCUAAUAUCAUUGUUAGCACAUGUUGUGCAUUUUUCAUUUAUUUAUUUAUUUAUUUGCUAUUACUUAUUGAAGUUACUUUGCAAACUGCUCCAAGCAAACUACAAAAUUUCUUAUCACUCUAGGAUCUUUGCAAUGGUCCUGCAAUUUGCCUUCCUUUCUAUUAGGUUAGCUGUUUAUUCAAAAGAAAAAAAAUUGGGGAAAUGGAAACCUCACCCUCUUAAUACAGAUUUUGAAUUUUAUUAUUAUUAUUCAAAAUUAGAUAACUAUGCAAAUAAUGGGCGGUUAUAACCAGUGAAACUGUGUCUAGCUACGACGCAGGUUUAAUUUUCACUUGAUUAAAUAUAUAAACAAAACUAAAUCACCUGAGCCUCUGGUUUCACUAUUUUUCAACUUGAAAUUAAAACGCAAAAAUUGAUGGUAUUGGAGUUCGUUGUUUAGUUUUGCUGUAGGUCAUGGGGAAUCAAAUAGCCAUCCAUUUUUAAGUCUAUUUUAUGUACUAUUGGUCACUAAGUAUUGGGAUGUCAUAGGCCCUAAAAGAAAAAGCUGAAAAUCAAUCCCCUAUCUAAAGUGGAAAACAGUAGCUAGAACAGAAUCUAUGGUUUGAUGUCUUAGUGUAUAGGCUUAAACAAUUAAUAGUAUAGAAAAUGCAUGAUAGAACUCAUAUUUUAGCAAUAAUCCUCACCUCACUGGCCGUUAGUUCAGAAUGACAAUUCUUAUUAGUCAAAGAAUCAAGAUGAUUUUUAGUUGUAUAUGAAUAGCGCAGUAGAUCAAGAAAUAAUUGAAGACUUGCUUUUGCUAUUGAACCACGCGAUGGCAAUUCGAAGACUACAGUUUAGCUCUGCCAUUCGAAGUAAGCAACUCAGCUGCCCAAAGACUGCCAAGCCAUCAAGACAAUACCAAGAUACAACAUCAAGAAUUACAUACGGGCCGUCACAUAUUACAUUUGUCCUCUGUUUUAAGAGAGAUUUACGAGCCCAUGCAGUAGAAGUAAUUAAUUAAUUUAUACAGUUCAGUACUCAUUCCUCCUCUGUUUCAAAUCCAAAUCCACUGCUCUGCCAUUUAUUAUGACGCAGGGUAUAUGGGUUAGCAAGUGUCGAUAUUGUCCUUCAUCCUUUGUGUACCUUUCUUCUAACAAGGGACAGCACGAGAUCUCUAAUAACAAAAGAGAGGCAGGCAGGCCGUUCGCUGGAAAGUACUUGAGCUUGGGACAAUUACAGAGUUUCAAUGAAAUGAGGUUUUGAUGAUCAACAAUUGAAGAAGACAGGCGUUCCAAAUUUGGUAAAUCAACAAUCACCAAAUAUGCUAGAGUGGCAGGAAGAGGAAGCGUGGCUCCUAAUCCUAAUCUUGAUUUAGUAUUGCGUAUGUAACAUGUGGCAUUCUACAUUCUUGCAAUGCCAUUUCUUGUUAUGGCAGCAGCGUUCUUUCACCAUGGCAUCGCAAGCAAAUAUUUGACUUGAAGACUUGCUUUGCCAAGAAAAAUAAGGAGAGCAAAGGUAAUUGAUUUUGGUGUGAUGAAUAUUUUUAUGGGUGUACUAAGAAAAAUAAAGCUAAUAGAAGUAAUGUUAUCGAGGAGUAUUUUGAUAUUUACAAAAGUGUUCAAAGAAAAAAGUGAUUUUUUGAAAUCUAUUUGCUGGUGAACAUAAUAAAAUGGCAUUCUGACUUCUGAGUAAAUUUAAAACUACAAAUAGUCUUACUCUUUUAAUAAUAUUCUUCAAUUAAUUCUGUUUCUUUCACAAUAAAAAAUCCAUCUCUUUAUUACUUUCUAACUAGUCAUACUAAUGUGUUAAUAAUGAAGAACCAGCGUAAUUUAUAUGAUAUAAGAAGCCCUUUAGCACAUUAACCCGAAUUUAGCUAAUGCAUGUGCCUAAUAUAGCGAAAUCAACAUUCGGCUCAUUAGAAUGCCAUUAUAUAUACUGAAAAAGAAAUUAAUACAAAAAAAAACUGAAUAUUAAUUGACACUGGAUCAUGUUGGAUUGUUAGUUGUUAAUUAUGAUGGGAAUACAAUUUUCAUCUUUUGAUUAUCCGCUAACUAAUGCAUGUGCACUUUCAUUUGUGUCUAUAUAUACAAAAACUUGUAUCCGAUGGUUUACAUAUGUAUGAAGAUGAUGUAAUAAAGUGCUUUUGAUAAAUUCCCCUGGUCUGUUUACUUCACUAAUUCAUUAAUGUGCAAGUCCUCUAUAGAGCUGUGUUGUGCGUACAAGUUUUGCUACAUGAAAUCGUUAGGUGAGGAGAAUUUUUAAAAGCAUACAUCAAAGUAAUGAUUAAAGGGACAAAAUCAACAUAAAUAUUGAUUAUCUUGAGUUAGAUUACACAAAGAUGAUAAUGUAGUAAAUUUAUCAUAAUACACUACUAAAAAAUGCAUUUUAAUGACACAAAUUUUAUGACAUACAUCUUUAUGUCAUGAAAAUACUUGCAUGAUGUAUAAUGCUUCUGUGAUUAUUUGAUGAUAAAUUCAUAAUUGAUGCAGAUACAAAAUGAAGUGAUGAUAGGUAAAUAUCAUGUGAUUUUUUUUAUGGGUAAGAAUAUUUGAACCCACCAAAUUACUCUUUAAACUUACUUUUUUAUUGAUAAUUUUAUUACAAAAUUACCGAUAAUUUGAAUUACUAUUACAGACAAACAAUAAUUAUAUAAAAUUAUUUUACUUUUACUCAUUGUUUAAACCUACCGCAAAACUCAAUCAAAGGACGCUUAUUUUCUUCUUCUGCACAAGUGUAGCAAAGUUUUUAAUAAGUUCCUCCUUCAUCCACAGUUGAGAACUUUCUAACUUUUGUUUCUUGUUCUAGUAAUUUGGAUAUGCUGUGUUAGAUACUGAAUUUAUUAAAUUUCUUCUUCUCUUUUGAAUAAAAUCUCUUUAAAAUUCAAUUCAUAAAAAAAAAAAUUAAUCUCCUUAUAAUUUAAUAUGUUUCGGCUGUCUUAGUGGAAUGAUGCAAUUUGUUUCAAUCAAAGUUUUGAAGCAUCCUAAAAUUUUUUUUUUUUUUUGUUUAAUUUGUUUAGAUCUAGGCUAAUUUUUAUUGAUAAUAUUUAUGAUUAAAUUAUAUGAGUAUGCUUAAAUUUUUUUUUCCUUCAAAUUUAUUUUCUGAUGUUGCAUUUGGUUAGCAAAAAGAUAAAAAUAGUAGAAAAUGUCCGAAUUAUUGUUAUGAAAAUGUUGUUUUAGUCUGAUAUUCGGAAAAUAUCCUUAUACAUAUCGGCAUGAUAUUCAUGGGAGACCAAAUUGAGAAUGAUGGCAGACUAUGCAUUGCUCACAACUAAUUUAAAACUCACUAUUUCUAUUGUUUGUGUUUUAGUAACUUUGGGGGAAUUCCAACUAUAGUUAAUAAGCUAUAAACUUGUUUAGGAUUACUAAUCAACUUGCUAGAAAGAGUUGCAAACUAAUUAGCUUUCUCUUAUAACUUUUACAGAUCAUCUGUGGAGGAGAACUGCAAGGAGUUGAAGACUCUAGACCCUAAACUUCAUAUCUUGAUUUAUAAGUGCAAUGGCCAUAAGUCCGAAUUAUGGGCUGGAGAUGGUAUAUGUAAUCUUUCUGCUCUUGGUGUUUUUUUUUUUUUUUUUUUUUCCCUCUAGUUAUUUUUUGCUCUCUACUCCAUUGUAUAUUUGUAUUCAAAAGUAUUUUUUCUUUGUUUUAAGCUUUCAAAUUUAUGGAGAUGAUCUUAUUAGGUGUUAAAAAAAUAGUUGUAGAGCUUUACUAAAACUAUGUAAACUCUUAUUGAGAUUUGGGUUUGAUUUUGUAAGAUUGCUAAAAAUUUCAUAUUUUAUACUUGUUUUAUACUUUUCUAGUCGAAUUUCUUGCUUGUGGAAGAUAAAAUAAAAGUCCAAUUCAUGUUGUAAAAUUUUUUUUUCCUCCCUUUUUUCUUCCCUUAUAAUCUGGCUCUGGUUUUGGUGCAGUUUAUGGUUUCAAUGCAGGGAACCAAUUUCAUCAGAAUCAUCUUAAAGGAUCAAAGUGGCUUCCUUUUGUAACUGGGUAAGUCAAUGCUACUUCCUGAAUUCGAUAUGGAGUUCUUUCGGAAUAGAUUUCCUUCCCUUACAUCACUUGGCUUCUAGUUGCAUCUUCUUGGCUUUCUCCAGCGGACUUUUUUAUUGGCAAAUUCGUUUGUUUCUAUUGUUUUCAAGUGCUAGUGCUGGAUUUGGAGGUAUGAAUGGUGCCUUCAUUUUUAUUUUUUUAAUUUUCUUUUGGGUGUAUAGUACUGUAAUAUACUUCUUUGUAUAGCUAGUACAAAAUAGUUCUUUAAUUUUAUUUGUCAUGAUUUAUUUCUAUUGCCUGGUGAUGACACCCAUCACGACUUAGUAGUCGUGAAUAAAUCGAAAAUCAAAUUGCACUGGUUUUUUCCGGUUGUCAACAAUUGUGAUGUUUUGAGAUUAUAACAUACUUGACAACGCCGACUAGCGUUCUCUCCUAUGUGAAUUGGGACAAAAAUUAUUUUCCCAAUCACGCUUUCGUUUGAACAAUUCCACUUCAGAUAUAUAAAAUAAUGAUGAAAUUGUGUUUUAAAAUUAGUUACGAGUAAUUGGUUCAAUAUUAAUACAAAACUAUUUUAAGUAACACGUGGCAUAUUCUAAUUCCAGUGAGCUUCUAACUCAGAUUCCCAAAUCAAAAGAAACGUUUCAAUUUUCUCCAGAACGUUCUGCAAAACGUUUCUUCGAGUCUCUACGUUGUGCUAGAAUUUUCUCUCAGUUUCUUUUGCAUAGACUUCUAAAAAAACUGUCCAGAUACCGAGAUAUAAUCCAAUCUAAGUGUACAUAUUGUAAGAAAAACGAUACACAGUGAGAUAACAAUUUAAAUAGUAGCUAAUUUAAACAACAAUGUAAACUAGCAAUGGGAAACAACAAAUGAAGAACUGAAGAGAAAGGAAACCAAAACAGAAAUAUAAACCCGAGGCCUGCGGACAGUUUCCUUAAACAGAUUUACCCCCUCUUGGAGUGCUUUAGGUCAGCUAGUAUCUGUUUCCCAGGAUACAACGGGCACGAAUUUUCGGCUAAGCACAAGCUAGAAAUUCCGGCGAACCACAACAACGAGCUCGAUCAGAGAAAACAGACGACGAAGAUGGAGGAAGGAAAAUAAGUGUGCUGGUUUUUUCAGUGUGCAAAAAACAGAAGAGGAGAUGCCUUUUUAUAGUCAUAUGAGGAUGUAACAGCUACUUUGUAUUGAAUUUCUGAAUUCAAUAUAUUUUAUUUAAUUGUUAUAACAGCCAAAUCAAUUCAAUGAAUUGAUUUCAAAAUUGAAUUAAAAAAAAGUGAAUUAUAUAACAGCUAAAAAUAAUUGUUGAAGCUGUUACAAAUCCUUUGAAUUCAAAACGUGAAACUGUUACAAUAAAAAAAAUUCAAAAGGAAAUUAAAAACGUGCCAAGCUUGCAUGGAUGAUUUUGGGCUGACAUCCGCGUACGCAGACGAGUUCAACCAAAUCGGUCAUGGAUUUGCACCCCCCUGCGCACGCGCACGUGGAGAGAGCCUCUAUCCUUAUAAUUCUUGAACAAGCAUGGUUAAGUGUUUAUAUAUAAACACUAAUCCCUAGGCUUCUUUUUCCCAUGUGGGAUAAGCCUCAUUUCUUUUCAAAUUUCCAACUUCAAAGGUGAACUUUGAGAGACAAUUUCUCAUUCACCCAAGCACCAUUUUGAGAAAAUAAGAUUAUACUUUUGAAGUAUCAACGGAGUAGAAUACGAACCUCACAAGAUUUUCCACUUUCGUUAAGUGGGACCCACUCAAAAUAUGCCCUGAAAAUAGCAUAUAUAUAUGCUAUUUUUUCAACAAUCCCCCACAUGAAUGAAAAUUGGCAGUAAAACAAAAAACCGCUAUAUUUUUUUUACAUCAAAACCAUUUUUGACCUUAAUGAUCGAGUUUAUUGGAUUGAUACCUAGCACAGGAUAGGUAGGUGUUAUCCUUUUAACCUUCCCUUGUAAUAGUAUAAUUACUUUACUGGCUGAUCAGUAGACGCGAUGUCUUUGAACCGUGCGGCCGUUAGUGUAAACGAUCAUAUACUACACAUAGGUAUUUCUCCUAACACUGUUGAGUUCUCAUGGUUAUGUUCGUUUUGGCCUUGAACAUCUACCUGGUUCUGCAAGAGUUUCUAAGAGCUAAACCCAUCAUAGCUCCCUUUGAAGCGGCCCCACUUCUCUCUCACAUAGGUGAUAUCUUAAUUAAGAGUAACCCGCAUUACUCCGCUCGAAUUUUCCGACGCAUAAGAAUCAUUAAGAGCCUAGCUCAAUCUUAUUCCCCACGAGCAUCACUGUUUCAUCAUAGGAAUGGUCAAUGAGGUAAUCUUCUCAAGAGAAUAAACCCCACAAUAAUCCAACUUUAGUCUUUAACAAAUAGGUUGUCCAAUUGAACCUAGAUCUUGGGAUCUCCAGUCUACUAGGUUGGGUUUUCCUUCGUUAUUGACUAAUCAAUCUAUGAGUUUUAAUCCCAUUCCCCUCGAUGAUUUUUCUACUAGCUCUCUAUUUAACCCUUUGGUUAGCGGAUCCGCAAUGUUAUCCUUUGACCUCACAUAGUCAAUAGAAAUAACUCCAGUAGAAAUAAGUUGUCUAAUGGUAUUAUGUCUACGACGUAUGUGUCUAGACUUACCAUUAUACAUAUUGCUUUGUGCCCUACCGAUAGCUGAUUGACUAUCACAAUGUAUACAAAUCGAAGGCACAAGCUUUGGCCACUUUGGAAUACCUUUUAAAAAAUUGCAUAGCCAUUCUGCUUCUUCACCACAUUUAUCUAAUGCAAUGAAUUCAGAUUCCAUUGUAGAUCUAGCAAUUACUGUCUGUUUAGAAGAUCUCCAUGAUACAGCUGCACCUGCUAGUGUAAAUACAUAGCCGCUAGUAGAUUUUGAAUCUUUUACAUUUGAUAUCCAGUUAGCAUCACUAAAUCCUUCUAAUACUUCUGGAUACCUAGUAUAGUGCAGUCCAUAAUUACGAGUGUAUCAAAGAUACCUAAGUACUCUUACGAUAGCUUUCCAGUGAUCAGUUCCUGGAUUACUCGUAUAUCUACUAAGUUUACUUACCGUAUAGGCUAGAUCUGGUCUGGUACAACUUGUUAAGUACAUCAGACUGUCUAUUAUUCUAGCAUAUUCUACUUGAGAAAAACCCUCUUCUCUAUUUUUCGAUAGAUGGAUACUAGUAUCUAAUGGAGUUUUAGACAUAAUAUUAUCAUUUUUAUUAAAUUUUCCAAGAAUUUUAUCUACCUAAUGAUUUUGACUUAGAAUAAGUCCAUUAGAAGCCCUUAAGAUUUUAAUUUCCAAAAUGACAUUUGCAAGACUCAUGUCUUUCAUGUCAAACUUAGACUUCAACAUAUUCUUGGUAGAUUUAAUCAUGUCAUCAUCACUUCCAACAAUGAGCAUGUCAUCAACAUAUAAACAUAAAAUGACAUAGCCAUUUUCCGUUUCUUUGACAUAAACACAUUUGUCACACUCGUUGAUUUUAAAACCACUUGUGAUCAUCGUAUGAUCAAAUUUCUCAUGCCACUGUUUCGGUGCUUGCUACAAGCCAUAUAAUGACUUUACCAAUUUACAAACUUUCUUUUCUUGUCCUGGAGCUAUAAAACCUUCAGGUUGCUCCAUAUAGAUUUCUUCAUCUAAAUCUCCAUUUAGAAAAGCCGUCUUUACAUCUAUUUGAUGUAUCUCGAGAUUGCGCAAAGCUGCAAUUGCUAUUAUCAUCCAUAUGGAAUUUAUUCUCAUAACAGGAGAAUAAGUAUCAAAGUAAUCAAGGCCUUCUCGUUGCCUAUUACCUUUAAUUACAAGCCUAUCCUUGUAUUUAUCGAUUGAUCCAUCAGCUUUCAUUUUCCUUUUGAAAAUUCACUUAUACCCCAAAGGUUUACAUUCUGGACGAAGAUCUGCUAGCUCCCAAGUAUGAUUUUGUAAAAUGGAUUCAACUUCACUGUUAAUGGCUUCUUUCCAUAAAGUGCCUUCAGCUGAAGUUACAACCUCUUUGAAGCUUUGAGGUUCACUUUCUAGCAAAUACGUCAGAAAGUCUAGACCAAAAGACUUUUCUAUCCUAGCUCUUUUGCUACGUCUAACCUCAAUUUCUUGUUCUUGAUCUUCUUCUUCUUCUUCUUCUUCUAGUGCUUCAUCAUUUUCUUCAUUUCCAAGUGUUGUUUCAUGAAAUUGUCGCAAUUCUCUCGAUAACACUCUAGAAUUGCAAGGAAACACAUGUUCGAAAAAUGAUGCAUUUCUUGAUUCUAUUAUCAUAUUUUUGUGGACAUCUGGAACUUUAGACUCAUGCAACAAAAAUCGAUAAGCACUACUGUUUUGUGCAUAACCAAUGAAAAUGCAGUCAACGGUUUUUGGUCCUAUUUUCACUUUUUUAUUUGAAGGAACCACUACUUUAGUAAGACACCCCCACACUCGUAAGAAUUUAUAUGAAGGUGAUCUAUCUUUCUAUAGCUCAUACGGGGUUUUAUCCUCUUGCUUUCGGGGUAUCUUAUUUAAUAAAUAAUUAGCUGACAAAACAGCUUCUCCCCACAUAUUCUGGGUAACCCAGAACUUAUCAACAUUGCAUUCAUCAUUUCCUUUAAAGUUCGAUUCUUUCGUUCUGCAAUCCCAUUAGAUUGAGGUGAAUAUGGAGCCGUGACUUGAUGUAUGAUUCCAUUUUGUUCACAUAGUGAAAUAAACAUAACAACAUACUCACCACCACGGUCACUCCUUAAUUCUUUGAUUUUUCUAUUAAGUUGAUUCUCAACUUCAUUUUUGUCGAGAAUAAACUUUUUCAAAGCUUUAUCUUUACUUUUCAAUAAAUAUACAUAGCAAUAUUUUGUGCAAUCAUCUAUAAAGGUAAUAAAAUAUUUAUUAUCACCUCUUGUUUGAAUGGAUUUAAAGUGACAAAUAUCACUAUGUAUUAAAUCAAGUGGUUCGGUGUUUCUGUUAAUUAUUUGGAAAGAUGACCUAGUUAGUUUUGCCUCAACACAAGUUUCACACUUAUGUUUCAAAUCAAUUUGGAAAUUGGGAAUAUGCUUCAUGUUAAUUAAUUUACGCAAAGAAUUAAAAUUAACAUGUCCUAAUCUACCAUGCCAAAGAUUAGAAGACUCAAGCAAAUAAGCAGAAGAAGUAGCUUUAUUAUUAAUUAUUGGUUUCAGAGUCAUUACAUUGAGCUUAAAUAGCCCAUCAUUAACAUAACUCUUUCCCACAUACAUUCCAUUUUUAGACAAAACUACCCUAUCUGACUCAAACACCAUUCGGAAACCAUGUUUGUUCAGCAGCGAUCCAGACACCAAGUUCUUCUGAAUUUCUGGCACAUAAAGCACAUUGUUCAGAGUCAGUUCUUUCCCAGACGUCAUCUUCAAAAUCACCUUCCCUUGACCCUCAAUCUCAGACGUAGCCGAAUUCCCCAUGAAUAGCUUCUCUCCAUUGCUAACUGCUUCAAGUGAAGUGAACAAUCCUUUGUCCGAGCAAACAUGUCUGGUUGCUCCCGUAUCAAUCCAUCAUUCUCUCGGAUUAUAGCCAACCAGAUUCACUUCUGAAACCACUGCAGAGAGGUUUAUGUCUUAAGCAUGUUGAGUGAUGUUUUCCACCACAUUCUCCUCUCGCUUCUUUUUAGGCAACCUGCAAUCUGAAGCAUUGUGACCCAUCUUAUCACAAUUAAAACAUUUUCCUUGAAACUUUGUUUACUUCUUGGAAAUUCCUCCUUUCGGACCCAAUUUUUUAUUUUUAUUUUUAGGUCCAUGUUCGACAAAAUUUGCCUUUGCCAUAGAAAUAGCUCCUUUUCUUUCUGCAUUUCUGUUAUCUUCCUCAAUUCUGAGCUUAACAACCAGCCCUUCAAUAUUCAUCUCCUUUCAUUUGUGCUUCAAAUAGCUCUUGAAAUCUUUCUAAGCAGGAGGCAAUUUUUCAAUAAUUGCGGCAACUUGAAAAGUUUCACUUAGAUGCAUCCCUUCUGCAAGGAUUUCAGAUAAUAUAAUUUGAAGCUCUUGUACUUGACUUAUUAUAGUUUUAGAAUCCACCAUUUUAUAAUCUAGGAAGCGACCAACAACAAACUUUUUGGUUCCCGCAUCCUCGGUUUUAUAUUUCCGGUCUAAGGAUACCCAUAGCUCCUUGGCUGUUUUCUUUCCUAUGUAUACAUUAUACAAGGAAUCACUAAGGCCAUUCAUUACAUAAUUUUUACAUAAAAAAUCUUAAUGAUGCCAUGCAUCAAUUGCACUUGCAACUUGAAUAUCCGUUUCACCCUCUUUAGGUUUAGGAGCAUUCUCGGUCAAGAAACUUGCAAGGUUCAACGUGGUCAAGUAAAAGAAUAUCUUUUGCUGCCAACGUUUGAAAUUCUGGCCAUUGAAUUUUUCAGGCCCUUCCGCAUGAUUGACGAGAAUUGCCACAGAGACUGGUUCCUUCACAACAAUUGGUGCAGCAACAGAAGAUGAAACUGGGACAUACGGAAUAUCAUCAACGGUUUCAGUUGCCAUCUCAAUGAUAAUUGAUUCUGUUUUAAGAUUGUAAGAAAAAUGAUACACAGUGAGAUAAUAAUUUAAAUAGUAGCUAAUUUAAACAACAAUGUAAACUAGCAAUGGGAAACAACAAAUGAAGAACAAAAGAGAAAGGAAACCGAAACAGAAACAUAAACCCGAGCCCUGCAGACAGUUUCCUUAAAACAAAUUUACCACUCUUGGAGUGCUUUAGGUCAGCUGGUAUCUGUUUCCCAGAAUACAACGGGCACGAAUUUCCGGCUAAGCACAGGCUGAAAAUUCCGGCGAACCACAACAGCGAGCUCGAUCAGAGAAAACAGACGACGAAGAUAGAGGAAGGAAAACAAGUGUGCUGGUUUUUUCAGUGUACAAAAAACAGAAGAGGAGGUGCCUUUUUAUAGUCAUAUGAGGAUGUAACAGCUGCUUUGUAUUAGAUUUCCGAAUUCAAUAUGUUUUACUUAAUUGUUAUAACAACCAAAUCAAUUCAUUGAAUUGAUUUUAAAAUUGAAUUAAAAAAACAUGAAUUAUAUAACAGCUAAAAAUAAUUGUUGAAGCUGUUACAAAUCCUUUGAAUUCAAAAUGUGAAUAUAUUACAAUAAAAAAAAUUCAAAAGGAAAUUAAAAACGUGCCAAGCUUGCGUGGAUGAUUUUGGGCUGACAUUCGCGUACGCAGACGAGUUCAACCAAAUCGGUCUUGGACUUGCACCCUCCUGCGCACGCGCACGUAGAGACAGCCUCUAUCCUUAUAAUUCUUGAACAAGCAUGGUUAAGUGUUUAUAUAUAAACACUAAUCCCUAGGCUUCUUUUUCCCAUGUGGGAUAAGCCUCAUUUCUUUUCAAAUUUCCAACUUCAAAGGUGAACUUUGAGAGACAAUUUCUCAUUCACCCAAGCACCAUUUUGAGAAAAUAAGAUUAUACUUUUGAAGUAUCAACGGAGUAGAAUCCGAACCUCACAAGAUUUUUCACUUUCAUUAAGUGGGACCCACUCAAAAUAUGCCCUCAAAAUAGCAUAUAUACAUGCUAUUUUCCACUUUUGUUAAGUGGGACCCACUCAAAAUGUGCCCUCAAAAUAGCAUAUAUACAUGCUAUUUUUUCAACACAUAUCUCUCUAUGUCACCUCCCUCCAUUUCACCAGAAAAUCAACAAACACUUAGCUUCAAAACAAACACUCUAAAAAAGCUAGCUAGUUGAUGGCAAAAUCAAGAAUUCUUGCAAUGGCAAUGUUGUUUCUUGUUAUGGCAGCAACAUUGAUGAACAUGGCAUCACAAGUAAAUGCUCUGAUGCUGUACACACGAUCACCUUUCUUUGACGUAAUGUUCCCAAUGACGGAAGAUCCUUUCAGGGUUCUUGGAAAAACCCUGUUAACAAUCCCAAAAGGAGCUGAACAUCAUCAAACUCUAGCACUGGCGAGAGCAAACUGAAAGGAGACACCAACAUCACACGUGAUCACACUCGACAUUCCAAGGAUGAAGAAAGACGAUGUGAAGAUUGAAGUUGAAGAGAACAGGGUACUGAGAGUGAGUGGGAAGAGAAGAGCGAUGAUUAUUAUAAGGAGGAAGUUGAAGGAGAAAAAUGGCACAGAGCUGAGAGACCAUUUGACAAGGUUUGGAGGCAGUUCAGGAUGCCUAUGAGUGCUGACUUGGAUCAUGUUAAGGCUCAUUUGGAAAAUGGUGUUCUAAGGAUCACAGUGCCAAAACUUGCUGAGGAGAAGAAGAGGCAGCCUAAGGUUAUUAACAUUGAUGAAGAGCCUGGUAAUUCUUCCGAUGAAGAUGUUAAGGCCGCCAAGGCUCAAAUGUAAUUGAUUAAAGAAAGAAGUGUUUGAUUUGCUUGAUGUGCUAUUUGUUUUGUGAUCUUUUCUUGGUUUUGUUGUGGGAUGUUUUUCUUUGGAUGUUCUGUUUAUUGUAUUUUGAUGGAUUUUUAAAGAUGGCUUUUAUGUAUUAACAACAAUAAAGUGUUUUUUAUAAAUCCGGGUCCUAAAUUUGUAAAAGAAAUUAAUAAUACUCUUGGUUUAUUGUUAAUAAAAAUAAAAAAGAAGAAUCUUUUUCUUUAGCAUAUAUUAUGUAUUUUAAGGAAAAAAAAAUUAUCACAUUCUAAUACAUAAAGAUAUUCCUCUUCUGUCAUAUUAAUGUGUUAAUACGAAGGUCUAUUGGAAUUAUAAUAGUUUAGAUGAAUCCAAAAUAUUCAAUAAUUGAUAAAUAGUAUAUUGACACACACAGAAAAUGUGCGUGUGUAUGUAUAUAAAUGAGGUUUCAACAGCUGAGAAAGAGAUAGCCAUUAUACAUUACACAUUUGCACUCAAUAAGAAAUCAAUUCAUUAAUAUAGCCAUUAAUACGCCUGGUUUAUUGUUAAUGAAAAUUAAAAAAGAAAAAAAGUCUUUUCUUUGGCCUUUAUUAUGCAUUUUAAGAGGAAAAAAAAUUUAUCCCACUCCAAUUCAUGAAGAUAUUCUCUUUUCUGUCAUAUUGAUGUGUUAAUAUGAAGAUCCAUUGCAGUUGGUGAAUUCAAAUAUUCAGUAACUGAUGAAAUUGUAUUUAUAAAUUCAUACUGAUAGCAAUUGAAGAUUAUAAUUAAUUUUGUAAUAUGGUCUAGCCCUCAUGUGUUUAAUUAGCACUCAAAAACCACUUUACAAUAGGGCAUUAAAAGAACAUUAUAACGUCAUUGCUGAUGAGUUCUGGCGAAGACAUUAAGUUAAGGCCACAAAAAUCGAAAUGCACGUAGCUUCGUUUGUUUUUUAUUUUUGAUUCUCUUUGGGGGCAAAUGCUUGGCUUCGUUUGCUUUUUCGUUUUUGAUAUUUUAUUGGGCUUUAUUGUGUGGCAUCUUCUUGUUUUCUUUUGAUUUUCUGUUUUGGUUGUUAUGGGAUUUGAUGACGACGUACAUGUACGAAGAUUAUAUAAUAAAAUGUUUUUGAUAAAUUAUGGUCGGUUUAGUAUUAAUUAACUAAAUUUAAUUUACUUGAUCAAUUGAUAUUUGAUAUAUAUAUAUAUUAUAUAUGAUUGAAUUUAAUCCAUGAUAAUUAGACAAAAUGACACUAAUCUAGCUAACUAAUCCAACCAUCAUAAUAAUUUGAACAAUUCCACUGUAGAUUUAUAAAAUAAUGAUCAAAUUGUGUUUUAUAUUAAGUUACGAGUAAUUGGUUAAAUAUUAAUACAAAACUAUUUUAAGUAACAUGUGGCAUAUUCUAAUUCUAGCCAAGCUUCCAACUAAGAUUCCCAAAUCAAAAGAAUUUCAAUCUUCAGAACAUUCUGCAAAACGUUUAGUCUCUACGCAGUGCUAGAAUUUUCCCUAAGUUUCUAUCGCAAAGACUUCUAAAGAACUAUUCAGAUAUCGAGCUAUAAUUCAGUCUAAAGUGUAUAUAUCUCUCUAAUUCACCUCCCUCCAUUUCACCAGAAAAUCAACAAACACUUAGCUUCAAACAAACACUCUCAAAAAGCUAGCUAGCUACCCAGAUGGCAAAACCAAGAAUUCUUGCAAUGACAAUGUUGUUUCUUGUUAUGGCAGCAACAUUGACGAACAUGGCAUCACAAGCAAACGCUCUGACGCCGUACACACAAUCACCUUUCUUUGACAUGAUGUUCCCAAUGACGGAAGAGUCUUUCAGGGUUCUUGAACAAACCCCUUUAACAAUCGCAAAAGGAGCUGAUCAUCAUCAAACUCUAGCCCUGGAGAGAGCAGACUGGAUGGAGACACCUACAAUACACGUGAUCACGCUCGACAUUCCUGUGAUGAAGAAAGAUAAUGUGAAGAUUGAAGUUGAAGAGAAUCGAGUAUUGAGAGUGAGUGGAGAGAGGAAGAGUAAUGAUUAUUAUAAGGAGGGAGUUGAAGGAGAGAAAUGACACAGAGCUGAGUGGACAUUUGGCAAGUUUUGGAGGCAGUUUAGGAUGCAUAUGAGUACUGACUUGGAUCAUAUUAAGGCUCACACGGAAAAUGGGAUUUUGAGGGUCACCGUGCCAAAGCUUGCUGAGGAGAAAAAGAGGCAGCCUGAGGUUAUUAACAUUGAUGAAGAGUCUUGUAAUUCUUCCAAUGAAGAUAUUAAGGCUACCAAGUCUCAAAUGUAAUUAAUUAAAGAAAGAAGUGAUUGCUUUGCUUGAUGUGCUAUUUGUUUAUGAUCUUUUUUUGGUUUUGUUGUGAGAUGUUUCUCUUUGAAUGCUCUAUUUAAUGUAUUUUGAUGGGUUUUUGAGGAAGGCUUGUAUGUAUUGACAACAAUAAAGUGCUUUUUAUAAAUCCUAGUCCUACAACACUAAAAGAAAUUAAUACGCUGGGUUUAUAGUUAAUAAAAAUAUUUUUUUUUUAAAAGUCUUUUUCUUUAGCAUAAUCAAAGAAUUUAUCCCACUCCUAAUUCGUCCUCUUCUGUAAUACUAAUGUGUUAACACGAAGAUUCAUUGUAAUUGCAACAAUUUUGACGAAUCCAAACGUUCAAUAACUGUUAAAUUGUAUUUAUAAAUACUAAUAGCGAAGGUACAGAAACGAUUAAUUCAAGAAGUUGCUUAAAGUGCAUUAAAUUAGGGAGUAUAAAUAAUUGUGUGAUACAGUCCAGCCUUCAUCUGCUUAUAAUUAGCAACCAAAAACCACUUUGCUAACACCAUAAAAAAAACAUUUUAACAUUAUUGCUGAGGUAACAGGCAGCUUAAGCUUAUUAACUCGUAUUAUUAAUGCUGAUGACGCAGCUGGUAAUCCUUUUGGUGAAUAUAUUAAGGCAGCUGAAGCUUAAAAUUAAUUAAGCCCACUAAAGCUUAAAAGUAAUUCUUCUAGUGACGAUGCUUUGCUUAGUUCGCUUUUUGUUUUUAAUUGUUUUGGGGCUAACGUUUUGCUUAUUUUGCUUUUUAAAUUCUAUUCACUUUCUCCUUUGAUUUUCUGUUUUUGUUGUUAUCGAAUUUGAUGAUGGUUUAUAUGUACGAAGAUUAUGUAAUAAAGUGCUUUUGUAACUAUAUAUAUAUAUAUAUAUAGAUAUUUCAACAGCUGAGAAAGAGAUAGCCAUUAUACAUUACACAUUUGCACUCAAUACGAAAUCAAUUCAUUAAUAUAGCCAUUAUUAAUACGCCUGGUUUAUUGUUAAUGAAAAUUAAAAAAGAAAAAAAAAAGUCUUUUUCUUUGGCCUUUAUUAUGCAUUUUAAGAGGAAAAAAAUUUAUCCCACUCCAAUUCAUGAAGAUAUUCUCUUUUCUGUCAUAUUGAUGUGUUAAUAUGAAGAUCCAUUGCAGUUGGUGAAUUCAAAUAUUCAUUAACUGAUGAAAUUGUAUUUAUAAAUUCAUACUAAUAGCAAUUGAAGAUUAUAAUUAAUUUUGUAAUAUGGCCUAGCUCUAGUGUGUUUAAUUAGCACUCAAAAACCACUUUACAAUAAUAGGCAUUAAAAGAACAUUAUAACGUCGUUGCUGAUGAGUUCUGGUGAAGAUAUUAAGUUAAGGCCACAAAAAUCGAAAUGUACGUAGCUUCGUUUGUUUUUUGUUUUUGAUUUUUUUUGGGGCAAAUGCUUGGCUUCGUUUACUUUUUCGUUUUUGAUAUUUUAUUGGCUUUAUUGUGUGGCAUGUUCUUGUUUUCUUUUGAUUUUCUGUUUUUGUUUGUUAUGGGAUUUGAUGACGAUGUACAUGUACGAAGAUUAUGUAAUAAAAUGCUUUUGAGUUUUAUACAAACACAACAAAAGAAGAACACUAACGUACUAAUUAAUUACUAAUAAGAACAUUAGCAAUUUUUGCUGAAGUCUGAUGAAGAGAAAUAUUACACAUACGUAACGGUACCGCGGAAGGAAAAAAUAAAAGAAACUAAAGUUUAUUUCAACAGCUAAGAAUGAAAUAGGCAUAAGAAAUUAAUCCAUUAAUUAAUUAAUUAAUACAGUCCCCCGCUACUAAAUAAUGCGAGCCCCUUACUGUACUUAACAUUUUUCUUUUUAUUAAUUUAAAACAGUUUUCAACUGAGAUUUGAAUUUUAAAACUACAUACACAAACACACCUGAUUUUAUUGAAAAAAAAAUUCUAAUAAUAAAAUAUUUUACAUAUGUAACCAUACGGCGAAAAAACAAAUAUAAGAAACUGAAGUUUCAACAGCUGAGAAUGAGAUAAGCAUAAGAAAUUAAUUAAUUAAUUAAUUAAUAGAGUCCUCCUUUGCUAAUAAAAAUUUUAUUUCGAAAACCCAUUAAUCACCAACACAUAAUACACGCCCAAUUUUUUUUUAAAAAAUUACUAAUAAAAUAUUUCAGUCGUCCUCUGUUGAGUCGUCCUCUGUUGAGUCGUCCUCUGUUGGGUCGUCAUAAAAAACCCAUUUACCAGCUAUAACAGCAAGAGGUAUAUGGGUUAACAAGUCCCAAUAUUGUCCUCCAUCCUUUCUGCACUUCUUUUCUAUCAAUGGACAAUCCACGAUUCUUAAUUGCAAAAGUGAGGAAGGCAGGCCCUUCUCCGGAAAGUAUUUGAGCUUGGGACAAUGAUAGAGACCCAAGUGAGUGAGGUUUUGAAGAUCAACAAUUGAAGAAGAUAGGCGUUCCAGAUUUGGAAAAUUGUAAAUCCACAGAGAUGUUAGAGAGGCAGGAAGAGGAAGCGCGGUCCCUAAUCUUUUGUCCUCUAGUGGAAAUGACACCAUAUCGUCAUCACAAUUAAUGAUUAUAAGAGUUUGUAGAGAGGAGAAUCUGUGAAAUCCCCGGCCCCGCUCAAUCAUUGACUUCCAAAUCUCCAUAUUACCCAAAAUAUAAACUGACUGAAGGUUGGUGGGAAGGCCAUCUUCUUCAAGGCUUGGAAGCUCACCUCCUAUUCUUAAUUCUUGAAGAGAGGUCAGAUUGUGCAAUCCCUUGGGUAAGGCCUCUAGUCUCUUACAAUCAAGUAUCGUCAGCCUCGUGAGUUUCGCACAAGGCAAUCCCCCUUGGGGAAAGGACACUAGAUUUCCACAAUACGCUAUGCUAAUCUGUUGAAGCUGGCGGAGAUUUUGUAAACCACUCGGUAAAAUUUUCAGAUUUCCACAAUUAGAAAUGUCGAUUGUUUCAAGAGAUGUGUUGUUGUCCAACCUUUCUGCUAUUGACUCCAGCUUUGAACAACUCUCAACAUGAAGGGACUGAAGAGACAGAGGCAGAUUGCCAACUUCAAGGGACUCAAGCGUGGCAGGUAACUCAUUUUUUGAAAAUAUACAUGUCAGCGAUGGACAGCUGUUAAUACGCAACUGCUCAAGAAGAGAUGAGGUGUACCUUCUAUUGCUGCUGCUGCUGAUACUCUGGACGCCCUCUUCCACUGUCAAAGUCCUUAUAUUAUCGCAAUCGCUGAUUCUCAGCUGCUUGAGGCUCGGUGGUAGCUGGACUCCAGCAAUAUAUGUCAACGAAUGGCAAACCCAAAUCUCCAAGAUCUCGAGAGAUGAAUUGGUGUCGCACAUCCAUGCCUCUGGUAAUGAUUUCAGUGCAUCACAUUCCCUAAUCUCAACUGUCUUCAACUUGGAAGGCAGAGCAACCUCAGGAAAGGAAACAAGGGAACUGCACUUGUAGAUUUCUAUCUCUCUCAAGGAACUGAGGCUGAGAGAUGAUUGUGGCAGCUUCACAAGGCCUUCGCAAUAUCUCAAUCUUAGAUAUUCGAGUCUGCAUGACAACUCGCAGGGCUGCUGUUGUUGGCCUUUCUCUUCCUCCGCCACCAAGGAUUGAAGUUUGGGACACCGUCUAAUCGUCAGUCUUCUGAGAGAGCAAAUGUCUUGCAGUAAUUCGUUAUGACUCUUCCAUAUAUAUGUCUGCUCUUUCAUUUCAUUUAUCUUCAAUUCUUCCAAUUUUGGCAGUCGUGGCUUUAAUGGCCCUGCGAGAAACACUUGAUUUGAUCUAUCUCUACAAACCACUGAAUUCUGUGAGCCGAGAUGAUCAGUUGCACUUCUCCACACAACCUCUUUACAUCCACCAAUCUGUAAUUUGCAAAGAGCUGGAAGACUCGAAACUGAAACUGACAAUUCUUCACAUCCUUUAAUAACAAGCUUCUCCAAUGCAGGAAGGUGCUCUGGAAAUGUUCCUUGCAGCUUAGAACAUCUUAAAAUGUGAAGCUCUCUCAAUUUAGGAAAUCGUUCAACUCCCUGACUGGAUCCAUGAGGAAUCCAGUCUUCCCAUCUUUGCAUGUCUUCAAAAUGAAGAGUCUCCAAGCAUGGAAAAGGAAUUGGAGUAUCAUUCCCAUAGAACUCUGAACCCAACCUCUUUACACUAGUCAUUCCACAUACUGCAAGAUGCUUUAGAGAGGGAAGUUGCCCGACUGACGGCAGGGUAGGACACAUGCCACAAUAUUCAAAUUUUAAGGUCACCAACUUUGAGAAUGAGGAAUCUCCGAACCAAGUUGGAAAUGUUGCACCUCUAUAGCCGCUGAUACAAAAUUGUUCCAAAUUUUUAUUGGGUUCUAGCAUGUCAAGCACGUCCUUUUCAAUUUCUGCCUCCCUUGAAGACGAGCCAUCGGUACUGAGUGUCCAUCGAAGCAAUAAUUCUCUAAGAUUCUUCUUUCCAUCCAAUUGAGCCUCCUUUGCAUCACCAACGUCUUUUACAUUCUCCAAUUUUGAAAUGUUAAGUGUCCCAUGAAGGUGCGUCAACAACUUUAGCUCUCGUAAACCGGAACCGCUGCCUUUUCCCACAACAAAAUUACACAACGUCUGAAGACUAGUCAACCUACCAAUUCCUACUGGCAUUUCCUCCAACGACUUCGUAUUUGAAUUCUUAAGAUGAUGCAAUUUGGCGAGGUUUCCCAUGUCUGCACACAACUUCUUCAGCCGAUCACAAUCUUCCAACAAAAGACUAUGCAAAUUGUAAAGCUUGUUGACUGAUUCAGGCAGAGUUCUAAUCUCAGUUCUAGACAGGUUAAGGUACCUUAAAUACCUCAAAUCACCAAUUGAAUCCGGCAGCUCAGGGAUGUGGUAUCCACGCAAAGAGAAGACCCUCAAGCGUCGGAGUUUGAGCAACUUAGGAAGAAUGCUAGGAGCCAAGAAGCCAGGCGAACUUUUUGUCAACAUUACUGGUAAAAAAGUUCUCAAAUGCUGGAUAUCAUACAAGUCCCCAAACCUUUUACCGCCAUCAAAAUAUUCAGGAAUGUAUGAUAGAUGACGAAGAUUUUCGGAAAAACUUUGCUGCUUGUAAAUUUCUGAGGUAUACUCCAUUGUGAAGUAUAUCUCCCCCGCAGCCCAACGGGCAAGGUCAUUGAUAAGAUCGUGCAUCACAAAUCGUGAUGUAUUGUUGCUUAAUUGCUGGAAAAAAGAUCUUGAACGUAGCUCUUGAAAGAACUUUCGACCUAGAACUUCGUUAGGAUUCCCACUCUCUUUAUGAACCAAGAAACCCGAAGCACUCCAUAAUAAAAUUAUCUCCUCCUCUUCAAAUUCAUAAUCCUUCGGAAACAACGAGCAGUAUGCAAAGCAUUGUUUCAAAAUUGGAGGAAGAUAAUAAUAGCUCACUGCAAGAGCUGGUAUAAUAGGACAUCUAUCUUCUGGUAAUUCCCAUAUCUUGCUACUGAGCACAUCUUCCCAUACACCUCUGUCAUGUUCUCCACAUAAAAGUCCUCCCAGUGUUUUUGCUGCCAAGGGCAAGCCAUUGCAUUUGAUCACUAUCUUCUUGCCAAUGUCCUCCAAUGAUUUGUGUGAACUGAAAUCUCUUGUCCCCAAAGAGUGCUGAGCAAACACAGACAGACAAUCCUCAGUGGACAAGUUUUUCAAUUCAUAAGCUUGAUCCGGCCUCAUGAUUUUUGCAACCUGUUGAUUGCGAGUAGUGACAACAAUCUUACUUCCCUGUGCGCCAGCUUCAAACGGACGGCUCAUGUCAACCCAGUCAUUGUAAUUCUCAUUCCAAACGUCGUCUAAAACAAGCAAAAAUUUCUUUUGAGAUAACUUCUUCUUCAGCUCCUCUUGAAGCAAAUUUAAAUCAUUGUCAUCAAUAGUCUGCUUGGUAAUGGAUCUUAGAAUUGUUUUUGUUAGCCCCUUAACGUCGAAAUCCUCAGAGACACAAGUCCAUGCCUUGAGAUCAAAAUGAUCCUGCACUCGCUUAUCAUUGUAGACAAGCUGAGCAAGAGUGGUUUUGCCCAGGCCGCCCAUACCUAUAAUAGGAAUAACAGAGAAUCCACCAUCGUUGCUUAAAUCAUCCGUCAACAGCAGUUCAACAACAUCCUUCUUUUCUGUUUCCCUGCCAUAUACUUUGGCUUCAGUCACUAAAGAGGUUGUCUCUAGCCUUUGACUGGCUUUUUUGGACCCUCCAGCUGAACUUUCUUUCAAAUCUAGUAAGUUUUUCUGUGUCACAAUUUCUUGAAAUCUGCUGUUGAUCUCUUUGAUUUUGGACAUCAAGCCAUAAUCGAACUGAAUCGAUUGUGGAGUAAAAGUGGUGCAGCAGGUAGGAAUGAGCUUCCGAAUCUUACUUGUUCUGGUACGACUGCUACUGGGUUGAUCAUGAGCAGCAGCUGGUUCUCCAUUUCCAAGCAGCAACAUCCUCCGGAAAGCCUCAGUUUGAAACUGAUCCAACAAGUCUUCAACAUCAUAAGCCAAGUUCUGAAGCUUGCCAAGCCACUUAUUCACAGACCGAUUAGUUGUCUUCUUCUCCUCAGCAUCAUCAAGCACCGCCUUGAUCAUCUCCAACAUAUUCUCCCACUUCAUUAGAUAGUCUUGGAUCUUCUCUUGGCGUGCAAAAAACAGAACCCCCUCUGAAGCUAACUUAUUGACCAGCAAAUCAACAGACGCCGUAAGGAUUGCCUCUCCGAUGAUUGACAUUUUUUUUCUUAUUUUUGGGCAAAGGAAGAAAAGGAGCAGAAUUAUGGGUUAUGGAAAGCAGAAUCAGAAAAUUGAACAGUAAGCAUGGAGGGUCGAGCAAAGUGCAUGUAACAAGUCUUCCACUUGCUGUUUAUUCCAGGAAAGUGAAAAUAAAAGGAGAGCCCACCACCCAUUAAUAAUUUAGCAAGUCACCAAUCACCAAUGACCACCACUAGUUACUAGAAUCAAUAAAUAUAAAAUCGUAUAUAAAAAAAUAAAUAAAUAUAAAAUCGGACUUUGAUAUUUGUAGGGUCAACAACAUUAAUCCAGCGUCCGGGUAAAUGCUGAAUAAAGAAGAAAAUGGAAUGCAUCUGCUACGAACCUUCGCUUUACAAAUCUUUAAACUUAUAAACCAAGUUAAAUAAAAAUGUUUCUCUCUCUCUCUCUACUUUUGCCAUAUAAUUACUUCAUUUAUUGAAUUAAUUUCAAUGCUAAGAGGAAGACUCAAAAGUACACCAUAAUUUUUUAUAAUCACAAUGGUAAUUCCUACCAUCAUGUUGCAUUACUGUCGUGUCAAAUAUAACAAACUUUUAGCUGAACAUAAAUUCGAUUAAUUUAUUUUAUAUAUAUAUAUAUAUAUAUAUGUACACACUAAAUAAAAUAACAAGUCGAUUAAUAAGUUAUAAAUGAUAUACACGAAAUAACUCGUAUGUGAGAAAAAAAAAAAAAAAAAAAGUGGAAGCAAAAGCCAGAGGCAGCCCCCACCGACAUCAAUAAUUUAGCAAGCUUCACGCGCUUGUGCUUGUCUGCUUGACGAACUGGACAUGGGUGGACGGUGGACCAAGCAUCAUUAAACAAUUGGAAAAAAUGUAGGGAUAUUAUUAUUUGUAUACCGUAUAAAUAUUUUGUUAUAAAAAAUAUUAUAAUAUUUUAAAAAUAUAUUAAUUAUUAAUUUUAAAUUGAUAAAAAUUAUUUAUUGAUCAUUAAAUUGUUAAUUAUUGUUUGAAAAUUAAUAGAAUAAUAAUGAAUUAAUGAUUUUAUCCUUAAAAAUUAUUACUUGUAUAUCUUUAAAUUCUUUUAUUAUCAAUUGUAUAUCUUUAAAUUAUUAUUUGUAUUAUAUAAAAAGACUAAAUUACUCCUAUAAAAUUAUCCUAUUUAAACGGUAAAUAACAAUUUAAUGGACGGUAUAUAUAUUUUGUUAACUUAAAGUGGACGAUUGAUACACUUUUAAAAUAUUAUAAUAUUUUUUAUAAUAAAAUAUUUAUAAGAUAUAUGAGUGAUAAUUUUUUAAAAAAUAAAAUAUUCUUUGUGGGACCGAUUAUAAAUAGUAAAAUAAAGAAUAAAAAAUAAAAAAAAAGAUAGUCGAAACUGAAAACGAACGAAAGCCGACGAAGGGACGACAGAAAACGCGUUCACUCAUCCAAUUUUUCUUUGGUGGGACCGAUAACAAAUAAUAAAAUAUUCUUUUAUGGGACCGAUUAAAAAUAAUAAAAUAAAGAAUAAAAAAUAAAAAAAAAGAUAGUGUGCAAUUUUUCUUUUAAUAAUUUGGCAAUUCACCAAUCACCAGUCACCAGUCACCACCACUUGUUACCAGAUUCAAUGAAUGUAAAAUCGCACCCCGACAUUUGUAGGUUCAAGCAACAUUAAUCCAGUUGUCCGGGUAAAUGCUGAAUAAAGUGGAAAAUGGGAAGUAUCUACUGCGAACCUUCUCUUUACAAAUCUUCAAACUCAUACGCCAGAAGCAGCCCCCACCACCAUCAAUAAUUCAGCAAGUUUCACAUGCUUGUGCUUGUCUGCUUGACGAACCGGACAUGGGUGGACCAGGCACCAUUGAAUAAUUGGAAAAAAAUGAAAAAUAAAAAUCCGUGUCCAGCAAAAAGAAUGGAUCUUCAUGUGUUGCUUCCUAUUCAGUACAUGCAUGGAUAAUUGGAAGUAGAAAUUGAAAUUACCUUUUUAGAUAUGGCUCAUAUAUAUUACAAGUAAUCAGGAUUUAAUUAGAGUUUACAUAUUUACAUGUGUCUAGUUUUAAUUCAGAGAUAAACUAAUUAAUGCUCAGGUUUUUCUAAAUGAUUGAAAAAUAAUGAUAUUAAUUAUUGAUAUUUAUAAAAUUUCUAAGAAGCGACAACUAGUACGUUAGGGAUACGUAUUAACUUUAGAGACUAAUUUUCAGAUAUUUUCAAAUUCACUUAUUUACAAAAGCAAUACAAAAUGAUUUCCUUUUAUUUUGAAGCAUUAUAUGAACUCGAAUAACAAUGGUACAAAAAGAAAAGUGGUAAUUCUCUUAUCGUUUUUUUUUCUCUUUUUUUUCCUCUUUUUUUUUAAAAGGAGAUGGCGGGAUUUGGUUGUUUGCAAAAUUAUUGGUGUGGGGGUCUAUUUGUUUUUGUAUUUACUUUAUUAAUUAAUUAGAGAAGCAAACAUGUAAUCAUUUGUAAAGGGGUCACUAGCAUGGAUUAUGUGAGAUGAAUUCGUAGGACUUAUUAAAGUUAUUAAUUCAUUAACUUGAGAUACUAAUAUUUACUAAUUAUGGUGAUUAGUUUAUUUAACUUGUCAUAGUUUUCAAUUGAGAAUGAAGUUCAAUCAAUAUAUGAACAUUAAAAAGAUAACUUUUUUUUUUCAAUUUUUAAUUGUUAUGAUUUGAUUUCACUCUUUUCUGAUUAUUGACAUUGUAAAAGCUUACUGAAUGUCAUCAAAUGCUUGUAUCUCAUUUCACAAAUUGUCAAAUAUCGUUUGGUUUCUCUAUAAGUGGCCACCAAAGUAACAACAUCCACCAUAUAUCAAAAAUUAAUUUUAAGAAUCAUUUUUACUUGAAAUCUUUGAAAAGAAAAAUCAAAGAUUAUACAAAGUUACAUGCAGGCACAUCAUAUGUUAAUCUUAAUUUUUUUUGCUGCUGAAAAUUAAUUAAUUAGUUAAUUCCACUACUUCCAUUUUUAAUUGUAUGGUGUGUAACAAAUUGGCCGCUUCUGAAUUAUGUUGCAUAUUUGUUAACUUAAAGAAAUAGUCCACUUUUCUAUCAGUCAAACUCACUUUCCUUAGUAAUAUUCUUCAUCAUUAUGGUUAAUGGCUUAGUAAAUGUAGAAGGAGGAGUCAGCUAAAAUGAAGUACUUUCUCUUGUAUUAACCUUUAUUAAUUGUUGAAGUUAAAAAAUUUUUAUAACAGCUCCAACUCAAAAUCAGUAAGGUGUACGUAGGUUUUUAUAAAUAUUUCUAGUCUAAUUUAAUUGUGUGAUAUACAAACUAACUUCCUCACUUCUUUCACAUAAAUGAAGGCAGCUGAGUACACUUUUUUCUGAUGCAGUCUGUCCCUCUUUGGUGUGAUUAUUCGAAAUUUUGCAAGAAUAUGAUCCAUCUAUGCGCGAAUGUUUAGCCGAUGGCAUUUCAAAGGCAAGGAAUCUAUUUUAGCGGCUAUUACUGCUGCUGGUCUGCAUGUUUCAGAAGGCAGUAAAAUAUGGGAAUUGUACAGAGAAUUUGAGCUAGCUAUAUUUAGUAGGAUUGAUAAGACUAACUUGAAGGUGAGAUAUUUUAAUUUAUUUUGGGCUAAAUAACGAGUUUAUUCCCAUCUAUAGAAAGAAAAAGAGAAGUUUUUUUUUUUUGUGGUUGUGGGGGGGGGGGGGGGGGGGGGGGGGGGAGGGUUCCAACCCUACCACAUGACAAGCAUUCCAAGACCCUUGCUGGAUUCGAAGUAUAUUUCAUCGCCAGUUGUCUGUUCCCCUUGCUAACUCAAGUGCAACUCUUCUUACCUACAAGUCUUGGGAGGUCGAACAGGGGGCUGUUCUUGAUGUUGAAUCUAGUAAUCUAGACGGAGAUUCUUCUAAUGUUGCCUUAGCAUACCAAAAGGCAUUGGAGAUGUGUAAUGCACGAGCUCAUCUUGAAGAGCAGAUUUCCAGGCAGGAUUUAUCUGACUCAGAGAAAUUUCAGCAAUUCAUGGUAGAUGAAUUUACUAUCAUCAUUUGAUAGCUUUUUAUAAUAAGUAAAAUCCAGCUGUAAAAAUUUUAUUAAUUUCAACCUUUUUUUUUUUGGUGGAUUUCUUCUUAUGGCAUUAGUAUUUUGGUUUUAUGUAGCUUACAAAUAAUAUCUGCACUUUAAAUAUCAUCUGUUGUUUCUUAGCAAAUAAUAGUAAUAAAUAAUUAAUAUCUGCUCUUUUAACUCUUGGCCCCGGGGGGGGGGGGGGGGGGGGGGGGAUGCAGUGUCAUUAUUUUCCUUCUUCUCCUUUUCCUAUUUUGUGCUAACAUUUUACAGAAUCAAGUAACAGUUAUAUAACGAGAAAAGUGCAAAGUUGUGUAAUUCUAAUGUUUUUUUUAUCACAGACACUCAGAUCAUUUUUUAUUUGGGUCGCCAACUCGCCAAUAAACCCAUGAUUGAAUGAGUGUUUAGAAAGAAAAUCAAUAAAAAACAGUUAAUUUUUGGUCGUCGAAACAUAGUAAGUGAGAAAGAUUUUUUUUUUUUUUUUUGUUAAUUAGGUUAGUAUUUAUGAUUGAGUGACUCAGAACUAUAUUUUAGAUUGAGAAUCAAUGGUUCUUCCACACUGAGAGGCUGUAAGUUUAAGAUUUUCGUUUGCUAUUUUAUCGACAAGAGAGCACUCGAUUUUAUUAAAAGGAGAAAGUCAUAAGAUUUCCUUUAUGAGAAAAUGUAUCUGAUCGUUCCUUUUUACUUGAAAAAUUAAUAUACAAAAACUUACUAAUAAAUGACAUAAUAUACAUAAAUUAUUAAUUCGUUUGAUAGUUGAUUAUCGAAUGACAUUUGACCCAUGGGAGCAUGCAGUCUAUAAAAUAAUUCUUCUUUUUUUUUUAAACAAAAAAUCGGUGAUGUUGAAAAGCAUUUCUGUAUAUUAUUAUUACUCUAAUUGGAGUGAAUAUUUCAUAAAAAGAAUGCCGUAUGAAACUAAAUUAUUAAUUCAUUUGAUAGUUGGUUAUCGAAUGACAUGUGACCCACAAUAAAUAGUUAAAUUUGGCGGCAACAAUAAUUACAAGACGAACUUAAAGCAGCACAUAGGUUUUUCUUAAAAAUACAUAAACAAUUCGAUAUUUGAAAUUCUAAUAUCUCAAUAAUAUUGAUCAUGAUUCAGUUACCAAUUAGAUCCACUUACAAUUUCUUUUUUUCUUUUUUCUGAUUUCCAAUCUUUACCAAAAGAAAAUAUUCAGUGAUCCCUUUUUGAACUAUAAAUCUUGGAUGUUGGUGGAUAAAAUGUCUAUAGAAUAUGAGAACUUCAUGCUAGUCGUGCUAGUCAUCCUGAGCUUUUGAGAUGUCCAUGGCAAGCACGUCUUAGUUUAUAGGCUCAAACAAUUAAGAGUAUAGAAAAUGCAUGAUAGAACACAGAACUCAUAUUUUAGCAACAAUCCUCAGCUCAUUGGCCCUUAGUUCAGAAUGACAAUUCUUAUUAGCCAAAGAUUCAAAAUGAUUUUUAGUUGUUUAUAAGUAGAGCACUAGAUCAACAAAUAAUUGAAGACCUGCAGCUUGGCUAUUGAACUAUACGAUGAUGCCAAUUCGAAGACUGCAACUUGGCUCUGCCAUUCGAAGUAAGCAACGCAGCUGCCCAAAGUCUGCCAAGCCAUCAAGACUCCAAGUAUACUUCAAAGCUACAUCAAGACAACACUAAGAUACAACAUCAAUAAUAAUAACAUCAAGAAAUGCAUGGAGGCCAUUGCAUGUUACACCCACCCCAAUAAGAAAAAUACAGUCCUAGAAAUUUACAAACCCGUGCAGUAGGAAUACUAAUUAAUUUAUAACAGUUCAUAUGCCGAUAUUGUCUUCCGAGGUUUAGACGGGUUCCAGAUUUGGUAAAUCAACAAUCACCAGAUAUGAUAGAGCGGCCGGAAGAGGAAGCAUGGUUCCUAAUCCUAAUCUUGAUUUAGAGCAGAUUAGGUAACAUGUGGCAUUCUACAUUCCUGCAAUGCUAUUUCUUGUUAUGGCAGCGGCAUUCUUGGUCAUGGCAUCACAAGCAAAUGCUUUGAUUUGAAGACUUGCUCGGCUAUGAAAAAUAAGGAGAGCAAAGGUAAUUAAUCUUGGUGUGAUCAACAGUUUAAUGGGGGUACUAAGAAAAAUAAAGAUAAUAUAAGGAAUGUUGUUGAGGAGUAUUUUGAUAUUUACAAAAGUGUUCUAAGUAAAAAUUGAUUUCUUAAAACUCAUUAGCUAGCGCACAUAAUAAUGGGGAGAAAAUUUUAGAGUACGAAUAGUCCCACCCAUUUAAUAAUAUUCUUCAAUCAAUUAUGUUUAGUUCAAAAAAAAAAAAACCCAUCUCUUUAUUACUUUCUAACUAUUCAUAUUAAUGUGUUAAUAAUUAUGAAGAACCGGUGUAAUUUAUGUGAUGUAGGAAGCACUUUAGGCAAAAUCAUCUGAAUCUGAAAAUUUCGUGAUAUUGUGCCAAAUAUCCAAAACAGAGCUUCCUACAUUGCUAUAGCAGUUUUUAAAAGUUGAGGACUCCAAAUAUCCAAUAACUGAUAAAUUGUGUUAAGAAAUAUAAAUAUUAAUGAUGACGACACAUAUGCAUGGAAUUCCUCUGUUUUGAGUUUGACUAAAACAACCUGAAUAAUUUCAAACAAUCCAUCAACCCAAAGUCCUUGAGAGAUCGAACUGGAUUUCAGUGCAUCACAUUCUGAAAUUGAAACUAACAUUAAUUAGAAAGGCAGAACAUCCUCUGUUUUUUACUAUAAUACAAAAUGGGAAGUCAAACCAAUUCGAGGAACAAUUGACACUGGAUCAUGUAAGAUUGUUAGUUGUUAAUUAUGAUGGAAAUAUACACUUGGUCUGUUAAUUACCAUCUAGCUAAUGCAUGUGCACUUGGUCUAUUAAUUACCAUCUAGCUAAUGCAUGUGCACUUGGUCUAUUAAUUACCAUCUAGCUAAUGCAUGUGUACUUUCAUUUGUGUCUAUCAUUGAAGAGUAGAGUUACGUGAUUGAAUAGUAUCAUAUCACAUAAACUCAAAACUCAAUUUCAUUGCACGAGCAUACCACGCCAUAUGCAGCUCAAAAGUGCAAUAACAUUGCUCAUCUCCUAUAAUUAAUUGUCGAAGAGAGUUCAGAUUGUGCAAUCCCUUAGGUAAGGCCUCUAGUCUCCCACACUCAUACAUCAUGAGCUCAGUCAGUUUUGCACAAGGCAAUCCCCCUUCGGGAAACGACACCAGAUUUCCACACCCCUAAAAUCUAAUCUCUCGAAGCUGGUGGAGAUUAUGUAAACCAGUCGGUAAAUUUUUCAGAUUUUUACAACUAAUGAUAGUGAUUGUUUCAAGAGAUGUGUUGUUGUCCAACCUUUCUGCUAUUGACUCCAGCUUUGAACAACUAAGAACUUCAAGGGACUUAAGAGACGGAGGUAGAUUGCCAACUUCAAGGGACUCAAGCGUGGCAAGUAACUCGUUUUUUGAAAAUAUACAUGUCAGAGACGGACAACUCUCAAUGUGUAAGUGCUCAAGAAGAGAUGAGGUGUACCUUCUACUGCUGCUACUUUGGAUGCCCUCUUCCACUGUCAAAGUCCUUACGUUAUCACAAUUCCGGAUGACCACGUUCUUAAGGCUCGGUGGUAGCUGGACUUCAGCAAUAUAUGUCAACGAAUGACAACGCGAAAUCGUCAAGAUCUCGAGAGAUAAAUUGGCGUCGCACAUCCAUGCCUCCGGUAACGAUUUCAGUGCAUCACAACGGUGAAUUGAAAUGCUCCUCACCUUGGAAGGCAGAGCAACCUCAGGGAAGGAAACAAAGGAACUGCAGUUGUAGAUUUCUAUCUCUCUCAAGGAGCUGAGGCUGAGCAAUGAUUGCGGCAGCUUCACAAGGCCUUUGCAAUCAUUUAAUAGCAGAUAUUCAAGUCUGCAUGACAACUCGCAGAGCUGUUGCUGGUCUUUUUCUUCCUCCGCCACCAAGGAUUGAAGUGUGGGACACCAUCCAAUCGUCAGUCUUUUCAGAGAGCUAAUGUCUUGCAGAAAUCCGUUAUGACGCUUCCAUAUAUAUGUUUCAUUUUUAAUAUUGCUUAUCUCCAAUUCUUCCAAUUUUGGUAGUCGCGGCUUCAAUGGCCCUGCAAGCAACACUUGAUUUAAUGUAUCUCUACAAACCACUGAAUUCUGUGACCCGAGAUGAUCAGUUUCACUUCUCCACACAACCUUUUUACAUCCACCAAUCUCUAAUUUGGAAAGAGCUGGAAGACUCGUAAUUGAAACUAACAAUUCUUCACAUCCUCCAAUAACAAGCAUCUCCAAUGCAGGAAGGUGUUCUGGAAAUGUUCCUUUCAGUUUAGAACAUCCUAUAACUUCAAGCUCUCUCAAUUUAGGAAAUCCUUCAACUCCCUGAGUAGAUCCAUGAGGAAUCCAGUCUUCCCAUUCUAGCAGGUUUUCAAAACGAAGAGUCUCCAAGCAUGGAAAAGGAAUUGGAGUAUCAUUCCCAUAGAACUCCGAACCCAAUCUCCUUACUCUGCUCAUUCUACGUACUGCAAGAUGCUUUAGAGAGGGUAGUUGCCCGACCGACGGCAGUGUGGUACACAUGCCACAAUCUUCAAAUUUAAGUGUUACUAAAUUUGAGAAUGAGGAAUCUCCUAACCAUAUUGGAAAUUUUGUACCUCCAUAGCCACUGAUAAAAAAUUGCUCCAGAUUUUUAUGGGGUUUCAGCAUGUCAAGCACGCCCUUUUGAGUUUCUGCCUCCCUUAAAGAUGAACCAUCGGUACUGUUUGUCCACCGAAGCAUUAACACUUUAAGGUUCUUCUUUCCAUCCAAUUGAGCCUCCUUGGCAUCACCAACGUAUUUUACAUUCUCCAAUUUUGAAAUGGUAAGUGUCCCACGAAGAUGCGUCAACAACUUUAGCUCUCGCAACCGGGAACCACUGUCUUUUCCUACAACAAAAUUACACAAUGUCUGAAGACAAGUCAACUUGCCAAUUCCUAGUGGCAUUUCCUCCAACGAAUCUGUAUUUGAAUUAUUGAGAUGAUGCAAUUUGAUGAGAUUUCCCAUGCCUGCACACAACUUCCUCAGUCCCCGACAACCCUCCAACGAAAGGGUGUGCAAAUUGUAAAGCUUGUUGACUGAUUCAGGCAGAGUUCUAAUCUGAGUUCCAGAUAGGUUGAGGUACCUUAAAUACCUCAAAUCACCAAUUGAAUCUGGCAGCUCGGAGAUCCAAUAUCCACACAAAGAGAAGACCCUCAGGCGUUGAAGUUUGAACAACUUAGGAAGAAUGCUAUGAGCCAAGAAUCCUUGCGAACUAUUUGACAGACAUACUGGUAGAAAAGUUCGCAAAUGCUGGAUAUUGUACAAGUCUUCAAACCUUUUAACGCCAUCAUAUUUUCCACAGAUGCAUGAUAGAUGACGAAGAUUUUUGGAAAAACUUUGUUGUUUGUUAACCUCUGAAGUAUAAUCCAUUGUGAAGUAAAUUUCCCCCGCCGCCCAAUGGGCAAGGUCAUUGAUAAGAUCGUGCAUCACAAAUAGUGAUUUAUUGUUGCUUGAUUGCUGGAAAAAGGAUCUUGCACGUAGCUCUUGAAAGAACUUUCGACCUAGAUCUUCACAUGGAUUCUCGCUCUUCCGAUGAUCCAAGAAACCCACAGCACUCCACAAUAAAAUUAUCUCCUCCUCUUCAAAUUCAUAAUCCUUUGGAAACAAUGAGCAGUAUGCAAAGCACUGUUUCAAAGGUGCCGAGAGAUAAUAGUAGCUCACUCUAAGCGCCGGUAUAAUGUCACAUCUCUCUUCUGGUAAAUCCCAUAUGUUGCAACUGAGCACACCUUCCCAAUCACUUCGGUCACAUUUACCACGUAAGAGUCCACCAAGGGUUUUCGCAGCUAAGGGCAGGCCGUCGCAUUUGAUCACUAUCUUCGUGCCAAUUUCCUCCAAUGACUUAUUUGAACUGAAAUCUCUUGUCCCCAAAGAGUGGUGAGCGAACACGGACAAACAAUCAUCAAUUGACAACUUUUUUAAUUGAUAAGCUGAAGCAGUCCCCAUUAUGGCUGCAACCUCUUGAUUGCGAGUUGUGACAAUAAUCUUACUUCCCGGUGCGCCAGCUUCAAACGGACGGCUCAUGUCAACCCAAUCAUUGUAACUCUCAUUCCAAACGUCAUCUAAAACAAGCAAAAAUUUCUUUCGAGACAACUGCAUCUUUAGCUCCUCUUGAAGCAAAUUUAAAUCACUAUUAUCAACAGUCUGCUUAGUAAUGGAGCUUAGAAUUGUUCUUGUUAGCCUGAUAACAUCAAAAUCAUCAGAGACACAAGUCCAUGCCUUGAGAUCAAAAUGACCCUGCACUCGAUCUUCAUUAUAGACAAGCUGAGCAAGAGUGGUUUUGCCCAGCCCGCCCAUACCUAUAAUAGGAAUAACUGAGAAUUCGCCAUCAUUUUUUAAAUCAUCCCUCAACAACAAUUCAACGAUUUCCUUUUUUUCUGUUUCCCUACCAUAUACCUUUGCUCCGUUCACCAAAGAGGUUGUGGGUAGUCUUUGCCUGACUUUUUUGGAUCUCCCCGCUGAACUUUCUUUCAAACCCAACGAGUCUUUCUGUGUUGCAACAUCUUGAAAUCUGUCGUUGAUCUCUUUGAUUUUGGACAUCAUGGUGUAAUCGAACUGAAUCGAUUGUGGAGUAAAAGUGGUGCAGCAAGUAGGAAUGAGCUUCCGAAUUCUGGUAUGACUGCUACUAGGUUGAUCAUGAGCCGCAACUGGUUCUCCAUUUCCAAGCAGCAACCUCCUCCGGAAUGCCUCAGUUUGAAACUCAUCCAACAAGUCUUCAACAUCAUAAGCCAAGUUCUGAAGCUCGCCAAGCCACAACUUCACAGACUGAUCAGUCUUCUUCUCCUCAGCAUCAUCAAGCACCGCCUUGAUCAUCACCAACAUAUUCUUCCACUUCUUUAGGUCGGCCUGGAUUUGCUCUUGGCGUCCAAACAACCGAAUCCCCUCUGAAGCUAACUUAUUGACCAGCAAAUCAACGGACGCCGUAAGGAUUGCCUCUCCGAUGAUUGACAUUUUUUUCUUUUUUAACGCACAGAAAGAAACAGAAUUUUGAGUUUCAAAGAGCAAAAUGAGAAAAUUGAGCAGUAAUUGUGAAGGGUCAAGCAAAUUGCACGCAACAAGUCUUCCACUUGUUGUUUACUCUAGUAAAGUGCAAAUAGAAACAGAGCCCACCACCCAUUAAAAAUUUACCGAUUCACCAAUCACCAGUCACCAGUCACCACCACUUGUUACCAGAUUCAAUGAAUGUAAAAUCGCACCUCGACAUUUGUAGGGUCAAGCAACAUUAAUCCAAUUGUCCGGGUAAAUGCUGAAUAAAGUGGACAAUUGGAUGUAUCUACAACGAUCCUUCCCUUUACAAAUCUUCAAACUCAUAAACCAUGUUAAAAUGAAAAACGUUUCUCUCUUUCUCUCUCCCUUUCUGCCGUAAAAUUACUUUAUGGAUUGAAUUAAUUUCCAUGCUAAAACGAAGACUUAAAAGUACGAUACAAUUUUUUAUAAUAAUCCCAAUGGAAUUUCUACCGUCACUUAAAGAUAAUUUUCAAAAUUGUUCAUGGAGAAGUCUAUGUUGCAGAUUCUGUAACAUACGCACCCAAUGUAUGCACCACACUUGUCCUGUGCAUGGAGAAAAAGCAUGCAAAUGCUUUUGUUUGGUAGCUGGCUUAAAGCAGAAUCAGUAAGUUACAGAGUCUGUAACUUAGCCUGCUCCAUGUGAAAACAAAAAAAGUCCUGCCACCAAUAAUUCAGAAAGCUUCACUUUAUUACACGAAGGUGAAAGCAAAAAGCCAAAAACAGCCCCCACCACCAUCAAUAAUUUAGCAAGCUUCACAUGCUAGUGCCUGUCUACCUGACGAGCUGCACACAGCACAUGGGUGGACCAAGCAUCAUUGAAUAGUUGUAAAAAAUAAAAAAUAAAAAAUAAAAAUCAGUGUCCCGCAAAAAGAAUCCAUCUUUAUGUGUUGAUAUGCACAUCUACCGAACAUCUAAAAAAUGGAAGUAGAAAUUGAAACUUACUUUUUUAGUUAUGGCUCAUAUAUAAUACAAGUAUCAAGAUUUAAGUAGAGUUCACAUAUACACAUGCGUCUACAAAAUUUUUAGGAAAUGAUAACUAAUAUGUUGGGAUAUAUAUUUGUGGGAAAUGACAAAUAUAGGGAAUAGCAGUAAAAAUGUUGGAAGUUUAAUAUAAUGAAAAAAGGUAAAUUGCAAAAAAUUAAUAUGUACUUCAAAGCACAUUACAAAUUGAGUAAUGUACAUGGGUUAAGCAAAUAUACCUCAAUGAUACAAUAAGGCACUUAUUUAUUUGUUUGCUUUGUGUAUCGACAAAAAUAAAUUAGAAUAUUCUUUAAUGUUGCAAAAACAAUAUAUUGGAUAUUUGAUGCAUAAAAAAGAAAGUUAUUUGAUGAAAUUCAUUCUAGGAAAUAGAGCUAAGAAAAGAGCGGUGGAUUAUCUUAUUCAUAUUUAAAAUUCUAAAUAUAUUGAUUUACUUAUCAUAGUGAUAUAAUAGUAAUUGUAAAUUAAAAAUAAAUUUAAUAUUAAAACAAAUAGAAUUUACUAAUAAAAAUAAGGUUAUAUAUCUUUUUUCGAAAUAUUCAAGAAUUUUAUGUACUUUUUUUUUUUCAAAACGUUUGGAGUGAAUUUCCAUUUCCCAUUAAGCAAAACCCACCGCAAAAGUGAAAAGAAAAAACAGAGCCCACUACAAAUAUAAAUCAGAGGAGCUCAUGAUCGUGCCUUUGCUUCACACACUAAAUUAAAUAAAAGCCGAACCAAGAAUCUUGCCUUUGCUUAACAUGAUUAAUUAGGCACUACAUCAGAGAGAACACGAAACCAAUGGACCCUUUUGUUAAUCUUAAAUGUCAGGAAUAUGAUUAGCUUGGAAUAAAGUUAUAUACUUUCUCCUCCUCUUACUGUCUCUUUAUGUUCAUUUCAAAAGUUUGAAGAGAGUAUCAAUUCUUCUACACUUUAGAAUGUCAAUGUUCUUGCUUUCUUCAAAUGUUGAAUAAAGAGAAAAAAAAAUGUUGAAUGUAGAAGGAAAAUGGAAUGCAUCCACCUUCGCUUUGGAAGUCUUCUACUUAUAAAAGCAAGCUAAAUUAAAAGAUUUAAAUCUCUCUUUUUAUUACUAUAAGUGCACUGCAUUUUUUUUUAAAUAAUCGCCUAUACAAAUUUGUAAUGUAAUGAAAUAUUCAUAUUCCUGUCGUGUCGAAAUGAGAUAAAAUGAAAUUUCAAAUAACACAAAUUCGACUCAUUUGUUAAAGGUAUAUACUUAAUAAGCUAAUAACAUAAUUAACAUAACGCUAUUAUUACACUAAAUGAAAUAAAAGACGGUAGCCACUAAAUGAAAUUUUGUUGUUAUUGUACCCAGCCGUUAGAUUUUAAUUACGUUGAUUUAAUGGUUUGGAUUUAUAAAUGAAUAACGACGUGGUGUUUGGCUACCAUCUGAACCCACUGCAUCUAAUUGGUUUUGUGAUUUUUUGCUUUCUUCUUUGUAACGGUUGACUAUUUCUGGAAAUAUCGACCGCCAUCGACAGCAAAUCUGAACCAUGCAUUUUUUCUUAGUACUAAGAAAUAAAGUUUCCACCACCGUACCAGUAUGUCGAUUUGCGAAUACAUUCAUUCAAAUAUUAAACGUUCAGAGAAGAAAGCAAACCGUGGCAGGAUAGCAAAAACUGCGAAUGGUCAUUCCCAACACAAACCCCUAUGGCUGUUUUCCUUUUAAUUUUCUUCUUUGAAUUCUCCUUUUAUUAAUCAUUAGAAAACUCCCUUUUUUUUUUAAAUCAUGUGUUAUUAACAUUUACAUGGUUAAUGUCAUCGAAAUCAAAUGGUUGUUAUCUACGAAAAGAGAAUUGCUAGAAAUUUUGUUAGUCCCAUUGCAACAAUAUAUUGUUAUAAAUUGCAUUGUGUCCCAUAUAACAAAUAUAAUAAAAUCUCAAUAAAUUAAUAGUUUUGGGAACCAUAAAAAAAUUUAUUAAAAUUUAACAAAUUUAUUAAAAGGAGAAGGCCAUAAAGGUUUUCCUUUAUGAGAAAUGUAUCUGAUCAUUCAUUUUUACUUGAAAAUUUCAUAUAUAAAAACUCAUUAAUAAAUGACAGAAUAUGUUGAAAAGUCAUGCAUGUGGCAUCCAAAUUCAAGAAAGCAUGUAAAUUUCAAAGAGCUACCAAACAAUUGAAGAAAAAAAAAUGAAAAGUUGGCGAAUUUGUCAAAUUUGCCAAAUGGACACCAUUGACAAUUUGCUUAAGUUAGGUGGAAUAGUAGAGGGGUUGGUGCAAUAGUGUCAUUGUUUUCCCUAUAAAUAGAUGGUACUUCUUCCAUUUUAAUCAUCCCAAAAUUAUUAAGCUUAUAAGUUUCUAAGCUUUUGAGAGAAGUGAGAGAAGUGUGUAUGAGGAAUUUAUCUUUCCUGCAGAGUGUGAGAGUACUGUGUAUAUUUGGGUUUCUGGGAAGUGAGAUUCGUUACUCAAAUAUUGUACUCUAUUAAUUGUUAAAUAAACAAUUAUUCUUUCUUACCUCCGUGGAUGUAGGUUUAAUUACCGAACCACGUAAUUCUUGUGUCAUUUAUUUUUCUAUAAUUAUUUAGUGCGCUUGAUUUCGCAUUCCGCGCACAACAAAAUAUAUAUAAAUUAUUAAUUCAUUUGAUAGUUGAUUAUCGAAGGACAUGUGACCCAUGGGAGCAUGCAAUCUAUAAAAUAAUUCUUUUUUUAUUAAACAAAAAGUUGGUGAUGUUGAAAAGCAAUAUUAUUAUUUCUCUAAUUGGGGUGAACAUUCAUAAAAAGAAUGCCGUAUGAAACUAAAUUAUUAAUUCGUUUGAUAGUUGGUUAUCGAAUGACCUGUGACCCACAAUAAAUAGUUAAAUUUGGCGGCAACAAUAAUUACAAGACGAACUUAAAGCAGCGCAUAGGCUUUUCUUAAAAAUACAUAAACAAUUCGAUAUUUGAAAUUCUAAUAUCUCAAUAAUAUUGAUCAUGAUUCAGUUACCAAUUAGAUCCACUUACAAUUUCUUUUUUUCUUUUUUCUGGUUUCCAAUCUUUACCAAAAGAAAAUAUUUAGUGAUCCCUUUUAUCAACUUGGUUUUAUUGACUUUCUUCCAAUCAUAGAAGUGAAACGAGAAACAGAGGCCAGCACCAAUUAGUGUUACCAGAUUCUGUAAAGACAAAAUCAGUGCCCAGCAAAAAGAAGCUAUGUUUUCGUUUAUAUGCUGCUUCCUAUUUAGUACAUGCAUAUAAAGAUAUACACGUGCACAUGCAGCACAUCUAUCUAAAAUUUAAAAAACGGAAUUAAAAAUACAGGAUUUAUGGUAGAAAUACAACAGGAAUAAGAGUGAAAUUCCAAUUUUAAAAAUUGGGAGAAAUGAAAUGCGAUAUUUUUUUUAUUAAUAAAAUAAUUUAAUUUUUUUUAAUUCUACCAGCAAAAACCAUUAACUUAUCAAGUUAUUGGUUUCAUUCACAGUUGACAGUCGGUUUCUUAGUUUCAUUCCUUAAUUCUACAAGAAAAAAACAGAAUACUUGACAUUUUUUAUUUGACAGUUUUUAAGAAAUGUCAAACAUAUAUGACAUUCUGUGAAAAACUGAGUAAUUGUGAAAUAUAAAUGACAAUUUAUUUAAACGUCAAAUAAUUGUGACGUUUUAUCAAAUAAAUGAUAAAUAUAUUACAUAUUUAUUGAAUAAUUAUCAUUUACCUUUUCGUUUUAUUGACUUGAGAAAAAAAACAAAAACAUUGACUAUACUGCUUUUGUUUUCGUUCUUAGAACAGAUUUUAGUUUCUUUUGAGAAAAUUCAAACUCAUUCCCAUUACUUUCUUUUCAAUAAUCACCCUCUCAGUUUUUCAUCAAUCACUCAAUUCCGAAUUUCAUCUCCAUUCUCUUUCGAAGAAGAACGCACGAAGAAUUUUAGCUUGUUUUCGCUGCUUCUCGAAUAUUGGGUAUUGUUUCCUUUAAUUUAGAUUUUUUUUUUUUAUCCCCCUUUCUAGUUUGAUAAUUUAGGGUUAUACUUGAAUUAAUUGUAUUUUUAAUCAACCAAGGUUGAUUUAAUUGAUUCCAAGUCUCAAUUUCCUGUUCACCAAACAAGGAACGCACAAAUAAUUUUCAUUUUCAUACUCAAUUUUGAAAGAAUCAAUUUAUUUUAUCUUUGGUUAGUACACUUCUGUUCAAUUUUUGUUUAUUUAACUUAAGAUAUCUUUUUCUUUCUUUUCUUCAAGCAGAUUAUAGAUUAUAUUGAGAACAGAGCUUUCUCCUUAAUUCCGCCAAGAGCAACGUUGAUUUCAGGUGAUAAUUGAAUGUGUAAUAUUUUCAAUUGAAAUUAAUUGAGAUUUACAUCCUGUUGAAAUGAUUUUAGAGUGUUCUGCUAUUUGAAUGCGCAUUAAUUGUUCCUCUGUUUCAAAUCCAAAUCCACUGGUCUACUAUUCAUUAUGACAAUGCAUAUGCCGAUAUUGUCUUCCAUCCUUUUUGUACCUUUCAAUUUAGUGAGGUUUAGACAGGGGUUCCAGAUUUGGUAAAUCAACAAUCACCAGAUAUGUAGAGCGGCCGGAAGAGGAAGCAUGGUUCCUAAUCCUAAUCUUGAUUUAGAGCAGAUUAGGUAACAUGUGGCAUUCUACAUUCUUGCAAUGCCAUUUCUUGUUAUGGCAGCAGCAUUCUUGGUCAUGGCAUCACAAGCAAAUGCUUUGAUUUGAAGACUUGCUUGGCUACUAAAAAUAAGGAGAGCAAAGGUAAUUAAUCUUGGUGUGAUCAACAUUUUUAUGGGGGUACUAAGAAAAAUAAAGAUAAUAUAAAGAAUGUUGUUGAGGAGUAUUUUCAUAUUUACACAAGUGUUCAAAGUAAAAAUUGAUUUCUUAAAACCCAUUAGCUAGCGCACAUAAUAAUGGGGAGAAAAUUUUAGACUACGAAUGGUCCCACCCAUUUAAUAAUAUUCUUCAAUCAAUUAUGUUUACUUCAAAAAAAACAAACCCAUCUCUUUAUUACUUUCUAACUAUUCAUAUUAAUGUGUUAAUAAUUAUGAAGAACCGGUGUAAUUUAUAUGAUGUAGAAAGCACUUUAGGCAAAAUCAUUUGAAUCUAAAAAUUUCGUGAUAUUGUGCCAAAUAUCCAAAACAGAGCUUCCUACAUUUCAUUGCGCUAGCCAAUUUCUUGUACCAAAAUUAGGAAUCACUGAAGAGUAGAGUUACGUGACUGAAUAGUAUCAUAUCACAGAAACUCAAAACUCAAAAGUGCAAUAACAUUGAACAUUCAGCUGGCUAGCUUAUAUUAAUUAAUUAAUACUACUACUAGUUCUUUAUGAUUAAUUAGAAGAUAAAAUAUUUGACAAUCACAAAACAUUAUUCCAUCACUGAAGAGGAGAGCUUCCUACAUUGUUACCCAAGCUCUUUUAUAUCUCCCAAACAUUAUUAGAGUCCCACAUUUGUGGCACAUCAUUAAGUAAAAUGUGCCAAUUAGGAAGAGCUGGCUUCUUUGUUUUGUUUUCUUGGAUGUGUUGCAAUUUUCAAGUAUCAUUCAAAAUUUUACGCCAUCAACACAGGAAAAUUAUAUAUAUUCUGCAGCACUUGCAAAUGUUGCAAGUGCUGACAGAACUUUUCAUUUGAUUUGAUAAUUGGCUAAGUGUGAUUUCGAUAACGUUUCCAAAGAUCAAAAAGAAAAAUAAGUAAUUUGAUCAGUCGAUGCAAAAAAUGAGCGAGCUUCGUAGUCUGACUAACAGGACAUGGCUUGGAGCAAGGAUCAAUGGACAAGUUGGAGGUUUAUGAAAUAUUGGGAAAAUAGACAAAUAAUAAAGCCACUACAAGUUAAGCAGAUCAAAUAAACAGAACAGAGGAAAUAAGUGAUCAAUUUAUUACUUUGUGCAAUGGCCACAGCAACAGCGAAAAUAUGUCUACAUGACUACAUUAUCCGACUGGCAAGGUACUAUCACCAUGCGGCAUUACACUUAACAUUUCCUUAUCAAUCAAUUUUGAUGGUAUUAUAUUAAAAACAUCGAUUUCAUAAUUUUAUGUAAUUCAUAGAAAAGAUAUAAUUGAUUUGAGUUAGUUUAACAUAUAAGGAAAGAGUAAUGGGGGAUGAUGUCGAUGUGGAAUAUGAUCAGUAAAGAUAGACAACAAAUAUCAUGUAAUAAUGAAAUAUGUAUUUAUUGAAAAUAAAUUGACUGUUAAAAUUAAUAGAUAUAUAUCCAAUGCAUCGAGUUUAUUUGAUCACUUCGCUAACUAUUUUGUAACUACAUGUUAAUUAGAAGUUCAAUUAAUUUUGACCAAAGACUCUAGAGAAUGUCGAAAAGAGAUUUGAUUUUUGUCUUAAAAAAAUAAGAAAUGAAAUAAGUCAAAAUCAAUCACAAGAACAACAAUAAGAGCAUAUUUUAUAAAACCACAAAUACAUAAUAUAAAUUUAGUUUCGAAUUAGAUAAUUAUUAAUUUGUAUAGUACGAGAGUCUUAUAGAAAAAUAGGAAUUUUUUAAAAGGAGAUUUGCUUAAGGAACAACUUUAGUUUGGUUUAAUUUUUGAAGGCUCAAGUAAUUGAAAGCAACGCAAUGGAAGGAAAUACAAGCUUUUGAUUUUGACAAAGUAAUCACUAAAAUAUUUGACAAGUUUGAGACGUUAAAAAAACUGGAAAAAUAGACAAAUAAUGAAGACCCUACAAGUUGGUAGAGCAAAUAAACAGAGGAAAACAGAGCAAAAAUUUACCGUUAUACAUAUAUAUAUAUAUAUAUAUUUUUUUUUUUUUUUUUUUUUUCCGAAAAAGAAUGCUGCGAUAUUUUUUUUCCCAAAAAGAAGCACAGUUUGAUAUUACUACCAUAGAACUUUAGCUACCAUAUAUAAGCACGUGUCUAAUUACCAAAUGAAUUCCGCUAUAACAAACAAUAAAAGCUAAUUUCAUUGAUGGCAUAUGUUGUGCUUUCUUUUAUUUUCUUUUAUUGAAGUUACUUUGUAAACUGCUCGAAGCUAAAUACAAAAUUUACUCUCACACUAGGAUCUUUGCAAUGGUCCAGCAAUUUGUAUUUCCUUUCGGUGAGGUUGGUUUUUUUCUUUAAGUAAAAUUUCAGGGAUGAGAAAUCUUAUCCAUUGAACAUCAACUUUGAAUUUUAUUAAUAUUCAAACUUAGAAAGUACUGCAGGAACAAAGUGCAUUCAUAGCCGGUUAAACUAUGUCCAGCUACAAUGCAAGUUUCACUUUUACUUAAUUAAAUAUACAAAAUUAAAUCACAUGAGCCUCUCGUUUCAUUAUACUUCAACUCAAAAUUAAAACACAGAAUUGACGGUAUUGGAGUUUCAUAUUUAAUUUUGCUGUAGUCAUGGGGAAUCAGAUGGCCAUCCAUUUUUACAUCUAUUUUUUGUGUGUGCGUGUGUGCAUGUGUGUAUUGGGAUGUCACAGGCCCUAAAAGAUAAAGCUGAACAUCAAUCCCAAAUCUAAUGUGAAAAACAGUAGCUAGAACAGAAUCUUUGUUUUGAUGUCUUUGUUUAUAAGCUCAAACAAUUGAUAGUACAGAAAAUGCAUGAUAGAAUAGAGAACUUAUAUUUUAGCAAUAAUCCUAAGUUCACUGGCCCUUAGUUCAGAGUGGCAGUUCUUAUUAGUCAAAGAAUCAAAUUGACUUUUAGUUGUAUAUAAGUAGAGCACUAGAUCAACAAAUAAUUGAAGACUUGCUUGGCCGUGGAACCAUAGGAAGGCAAUUCGUGAACAGCCUUGAUAUUUCAUUUGGUUUUAUCUAAUUCUUUGUAAAGUUGUCUUGUGUGUAAAAUUUUUGUUACAUGAAAUCGGUAGGUGAAGAGAAUUUUUAAAAGCAAACGUCAAAGUCACGAUCAAAGGGACGAAAUCAGUAUAAAUAUUGAUUGUCUCAAGUUAGAUUAUACAAAGAUGAAAUAAUGCUAAUCUAAAAAAUUCGAUGAUUAUAAUUUGAUUUCCAUUAUAUUAAUUAUAUUCAAUCAUGCUCUUUAAAUGAAGAACAGUACUCUAGCAUUUAUAUACACUCAGCUUAUGAAAUUAAUUACAAAACGAUCUUUGACAAAGUCUGAUGAAAAAAGUACAAAGUUAGACUUCCCGAUCAUGCAACCACCCAUCGAAUUGUGUAUUGUGUCAUCGUUGAGCUCUUACAAGGAUUCAGCUGCUGAGAAGCUAUGUACUAUGCUUUUAUGGUGUUUCUCUUGGUACGUAGUUGUCGGACAAACUGUAAUGUGAAUUUCUAUCUAAUGGGUAUUGUUUUAGUUAGUUUGGGAUUGUUGAUUUAUAUAUGAUGUUUGGUAUCUAAAAUUCAGAUGAUGAUAAUCUUGGCAGUACUUUUGUCAAAUUUUCUUGUGUUGUUGUUGGUUUAAUAAAAUAUCACAGAGGUGCAAAAUACAGUAAAUUUAACAUUGAGCUCAUGAGGUUGCCAUUAGAUAUAUUGAAAAAGAAAUUGACACAAGAAACUGAAAAUUAGUUGUUAAUUAUGAUGGGAAUAUAAUCUUGGUAUUUUAAUUAUAUCAUUUGCACUAAUCUCAUUUGUGUCUAUCACUGAAAAGCAGAGUGGCUUGAUUGAAUAGUGUCAUAUUAUGUCACAGCAAGAGAAGUUGUGAUCUCGUCUUCUCUUGGAUAUAUCCGAUGACUUUGAGCUCUCCAGCCUCCCAGCCGGAAAUGUUCUUCCUUCACAUUCGGUGAUUGUUUUUCAUUAUUGCGGCUACUUGACUCAAAUAUGCUAUUGCAAGAGGAGAUUUCUAUUUUGUCUGAUUUAAGCCAUAAGACGGGUUUCAAGGUUCAUUCUGAUUGGUUAUCUGUUAGCUUUUUUUGUUUUAAGAACUUCUUAUUUGCGGAAGCAAAAUUCUCCUUUGCAGGAUGAUCUAGAUUUAGAAGUUGCUUUUGUCAUAUCAGACGAAGAGGCCAUCUUUAAGGCCUUGUGUAAGAUUGUUGAAUUUACUAGAAGGGACUACUGCUCUGAUUGGUCAAAACUACUAUGGCUGUCUUUUUCAUGAGCUUCUAAUAUCGAAUCAGUUUUAAUGGUAUGAUAUUAAAAACAUCGAUUUCAUAAUUUUAUGUAAUUUCAUAGAAAAGAUAUAAUUGAUUUGAGUUAGUUUAACGUAUAAAGAAAGAGAGAUGGGGAAUGAUGUCGAUUUGGCAUGUGAUGCGUAAUAAUAGACACCAAAUAUUAAUCAUGUAAUAGUGAAAUAUAUAUUUGCUGAAAAAUAUUUGGCAAUAAAAUAAUGCUUUAAAAAUUUAAUAUUAUUUGCAAGAAAGUAAUUCGACAAUUAAAAGUAAAAGAUGUAUAUGCGACGCUUCGAGCUUAUUUUAUCACUUCACUAGUCAUUUUGUAACAACAACUUUAAUAGAAGUUCAAUUAAUUCUGACCAAAAAAGACUCUAGAGAAUGUCUAGAAGAGAUUUGAUAUUUGCAUUCCAAAAAAUUAGAGAUGAGAUAAGUUAAAAUCAAUUACAAGAACAACAAUAGGAAUUUAUUUUGUAAAACCCACAAAUGUAAAUAAUAUAAAUUUAAUUUCGAAUUAAGUAAUUACGAAUUUAUAUAGUAACAGAGUCUUAUAGGAAAGUAGGAAUUUUUUAAAAGAGAUUUGCUUAUGGAAAAAGUUUAGUUUGGUUUAGUUUGUGAAGGCUCAAUUAACUGAAAGCAAUGCAAUUGAAGGAAAUAUAAGAUUCUAAUUUUUUUAAAGUAAUCGAUAAAAUAUUUGACGAAUAGUGAAGACCGUACAAGCUGGCAAUGCAAAUAAACGGAGGAAAACAGGGCAAAUAUUUACUUUCUUCCAAAAAUAAUAAAUGCACAAUCUGCUAUUACUACUGUAGAAUGUUAGCUACUAUAUAGCUACUAUAUAUAAGCACGUGUCCAGUUACCAAAUAAUUUCCACUUUAAAAAGGAAUAAAAGCUAAUAUCAUUGUUAGCAAAUUUUAUUUAUUUAUUAUUAUUUUUUAUUAUCCUUUUUUUUUUUUUUUGCGCUUUUAGUUAUAGGCCUAAAAAGAUUGUGUCUAGAACAGAAUCUAUGUUUUGAUGUCUUUGUUUACAAGCUUACACAAUUCAUAGUAUACAAAAUGCAUGAUAGAGAACAGAACUCAUAUUUUAGCAAUAAUCCUCAGCUCACUGGCCGUUAAUUCAGAAUGACAAUUCUUAUUAGUCAAAGAGUCAAAAUGAUUUUGAGUUGUAUAUAAAUAGGGCACUAGAAUGAUCAACAAAGAAUUGAAGACUUGCUUUUGCUAUUGAACCACGCGAUGGCAAUUCGAAGACUACAGCUUAGCUCUGCCAUUCGAAGUAAGCAAUUCAGCUGCCCAGAUACUGCCAAGCCAUCAAGACAAUAACAAGAUACAACAUCAAGAAUCACGUACAGGCCGUCACAUAUUACAUUUGUCCUCUGUUUUAAGAGAGAUUUACGAGCCCAUGCAGAAGGAGCAAUUAAUUAAUUUAUACAGUUCAGUACUCAUUCCUCUUUCUUCUGUUUCAAAUCCAAAUCUAGUGCUCCAUCAUUUAUUAUGACGCAAGGUAUAUGGGUUAGCAUGUGUCGAUAUUGUCCUCCAUUCUUUGUGUACCUUUCUUCGAACAAGGGACAACCCGAGAUCUCUAAUCGCAAAAGAGAGGCAGGCAGGCCCUUCUCUGGAAAGUAUUUAAGCUUGGGAAAUGAGGUUUAAUGAAAUGAGGUUUUGAUGAUCAACAAUUGAAGAAGACAGGCGUUCCAAAUUUAGUAAAUCAACAAUCACCAAAUAUAGUAGGGUAGCAGGCAGAGGAAGCGUGGUUCCUAAUCCUAAUCUUGAUUGAUAACUGGCUAUGUAACAUGUGGCAUUCUACAUUCUUGCAAUGCCAUUAAUUUCUUGUUAUGGCAGCAGCGUUCUUUCAUCAUGGCAUCACAAGCAAAUGUUUGAUUUGAAGACUUAGCUGAGAAAAAUAAGGAGAGCAAAGGUAAUUAAUUUUGGGGUGAUGAAUAUUUUUAUGGGUGUACUAAGAAAAAUAAAGAUAAUAGAAGUAAUGUUAUCGAGGAGCAUUUUGAUAUUUACAAAAGUGUUCAAAGAAAAAAGUGAAUUUUUGAAAUCUAUUUGCUGGCGCACAUAAUAAAAGGGCAUUCUAGGUAAAUUUAAAACUACAAAUAGUCUUACUCUUUUAAUAAUAUUCUUCAAUUAAUUCUGUUUCUUUCAAAUUAAAAAACCCAUCUCUUUAUUACUUUCUAACUAGUCAUAUUAAUGUGUUAAUAAUUAUUAAGAACCAGCGUAAUUUAUGUGAUAUAAGAAGCCCUUUGUAAUAUUAACCCGAAUUUAGCUAAUGCAUGUGCCUAGUAUAGCGAAAUCAACAUUCAGCUCAUUAGAGUGCGAUUAUAGAUAUUGAAAAGAAAUUAGUACAAAAAACUGAAAAUUAAUUGACUCUGAAUCAUGUUGGAUUGUUAGUUGUUAAUUAUGAUGGAAAUACAAUCUUCGUCUUUUGAUUAUCAGCUAGUUAAUGCAUGUGCACUUUCAUUUGUGUAUAACCCUGAAGAGUAAAGUCGCUUGAUUGAGUAGUAUCAUAUCACAGGAACUCCAAACUCAAUUUCAUUGCCGGAGCAUACCAUGCCAUAUGUAGCUUAAAAGUGCAGCUAUCUUAUACUAAUUAAUUAAUACGACUAUUAGCUCUUUAUGAUUAAUUAAAAGAGAAAAUAUUUGACAAUCACGAAAAUAAUAACAAUUCACUCAUAUAAACAACAUAACAAAUACAUGGUCCAUAUUGCAAGUCUUUUUAUGAUUAUAAUUAAAAGAGAAAAUACGAAGACAUAUUACAUAUAAUAAUUGAAUGUUCUCCUUGAUAAUUAGACAAAAUAACACCAAUCUAGCUAAUUAACCUAAUCAUCAUACUAAUCCAAUUUUCAUUAUUUAAUUUUGUCCAAUCAUGCUAAUUUAAUAAAGAGCACUGAACACUCGAGUACUUAUAUGUUCAACAACUUUGGCCGAGUUUGAAAAAGAUUAGAGCUGCAUUUAUUCUUUGUGUUAUUACUUACGACAUGAUCAUACUAUGUCGCAUUUGUCAGAGAACCGAAAACUGUGGGGAAAAAAAUCCUAAAAGAGAUGUAACGAAAGCAAAAUGAGAAAAUAAUGAACACACAUCAUAGCAACGCUUCAUUCAUUUUGAAUCUAUACAUACAAAAACUUGUAUCCGAUGGUUUACAUUUGUUUAAUCUAACGGCUAUAACAUGUAUACAGUCAAACGCUACCGCUGCCAUCUUUCUUUGUCCUCGUUGUAUCCUUGAUCUUAUAUUAUCCUGGUGAUUCUUGAAAGAUCUUCCCAUUGUCACAUGCUGAGUCGCUUGCUGGGAUGAUUAAUACUCGAAGGUCCUUCAUUGAGACAUUUCAGCAAACACCUGAUUCAUUCUAUCAAACAUCUGCAUCACUAAUCGCUAAAUGAUAUAACAUAGUUCUGUUUUGAAAAAUUGAUAUAAAUCAGUCACCUUAGAUUUUCUUAGUCUCAGAGUACAACGGGUGAUGAUUCGAUGAGAAAUAUUAAUAUGCAUGCAUCCGCUGCAUUAGUUAGAGCUGCUUGUCAUUUUCUUCUUUCUUUUGGAUACUAUUUUAAUUUUUUAAUCAGUCUAAUUCAGCUGCAUGUUUGCUUUCAGUCCAAAUCGAAGUCAGAUAUUAAGUACUUCUACUGGAAUGGACGCACCCAAAAAUCUAUGGGAUCCGUAGUUCUUGCAGAAGCGGCAGAAUGCUGCCAGCAAUUCAGGCAGAUAGAGGCUUGGUUGAGUGGUUGUUCUUCAAUGUGAAAUUCUACAUAAUGGCGAUCCUUUUAAUUAAAUUCUUUUUUUUUUUUGAGCUGUUGAUUUAGAGCUGAUUAAGUAACAUGUGGCAUUCUAUAUUCUUGCAAUGCCAUUUCUUGUUAUGGCAUCAACAUUCUUGACCAUGGUUUGAUUUGCUUAAUUUUGCUUUCUGUUUUUGAUAUUUUCUUCGCAUUGUUGUUGUGGAUUUGUUAUUUGUAGAUAGCGUGUAUGUAUGAAGAUAACGUAAUAAAGUGCUUUUGAUAAAUUCCCCUGGUCUGUUUACUUCACUAAUUCAUUAAUGAGCAAGUCCUCUAUAGAGCUGUGUUGUGCGUACAAGUUUUGCUACAUGAAAUCGUUAGGUGAGGAGAAUUUUUAAAAGCAUAUAUCAAAGUAAUGAUUAAAGGGACAAAAUCAACAUAAAUAUUGAUUAUCUUGAGUUAGAUUAUACAAAGAUGAAAUAAUGAUAAUCUAGUAAAUUUAUCAUAAUAUACUACUAAAAAAUGCAUUUUAAUGACACAAAUUUUAUGACAUACAUCUUUAUGUCAUGAAAAUAUCAUGAAAAUACUUGCAUGAUGUAUAAUGCUUCUGUGAUUAUUUGAUGAUAAAUUCAUAAUUGAUGCUGAUAUGAAAUGAAGUGAUGAUAGGUAAAUAUCAUGCGAUUUUUUUUUUAUGGGUAAGAAUAUUUGAACCCACCAAAUUACUCUUUAAACUUACUUUUUUAUUGAUAAUUUUAUUACAAAAUUACCGAUAAUUUGAAUUACUAUUACAGACAAACAAUAAUUAUAUAAAAUUAUUUUACUUUUACUCAUUGUUUAAACCUACCGCAAAACUCAAUCAAAGUAUGCUUAUUUUCUUCUUCUGCACAAGUGUAGCAAAGUUUUUAAUAAGUUCCUCCUUCAUCCACAGUUGAGAACUUUCUAACUUUUGUUUCUUGUUCUAGUAAUUUGGAUAUGCUGUGUUAGAUACUGAAUUUAUUAAAUUUCUUCUUCUCUUUUGAAUAAAAUCUCUUUAAAAUUCAAUUCAUAAAAAAAUAAAAAAUUAAUCUCCUUAUAAUUUAAUAUGUUUCAGCUGUCUUAGUGGAAUGAUGCAAUUUGUUUCCAUCAAAGUUUUGAAGCAUCCUGAAAUUUUGAGAUCGACAUGAUAACAAAUUAAUUUAAUUCAUGGUGUACUCUAAAUUUUCAGCCACAAAAAAAUAGCCAAAUUGAAGUGUACCUGGGCAGGAAGAAACUGCGAUUAUACAAUUUCAGUGUUUGACUCUAUCAACAAAAAAGAAAAUAAAAAAGAACUCUCAUUGUUCCAUUGUUUUUCCCAUAAAUAAUGAUAUACAGAGAAUUUAGUUUGAUAAAGGUUAUAAUAAAUAUUUAGGUGAGUUUAUAAAGUAAAUUUUAAAAUUUUAAAAUUUAGUAAUGGGUUUAUAAAUAAUUGAGUUCAUAUAAUAUUUUAAUGAAUUCAAAUAACCCCACUCCCUUUUUAUUUUUUAAAAAGAUCUAAUUACAAAAAUAUCAUUCCAAUCGGCAGCAUUUUAUAUUUUAUUUUAUUAAAUAUUAUUUUAUUUUUAAAUUACUAGUGACGCACGAAACGGCAUCAUUUAUUGAUAUUUUUAAAUUGUUUAAGAUUUGUUUAAUUAGAAAAUUGCCAUUGUUGAUAUUUAAUUAAUUUUAAAAAAUAAAAAUAAUAAAAUUGGUAAGCUCUACUCCAUAAGUGAUGAACGAAUUGACAAAUUUGCAGUAAGUGAUCAACGAAUUGAUAAGGUCUACAGCCAUCGCUCAACCGCUGCCAUUACCUGUUAAUUAUUCGCUUGAAUUAGGGUUCUGAUAUUUGGGGAUUUUUUGUUAGUUGUGGAAUUAUGAAGCAAUGAUGACGAUGACGAAGAUGUGGUGGUUGACGACGGCAAUGGCAACGUUGAAUAUUGAGGCACCGGAGGAAAAAGCAUUGGCUAUGUAUCUUGGUCGAUUUGCCUCGAAUUGAUCACUAAACAUGGGAUAUCGUGGGCCGACCUUCAACGCAGUCGCAAAUUUCAUUUGGGUAACUGAAAUUUUUGUUUUG
rnacentral:lncRNA from 1 species